rnacentral:lncRNA from 1 species
CCUGGUCCCCAAGUACUUGAUCUGACAGCCGUUCAUGUUUUUUUUUGUCACAAGUUAAGCCGUGAUUAUUAUUCUAUCUGCAACUUCUGGAGUAAUGGAAAGAUUGUAGGCCUCCGUUGCUUUUUUCAUGUGCAUGGACCAGUCGACGACAUAAUCCUAUGCUAAAUAUGGACUUGGACACAAAGAACAUUGGUUGAUUCUGUAAAGGAAAGGUUUGAUGGUUGCAAGGCUUGAUUUGGAGAUUUUGUGUUCGGUUUUAUUAGCGAGUUAGCUGCUCUCUUGACUUGACGAGGAAACUAGGAUCAAAAAUCAAAUGUUUCGCACGCUGCUGCCCUGGAACCAUGGUCCACGGGUGGAUGGUGAGCAAUAACUCCAGAUUUGAUUUACCGUUCCCUUCGGACUCCCGGUUUUUUUGGCCCCGCGCUUUUCUGUCCCUCGCCGACAUUGUUGCACGAGGGAAGACUCCUGGGUGGUGGGCGAAUAUAACUCCAGAUUUAAGUUAUUAAAAGUUCUACAAUUAUUCAUGUUUUGCUCCCUUAGCCAAACUCCAUGAAAUCAAACGGAUAAAGCCCUUCUUGGUAUUAUUAUAUAGCAUUGUUGAUGGCUUUCAUAUCCAUGAAUCGCAAAAUGCUAAGGUUGCUGAAAACUGAAUACCACCAGGCCACGUUCCAAAGGGUGUCAGCUUUUGGUUAGGGAACUUGCGCGGAGUGCCGCGUGUGUUCGCACUUUGGUACGGAAUGCUAUGUCACACGGCUGUCCCUUGGGGUGAGGUGAAGGUAUCCGAACGUAUAAUAACUGUUCAAAUUUAUUUUUUUAUUUAAAUAUAUUUAUAUAUAAAUUAGAAAUUUAAAUAACCAGGCAAUAUUUAUUAUUCACAUUCAUUUUCGUAAAAAAAAAUAUAAAUAUAGAUAGACAAUAUUCCAUUUGCAAUUUUAUUUAAUUUUAUAUAGCACAUAUUUUUUUUAAAAAAACUAAAUAAUCAUAUCAAUAUAUUAUUAAUUUAAUUUAUUAUCUAUUUAAUAAUAUUUUCAAUUUUAUUUAUAUUUAUAUUAUUUAUAUUUAUUUAAAAUAAAUAUAAAUAUAAAUAUGUUAGUAUCCGAUUCAAUUUAGGCCUAGUUAUACCGUAAGGCGGUAACCAGUCAGUGUCACCGACUCCUUGGUAUCCACUGAUAAAAAAAAGAAAUAAAUAAAGCGGCAACUAGAGAAGAGUACUGCUUCCAAGAAAAGCAGUGGCAGCAGGAGAGAGGAAGCGUGGCGAUGGAACCCAAACCUCUCUUCCUGCUGCUUUGUAUCGCACUACUCUUCCCUUCUUCCACCGCUUCCUGCUCCCCUCGCAGCUGCAAGGUUCCCCGUUCUUUCUCCCUCCCUUCCUCUCUCUCUCUCUUUCUUUAUUGGAUCUGAAAGACUUCUUCCUCUCCCUUUCCCUCUCAUUUUUGAUCUGAUUUUCCUCUUAUUUUUGAUGUCUAUCUAUAAAAUACCAUAGCUGCUGGACUCGUGUUCGACGGCGGAUGACUGCGCUCCGGGCCUCUACUGCGGCACCUGCCCGGCCUCCGGCAAGACCCGGCCCUCCUGCACCCGAGGCAGGGCCACCGUUCCCACCUCCAUUGUACCCCUCCCCCAACUCUCUUCUUUCUUGCUUGAAUAAUAUAUUGAUUCUUUGAAGUAGCGAGUGAUGUGGGAGUGGUUUUAUUUUCAGGUGAAGGGGCUGCCCUUCAACAAGUACACAUGGUUGGUGACUCACAACUCCUUCUCCAUCGUCAAUGAGACCUCGUACACCGGCGUCCAGCGCAUCACCUUCUACAACCAGGAGGACACCGUCACCAACCAAUUGAGAGUAUACCCCUUGAUUCGUGCCUCCUGGUUCCUGAAUUUUCCUUCUUUUUUUUUUGUGCAUUUUUUGGCGUUACGUUGGCUGAUAAAUCAUUCUAGAAUGGCGUCCGGGGUUUGAUGCUGGACAUGUAUGAUUUUAAGGACGAUAUCUGGCUUUGCCACUCGCUGCAGGGCCGGUGCUACGACUUCACUGCUUUUGUAAGUCAAAUUCCCUAUCUUUUCUCUUCUUAAAUGCUUAAUUAUCUGAGAUCAGGGUAAGGAAGGAACUUGCAUAUAAAUAAGCUUUGGUCUGAGUUGUUUGAUUACUUGGUGUGAUGUUAGGAACCAGCGAUUAACACACUGAGGGAGGUGGAGGCAUUCCUGACUGAGAACCCAUCGGAGAUCGUGACUAUCAUCAUUGAAGAUUAUGUGCAUGCUCCUAAGGGGUUGACGAAGCUGUUUAUGAAUGCUGGCUUGGUCAAGUAUUGGUAUCCGGUCUCGGAGAUGCCGACAAAUGGCAGGGAGUGGCCGAGUGUGACGGAUAUGGCGGUGAAAAAUCACCGGCUGCUGGUCUUUACUUCUGAUGCUUCGAAGGAGGCCGAUGAAGGGAUUGCUUACCAGUGGAGGUAUAUGUUGGAGAAUGAACGUAAGUUCUCAGAAAACUUGCUAAUGAAAUGUUGACAAUUAUCCGUUCUCUUUGUCAAAUGUCGGUUCUUUACACAAUUAGUCACAAUCAGUAAGUGAUUUGCAAGCAACUGCAGAAUACCCAAUGAUGAACUCUUGAUGAGUCGAUGCUAUGUUCUAGAUAUGACUGCUGUGUUUUCCUGCACAUCAAUCAAUCACAUAUCAGGAUUAACAUAUUAGACUUGAGUACGUUAUAAGAGUGGGGAAGAUUUAGAUAUUGUAAGGCAAUUACACUAACAAGAUUUGUUAUAGAAUAAAUCUUUGUACUGCCAAAACAAGGUAGAGAGAACAUUAGUGAUAAGUGCGGAAUGAUAAGACAGCUAAUAUAGGAUCAAGUUGUCAACACUCUCUUGACCAAAAAUGCAGACCAUCAAACUGAUAAUAGUUUCCCUAAUUGCUUGCUUGACCUCUUCUCCCCAUUGUUUUAUAGAAUGACACACAUUCUUUAUGUUAAUCCUAUCAACAGCUAGAGCUUUAGGCUUUUGCUGACCCUUGCAAACUAAAACAUGUGUUGUUUGGGAAACCUAACUUUAGUAUUCAACUUUUUAAGGUUCAUCCAAUUUCAUAUCCUUCAAUGCCAGCUUAUAUUCAACAGCCAGUACCUUUCAUUGAUGAAGUCUUUGAAUGUAUUUGUAAGUUCUUUGUCCAUCCUUUAAUCAUAUAUGUGAUAGCAACAUAUCUCCAUCUCUAGCACACCCUCCAGUUCUAGUAAGCCCUUGUUUUUAUUAUCAACCCUCUAGUCUCCAUUUUCCUUUCCACUUCUGCUUCCAUCUAUUAGAUCUCUUCCAAUUGUCUGGGUUUGCACUUGCCCAUGUUCUCUAAGAUGUUGAUUGGCAUAUUAAAGCUCUUUUUUCCAAUGUUUCAUUCUCAUAGCUAAUCUAACUGGAUUCCCUCUCCUUCGACCUUCACCCUUAAAAUUCUAGUUUAAAUAUGACUGCAAAUGGGUCUUGUCAGCUGGAAAUCUGCCCCAUGUCUGUACCCGACCUCACCCAGUUGAACAGUUGGAUACGUUUAUAUCCACAUCUAGACCUUUUUCCCCCUCAGGCAAGGGGUUACAUAACCUAACUUGUGCCUGCAUUAAAAUUUAAUAUGGAUAGAUUAUAUUUCAAACCUAACCCAACCAGACAACUCACCCGGUUGAAACCAGCUUGCCAAUGUAUGGAGAUUAUACAGAUACACAAACUCAAGAUUUGUAAACUGCAAUUCAGUUUUGGCAUGAGCUUUGUAAUGCAUCAUGAUUUUAAACUACUUCUCAACAGAUGGCAAAGUUGUAAGCACUGCUGGUCUUUUAUCCCCCAUAUCAUCUCCAGCAAAACCAAAUCACAGAACCACUUUAGUAGGAUUAGUUAUGCUUUUAUUUACUGUAGAUAAUCAUUUCAACGCUCUAUAAUUUGAAAUGAUUUUUGUGGGGAUAAUGCCUGAAUUUAUUGUUUUCAUUCAGUAAAUGUAUUUUCUCAUUGACUUAUUAUGAGAAAACUUUUGCAUGCUCCAAAUUAUGAUUCAGGUCGAAGGCUAUAAAAGUUAUCAGUUAUUUGCACAAACAGAAUCGUACUAAUCUUUUACAUAGAAAUUAUGAUCAAAAAUCAAGAAACAUAGCCAUGCUUGCUAAAUCCAAGAUGAGCUUAUAUUUUGGUCUAUGAAUCAAGCGGUGGCCCUAAGAAAGUAUAAAUUUUUUUUAAAAAAAACACUCAUGAAAAAAUGUUAUACAUAUUAAGGAAAAUGCAUGCGUCCAUUUUGAAGUUUUAUUAGCAUGAAUUUAAAGUUUCUUGAUUUCUAUAAAUUCUUCUUCUUUUCUCGUAUAUCUCAUAUCCUCUUUUUUUUUUAUUUGGUAAGAUUGAGGAGAGAAUAUGAAAGAGCAUGCCCCUAUAAUGUAAAGCCCUAAUAAAACCGCACUAACCGGUAUCAACAAUCCACUUCGGUUGGCCGCUUUCAGAUUGUACGUGUUGGCUCUUCCAGGAUGAGGCAAUUUGUUGCGGCUGUGGCUACUAUCAGUACAAAUUGAUGUUUGUUGUCUCUCUGAAUACACAUUAUUUCAAUAUCUCUUUCUUCCUUUUGUCUGAUUGAAUUGGCCUGUAGCUUUUGGAUCCAUGUUCCUUAUACUUCGCCAGGCAAAAAGAUCCAUAGAGACCAGCCUAUUUUGUGUUCACACUGUAUGUAAUAACGGCUUUGUGGUAAUUGUGCGCAGUUUUCUUGUUCUUCACAACUUCUCUUGCGGAGCUUUAUCUGCCCAUUAAGUCAGUAGAUUCUUCCAUCUUGCUUAAGAUGCAUUUUCAUUGCUAAGCCAAUAUCCAAUAUUCACUUCUACCAGAAAUAGAACAUCUCCUCUAUCCUCCAUGCAGUCUCUUGUAUUCUAUGUAUUCUUAAUUCUAUGCAUUUAGGUCUAGGUGGUCCACUAUGAAGACUGGAGCAAAUCAAAUGCUUGUGGAAGGAUGAAAAAUUUUAAGAUGAAGUGUGCGUAUAAGCAAUAUUUGGAAGAGCACUCACUGACAGAGGAUGCCUCCCAAGUUAACUGCAAAGUAUAGAGGAACUCAAGUUGUUGGGAUAAGGCUUGACGAUGAUGGUUAGACUUGAUUUGAGUCUGUGCUCGUGAGCAACCUUCUCUAUAUUCCCUUUUUUGCGAAAGUGUAUCUUGAUUUUUUUCCCCAUCAGGAACUACAUCUGUUAAAUAAACUCUAGUUAGUUAAUGAUGUUGGUAUCCUCCUCUAACAUUUAACUUAAUUUUUACUGACCUAUCCAUUUUCAUUUUUUCAAAAAGAUCAUUUAUAUCUAUUGCUGUCUCUAAUUUCAGUUAUUGGCCUUCUCAACAUUUGUAAGCUGUUUGCCGUUACUAUUCUCCUUGGUUGAUAUAAUCAUUCUGCACCAGGUUACUGCCUGGGCAGGUCCCUAUUUUCUAAUUCUAGAAGAAUUUUGUUCUAAGUCUAAACAGACCUCUAAAUCCUGUCUAGUCUCACCAUGAUCAGGCUCUAUUCUGGUGUUUCCACAUGAUGCUAGAUCAUGAGCAGGAGAAGAAAGAAUCUUCAUCUAUGGAUAGUUGGUUGUUUGAGCCAUCUUCAUCUUGUUAUAAAUAAAAUAUCAGCAAUACUAAUCUUAAAAAUAUUUUGCAGUAAUCUGAUGAAACUUUAGAUCUAAUUCCAAGUAGUCUAUAAAUUGUGCUAUUGAUGUCUGAUUUUUGGGAGAUAUGAUAGACUGAUUGUAGAAGGUAAAUGUAAUGUGUUGGGGAUAAAUGGCCAAAUUCAAAACUAUGUAGCAGUAUCUUUACAUGGUUAGUUAGAUAUAGUGGUUACAAUAGACCACUUCAAACAUUAGUUAUGCUGGUUGCAGUUCAUGUUCAGCUCAAUUCUAGGCUUGGCCAAGCUCAAAUUGAAAUGAAACGAGCUGAGCUUAAUAAUGGCUGGUACACUUGCAAUUAAUUUUAUAUACAUUUUAAAUAUUUAAUCUAUAUUUAAAAUAUUGAUAUAAUAUAUAUUGCUUAUAGUGUGUAUAUACGUAAUAUUUUCCUCAAAAAAAAGUAACAACUGUAAUGAACCAUUGAAAUCAAUCCAAUGACUAAAAUCAAUAGGCUGGGUUAUUGAACAAUUUGAUGGCUUCAUUAUGUAUUGUAAUUCAUGGUUUGAUGGGUUUCACUGGUAGAGACGGUAGCAUUUUGAUGGUAUAACUAAUCAUAUGGGAUUUUUUAUUUAGACAAGGCAUGGAAUUUCGACUUCGAACAAAGCAUGAAUUGGGCUUGGUUCAAGGUUAUCUAGGCAUUUUAGACAGGCUUCUGAUCUGAUUAGCUCAAAAUUGGGCUUGGUUAAGCGCUUGAUUAAACAGGAAAUGAGUCAAGUUUGGUCCUAAAUUUCAGGUUUGAAAUUAAAUUUUGGCCAGGUUUGAUCAGAGUCAGGCUCAAUCAAGCUUUGCUCAAUUACACCCCUAAGCAUCACUAGCCAUACUACCAUAACGGAUGGUAGUGUCAAUUUGGGAAUUACUUGAUUGAGAGUUGGUGCCUUUCAUCGUGUUGCAAAAAUAAAUUUGAUGACCGUUGGAGAUUAUAAAUUAGAAUCUGCUUUUCUACAUGAUUACUAAGAUAAAAUUAAGAUGUUAUGGUUUUAGGUAAACUUGGUUCAUUUGAUGGAUUUACAAGUGAUGUGGAAUUCAAUAAGCAUGAUAUUGGCAUUUCUUCUGGAUUUCAAAUUAAUAUUUGGUAUUUUUUUGUAAGCAGUACUCUGUGUCAUUGUGUAAGAGAUUAGUUCUCAUUCUUCUCACACUUUGCAUUCCUUCUUCCUGAAGAUUUCUCCAAACAUUUUCAUUUAACAGCAACUUAUAGUCUGGCCUCUUACAUAACAAUACAAUCUUGGCAGCUGGAGAUCCAGGAAUUGUACCAGCCUCCUGUCCAAAUAGAAAGGAAUCACAACCUCUGAAUUCAAGAUAUGCAUCUCUAUUUCUGCAAAAUUACUUCCCUACGAUCCCUGUUGAAAAUGAAGCUUGCAAGGAACACUCACUUGGACUUGCUGAAAUGGUUGAUGCUUGUUAUAAAGCAGCUGGAAAUUUGAUGCCUAACUUCGUUGCUGUGAACUUCUACAUGGUAUGACUAAAUUGCCACUUCAAGAAAGGAAACUUAUUUAGAGUGAAAAGGUGAAAUUUCCUAACCAAAGCAUGUGUUUGCAGAGAAGUGAUGGUCGAGGUGUUUUUGACAUACAAGAUAGAAUGAAUGGGAUAAAUCUAUGUGGUUGUAGCACAGUUACUGCCUGCCAGGUUUGUUUCAAUGAUUCCUGGUAUCUCUAGAGCCCAGAACUUGCUCAGCCUUCAGCUCUAUGAGCAAUUGCACCUCCCUACUGCUGGUUUAUGGUGCCAUUUCUUUAUGAUCAAAAUAAUAUAAUCUCUGUAUCCAAUAUUUGUCUUAAAUGACCUUGAUUAGCAUCUCUCAAGAUCCAUUUAUGCAAUUUUGCAGGCCGGGGCACCAAGUGGAUCCUGUAAGAACACUGGAGCAUCUAAUCGAACUCCCACAAUUAAUGGAGGCACCUUUUCUGGGUAUGUACAGCUGUCAGGAUCUACACUGAGGUUCCACUUUUAUGAUCUCUUGGUGAUAAAUUUGCUUUGUGCUUUUCUGAUGAUAGUGUUCUCAUUGUAGCUGAUCAUUCACAUUAUAUUGUUGCAUCAUUUGUUAGUGAGCAUUUGCCUUUUGAUGGGCUCCCAUUUUCAUCAUUUUGUUCUUCUUCAAAGUAUUAUUGCAUUUCUGACGUGGCUAUCAAAGAUUUGGAGGACAAGGAAGUCAGUAGGCUAAUAUUUUGGCAAAUUUUGUUUGAGAGCCUGGCAUAUUAUUUUUUCAAUCAUACGAAAGUAAUAGCCAUCGUGCUUCUUCAACCAGUCAUCAAGGGUAGUAUUGCCUGUAGUUACUGGUGAGCAGGUAACUUGGGGAACCAGAAUAGCUCAAAUACUUGUCCAGAUAUAGACAAGGUCUGAUUAUAUGGUUAUCGGCACUAAGGCAAAAGUAAAAUGCAAACUUCACUUCAUCUACUCGCAAAACCUUGCCAAAUAAGCAUUAUUAUUUUCAUAUGAAGAAUGGAUGAUGCUGGAUUGACCAGUUGCUGGUCAAGUUAUGUUUAUGAAACCUUUAGUCGUCUUCUUUAAGUUUUAGUGAGGAAAACACUUAACGAUUGAUUGAUUUUCUUGUCAUUCAAUUGCCUUGUAAAUAUUCUUGCCCAUGGUGAAAUUGAUAUCUGAAACAUGGAACAUUGUGGCAAGUGCCACACAUUAUGAUGGUAGAACCCCUUGAAUACAUACUUGGCAUAUGAAGCAUCAAGCAGAUUGGAUAUUUAAUAGUUUUAAUAAUCAUCAUGGACAAUGGUUAUGAGUCAGAUGUUGGUUGGUUUACUUAAGGGAUUUUAUUAGUCUAAUAACCAAAUGCAGCAUGCCAAUAUUUGGUUGAGAUAACCUGUUUCUUCUGGCUUAUUCUGCGACUUUUCUCAGUGGGUAGAAUAGGCAUUUAGAAAGUGAUAGCCCAAUUUUUUUUCCAACUCACCUGAUUAACCUGGAAUUAAAUCCCUCUAUUCUGACUGCCAAAAGGAGUUGUUUGAUUGAAUGACUCCAGGUUAAAGCCGGUUAGGGCAAGUCCAGAACCAAGAGGCUUCUCUGCUACUGUUCAUCGGUACUUGAUCAUGACUUAAAAUAUACCACAUCAAUCAGUUAAAUAGCUGCCCCUGAUAUACUAUAACUAGAAAGAUUUGACCAGAUGAUAGGCCUAACUAGUUGUAAUAUGUAAUAAUCUUACUCCAAAUUGCUAAAGCUAUGCGGGCCAAUCAUUUUGGAUCUGAGCCAACUCUGUGAGAUACUGGAGAAUGUGAGAGAGAGAGAGAGAGAGAGAGAGAGAGAGAGAGAGAGAGAGNNNNNNNNNNNNNNNNNNNNNNNNNNNNNNNNNNNNNNNNNNNNNNNNNNNNNNNNNNNNNNNNNNNNNNNNNNNNNNNNNNNNNNNNNNNNNNNNNNNNNNNNNNNNNNNNNNNNNNNNNNNNNNNNNNNNNNNNNNNNNNNNNNNNNNNNNNNNNNNNNNNNNNNNNNNNNNNNNNNNNNNNNNNNNNNNNNNNNNNNNNNNNNNNNNNNNNNNNNNNNNNNNNNNNNNNNNNNNNNNNNNNNNNNNNNNNNNNNNNNNNNNNNNNNNNNNNNNNNNNNNNNNNNNNNNNNNNNNNNNNNNNNNNNNNNNNNNNNNNNNNNNNNNNNNNNNNNNNNNNNNNNNNNNNNNNNNNNNNNNNNNNNNNNNNNNNNNNNNNNNNNNNNNNNNNNNNNNNNNNNNNNNNNNNNNNNNNNNNNNNNNNNNNNNNNNNNNNNNNNNNNNNNNNNNNNNNNNNNNNNNNNNNNNNNNNNNNNNNNNNNNNNNNNNNNNNNNNNNNNNNNNNNNNNNNNNNNNNNNNNNNNNNNNNNNNNNNNNNNNNNNNNNNNNNNNNNNNNNNNNNNNNNNNNNNNNNNNNNNNNNNNNNNNNNNNNNNNNNNNNNNNNNNNNNNNNNNNNNNNNNNNNNNNNNNNNNNNNNNNNNNNNNNNNNNNNNNNNNNNNNNNNNNNNNNNNNNNNNNNNNNNNNNNNNNNNNNNNNNNNNNNNNNNNNNNNNUGGGUAGAUUUUGGGUACUUAUAUAUGAUCAAGGAACCCAAAUAAUAACUUUCCGGCUAGCCAUUUUGGGUGAGGUUUUAGAUUGUUAGACUCUCCAUACUGGUUUCUUUUAUUAUCUAUACUUGCGAGGAUACUGUUUGUUCGCUUUAGAUAUUCAUAUUUCGGAUCUUACUUAUAUUGGCUCGUGAACACUAAUAAAGAGUGAAUCCUGAAGCCACUUCUUUGUAUUCCCUCGGAAGUGCAACAGCCGGACAAGACACGUAAAUUGACCUUUCUCACAGGUAGCCCUUAUCCCUUAUGGUGCUGAUGUGUCCUGGCCAAAUCGGACCGAGUAUUUUUAGGCCUACAUCUGGAUUGCUUGUCUCGUUCAGCUUGACAAAUAUUAGAAGGCGGCUUUAAAACCAUUCUCUCCUUGAAAUGGAUUGCGUUUAUUUCUCGUAAGCUGAACAAAUGUUCGUCAUUCCAUUGGCCAUUUCUAGAUGAGGCUUGCGAAGCUCUCCUCUAUACGUGGACUCCUCUAUGAGCUUACAGCAGCAUCCUAUUCUGUAGUCAUCGUCUUGUCUUUCUGUUUAGAUUUCUGUCAACUUUAGAUUUCGUUCAGAAGCUACCUGUGUAAAACAAGGAAGCUAAAGUGGGCAAGUUCAUGCAUAACAUAGACAACGAAUGGGUUGACUUGGAAGGAAAUAAAUGGGCCUUACGUGGACCGUAUUAAGUCUUACUUUUUUUUAUCUAGAGAAAUGAUUGAUUGAAUCAAAACCCAAUUUAUCGUCUCACAAAACACGUGCAAUAACAGAAUCUAAUGAACCAUGUAACUUCUAUUGGCCAAAGAUUACUAUUCUUUUGUUCAUUCGAAAAUGUCUCAUACUUUGAUUGCAUAUAUUUUUAAAAACUUCAUAAUUUUUCUUAUGAAAUUUUCGUUUGAGCAAAACUAGUUUUGUUCGUUUGAUGAAUGUCUCAUACUUUUGUUGCAUAUAUUUCAAAAACUUCAUAAUUUUUUCUUGUGAAACUUUUAUUUGAAGAAAACUAGUCUUGUGAAACUUUUAAAAACUUCAUAAUUUUUCUUAUGAAAUUUUCGUUCUAGCAAAACUAGUUUUGUUCGUUUGAUGAAUGUCUCAUACUUUUGUUGCAUAUAUUUCAAAAACUUCAUAAUUUUUUCUUGUGAAACUUUUAUUUGAAGAAAACUAGUGUUGCGCACUUUAACUGCACGCAAUAGAAAGCAUAGGCAACCACAAACCUGUUAUUAGAUCAAGUAUUACUUUGUGAGCUGCAUCUCUUGGUUAAUUCCUUCUUUUUGAUACACUUUUUAGUGAUAUUUCUCCCACCCAAGCCCCAAGGAGAGAACAAAUGCUUUUAUUCAAACUACUAAAAAAUAGUCAUUUGGGAGUCGACCAAGGUUGCAUUAUCCUAUAUGUUAUAAAAGUAUAAAUAAUUUCUGUCAAUCAAGGCUUUUGCUUUCUACUGUAGUUAGCUCAACGUGCGGUAAGAGUAAAGAUAAAGGAGCCGGCGUGCGGUCGCCUGAGAACAUAAAGGCGCACCGGGUAAAGAUUCAUGAGGCCCUGAUCUUUCUUUCCAUCAGAGCACGACACGGUGGGCACAAAUACGACAAGGGAGCGGCGCUCAGCCGCGUGGACCCAGGCAUGCGCCCACCGACCAAACCUGGCUCAAAAGCGCACCACCCCACCCAAGUCAAAAGGUAGCCGGAAGCGAAAGAGCAUGCAUUGCCACCACCGCCGUGGUCACCUCCCUGGGCCCCAAACUUCCGCAUCGCGGUCGGGUUCCAAGAACUUAGUCCCUCUCGUCGCUUUCCCCGACCAAACUUCCAGUCGCCAGCUCCGUUUUCGCGAACAGAGCCCUGCCCCUUGGCUCGAAUGAGAUCUCAUUAGCCCACCAAGCUAUUUCUCUUGUUUUGUCCUCAUUGCUGAGGCUGGCAAGGCAGAUCCUGUGCGCAUGGCCACACACACACACACAGAUCCCAAGUGUCAUUGUAGGUAUUUUCGAUUUCACUAAAGUGGUCCAAAUUCGAAACGUGCAAGCGUUGAUUAAAUGUGGGGUCCAGAUACCUCCGCCUGAAUUGUCCGGUGGAGUCGCCAUCAUGGAACAACUCAUGAGUGGGGAGGGUAUGAGUAAACCGCAUCAAACAUUCUCCAGUGGGAAGGGGGCUCAGUGGGGGUUGCUAUGUGGAUGAGGUUUUUCUGUUCCUUCUCUUUUCUUUUUCAAAGUAAAAAAAAUAAAAAAAUAAAAAGCUCUAAAUCUGUUUUUGGAUUUGAAUCUAUUCAAAUAUGAAUAAAAAUUUGAGCAAACUAAUAUUCUCCAUAUUUAUAUAUAUCAAAGAGAAAUAGAUAUGAAUAUGAAUAAUUUAAUUUAUAACUCUAUUUAAUUUUAUAAAAAAUUUAUUAAUUUUUAAUAUAUAUAUAUAUACUAUUAAUUUGAUUUACCAUCAGUUUAGUAAUAUUUUUGAUUAUGUAGCUAUAAAAUUUAACUAUCCAAUUUAUAUUUAUAUUUUUAAUAUUCAAUUUGUAUUCAUAUCAUCUCGAAAUAUAUUUAAAUAUAAUUUUUUGUAUUUAAUUUAUAUUUGUAUUUAUCUGAUAAAAUAGAUAUAGAUUAAUAUAUUGAUAUCCUAUCCGCUUUUGCUGGCUCGGUCCGAUGUCCAAAAGAUGGCCAUCUGUCUCCACUGCAUGCGGUGUCUGAAAUUUAUGAAAGGCCGCAAGAAAUGGAUAAUUACGAUAAUAAAAAAUGGGUAGUAAUAAUCAGCACCGUCCAAACAAAAGCCUUUUAAUUCCGUUUCUUCCACCGCGCUGCUUCCUGGCAGCUCCGUAUGACACCACCAACCUCUUCGGUCCGACGACCUUCCAUCACUCCCUCCCAGCCGUCAGAUCUCCGGUUUACCGACUCUACGACUUCGAUCUGGCCGUCCGUAUGCCGUCACCGCUGCGCCGAACGCGCUGCCGUGACCCAAACGGAAACGUCCACGUCGGGAGCCGUCACGUGACGUCGGGCCGCCACGUCGAGACAACGGGAGGCCGCAAGAGCGCAUCCCUCGCUUUUGUCGGCGAGGGUCCUCGUGGCGGCCGCUCCAACCGACACCUGCCAUCCCGAGUUCCACGUUUUCGUUCUCCUGAUCUUCUCUCAGCCUCCCUCCCCUUAUACUUCUAUGACGGCCGUUAUAACGGCUCCCGUUGCUAAUUUACAUGAAUGGAUGGUAGGCUUGUAAAUGGUCGCUAUUAUCUGACCAUGCUUCCAUCAUAACGGUCCUAAUAUGAUGAAAAUAAUGGAUACUAUUUGACAUCUUCAAAUCAAUAGUCAUUUAAAAUGCUAUUUAUUAGUUCAAAUAACUAACGAGCUAAAGGGCAAUUCUUUAUUUGAUGAAACAAUAGUUUGAGCACAUAGUUAUCAUUGUAAUAGCUAAUAGUAAUAUUGUUUUAAUACCAAUAUGUUAAUUUUGAUAUAUUGAAACAAAUAAUCAAUUGUUGUUGUUAUCAUUAUGAAAAAUAAUGAUUUGUUUAAGCACUUCUACUGAAACGAAGGAAUGCAUGCACCAUUUAGAGGUUUGGCAUGUUGCAAAUAUUGCUCCGACAAAUUUCUUAUCUCCAUUGUUGAGGCGAUCCACGUUAGAGAGAAAGAAUUUGUGUAUGAGAAUGGAGGAAGAAUCAGAGAGAUAAAAUGGCAUUCUAAUUAUAAUUUUGUGAUUACUUUUUAUAGAGGAUCUCCAGAUUUAUUUGUAGCUAAGGGAUACAAAAUUCUAAAAUAUUGCGCUCUAAUAGUCUGAAGUCGUGUGGUAAUCAUCCGAGAUUCCGUCAUAACCAUAUGAGAUCCAGUUGUAAUUGUCUAAAAUCACAUUGUAACGAUUUAGGAUUGUGCGAUAACUAUAGCAAAACAUGCUAACUCUAUGAGUAAUGAGAGAAAUGCAUCUCUAGCCAUUGUUCGAUGUAAAAGAGCCUUAGUUGGCUGGGGAUAGAUGCCACGCUGCAAGAAUGUCUGCUUAUGCUACGAGGUUUUAUGAAGGUGAUACAUCUCAGAGGUCUUUUGAUGCUCGUCCUACUUCUCAACUUGAUCGAGUUAGACCUAGUUUGGCCAUACACAAUAUCAAUCUUGAGUUGGACCAAUCUGAUUACACUACGUCACUAUGCUUAUUUAUUGCCAUAUCACUUGCAAUCAAUUUCUCUGAUCAAGCUGAGACCAGCAACUCGGCUCGAGGAACUAGUUUGCCCAAGUGCUUUCAAGUCAAUAUCUCGAUCAUCUGUAAAACAACGAUUCCUAUGUAUACGUUGCUGCCAUUUUGUAUAACUCGUUAAGAUUAUAAUCUAUAAUGAAAUAAAUGCUUGUAUUCAUAUAUUCACUCUAAGAGGCUACUCCAUUCCUCAUAGAUUUUUUUAAGAUAGAUAAUAAUAAAAUAUAAUUUUAUAUAAAACAAUUUUUUUUAAAAAAGAAGAAAAUUUAUAUUCAUAAAGCUCACUUUUUGAGUCUCAUGACAUUAAUUUUAACAGAAUUUAGAAAAACAAUUAAAAACUAAUUUUACAAAAUUCAAUCAUUUUGAACCAACAUUCAAACAACUCAUUGGACCGUAGCAUAGUAUUUAGUUUUAAUAAAUUGUUUCUUCGAAUAAAAUAAAAUAAAAAUAUUUAAAAUUUAAAAUAAAUAUUAUUUAUACAGAAUAUUUUUUAAUCCAUAAGUUGUUAAUGUAGAAAUUUUAAACUAGUACAUAAAGUCCACGUUAGCGGCUUGUAUUAUUCUAAUGCGGAGUAACCCCCUAGCGGACGUCAUCAUAUCACAAGAAGACAAAGCGAGAAAUAACAUUAUCAUCAAGGCGGCAGCUACGACAAAGAUAACGGCGUCAUUGGAAGCUUGUCCUCUCCUUUCUCUCUCGUCCUCUCUCGGCAACCGCCCGCAUAAACUAUCCCGCAUGAUCGAACCACACGUGCUUCCCCUCCCCGAUUAUAAGUAACCCCAACCGCAACCGCACAUGGAAAACAAUUAUAACAAAAUAUAAAAGGGGAAAAGAGAGAGGCCAAUUCUCGCCUCUCGGUUCCAUCGAUCGAGAUGGAGGAGGAGUCGCCGUCGCCGCCGCCAGCGAGGAAGGAUGGCAAGGAGCGGCUCUACCGCGGGGUCCGGAUGCGAAAGUGGGGCAAGUGGGUCGCCGAGAUCCGCGAGCCCAACAAGCGCUCCCGGAUUUGGUUGGGCUCCUACUCCUCCCCCGUCGCCGCCGCCAAGGCCUACGACACCGCCGUCUUCUACCUCCGCGGCCGCUCCGCCCGCCUCAACUUCCCCGACGACCUCGCCGUCGACGCCGACGCCGACGCAGCCAUGUCCGCCGCUCUCAUCCGGAAGAAGGCCACCGAGGUCGGCGCCCGGGUCGACGCCCUCCACGCCACCGCCCCCGCCUCCCUGGCCGCCGGAGCUCCCGGCCCCGACCAUCGCCGCCGGCAGGCUUAUAAGAGGCCGGACCUCAAUCAGAAGCCCAGCCCCGAGAGCUCCGACGAGGACUGAGAACUCUUUGGCUAGUCGGAUUCCGUUCCUCCUCCAAGGCUCAUGACGAUGAGUUUAUGUAAAUUAAGAGUUUUGUUAAUUUAUAUCUUUUUGUUUGUCUAAAACUUUAGAUCAGAGUUUUGUUUAUCUUUAGGUUUUUUAGAUGGGGGUUGAAGACUCGAUCACUCGAGGUUGGAUGGAGAAGGGAAGUAGUAUGGAUUGGGUAUCAGUUGCGGUGUUGAUGAUGGGGUGUGGAGGUGAGGGGAAUUCUAUCUGUAUGUGUAGAUUAGAUAGGAUAUCAACAAGAACAAAUCAAACGAGGUUAUGAUGUUCUUCUUGCUAUCUGGUACCUUUAGGAUGAAGGGAUGAUGCUAAAAUAAUCUCUUUUGAUCAUCAAAUGCUUUCUUUGCUUUUCAAUAUCUUUUAUGUGUAAGAUAUUGUAUGCGAGGUGAUAAGGAUGAGCUCCAGGUGUGUUUGAAUCUAUAGAAACUUGAAUAACAAUUUUUUCGCAGUAUGGGUAUUUGUUGGAUCUGAAGAGAAUCCAUUCUAUUAGCGUAGUAGAUAUGAUGUCUAAAGUUCAACCCUAUUUGGUACGAACCAUGGAUUGAAGGAAGGUUGGAUAGAGGAGGGAGAGGAUAGAUGGAGUAGGAUGGAUGAAUAUUUUAUCCAUCCUCCUAUGCUUUGGUAAAACAUAGAAAAAUAGGUAGAAAUGGUUCCCUUCCUUUAUUUAUUAUAGAAAAAAUAUAAACAAAAGAUGAUAUCUAUAUUAUAUUUUUACUAAAUUAUUUUUUUAUAAAUAAAUAUUAAGAUUUUUUUUUAUGAAUACCCUCCUAAAUAUCAGAUUUUGCAUGAAUAUCCUUCCAAAAUUGAUAUUUGCAUGUAUACCCUCGUCAAAUACUUAUUUUGCUAUUUUAUCUUUUUUUAUUUUUAUUUUUGCAUAUAUAUCCAUGUUAUCUUCCAAAAAAAUUAACGGUUUUAAAUUAAAAUGAUUAAAAUAUUCUUAAUGAGUAGACAUAUAGCGAUCCCAUUAGCAGCAGACAGAAAUAAUAGUGUAAUUUUAAAAUUUUAUUUUAUUUUUAUUAAUAUAAAUAUGAUUUUUCUUAACACCGUUAGAACAACUGUUAUCCUAGGGAUAUUUGUACAAUAACAAAUUUUUUACGAAGGUAUAUAUGUAAAUAUCAAAAUAAAAAUAUUCAUGUAAAAUCCGAUAUUUAGAAGGAUAUCCAUGCAAAAAACCAAAAUAUUAUUAAUGAGAUGGGGCAUGAAUCUGAUUAAAAGAAUAAUCAAAAAAUUAAUAAAAAAGUAAUUUUAUCAAUAUAGAAAUCUAUUUUUUAUAUGCUGCAUCCUCUCAAUCUGGGAGGAUACAAAUGGGUGCGUGCAUGGGCAGUUCUUUCUUUUCAUUCAUCUUUGCUAAAUUUUUUGGAAUCAAACUAGAGAUAGAGGCCAUCCAUUAUUUCAAUACCGUCCAUCUUCACUCUCAUGACCCCAACCAAACAAAGGAUAAAGACUAAACAACUAUAAUUAAUUGCUUGGAAAGUUUAAUUUUUAACAGAAGCACAUGAUUUUAAUCUAGUCUACUUGUGGUGUAAAAAGCGCAAGAAUGUAUUCGAAUAUAUUAGAUAAUUAUGUUUUACGUGCGUUUUAAGGUGCGACGGAUUAAGAUCCAAGGCUUGUCUUAAUCUUCUUUUGCAAAACACAGGUGGACCAUGAGGGUGGAAACAUGCUUAUUUUAAUAUGGGAAUUUCAUAAUAGAGUUGCUCCCAUUUGGUGAUUUACCAAAUGAUGGUGGUGUCAUGACAUGCCUCAGCACUCUCAAAAUUUUGAUAGCAGCAGUGACAUUAGUAGUCGAUGUUUUCCAAGUUGUUGUAGUUCAACUACUAUGCUAUGCACUCGGAUUCCUCUUUCAUUUAAGAAGUUUGGUGACUUAGCAGGUAUGACUCCUCGCUCAUGAUGUAUACUUUGAAGACGCGAGGAACUAUUGGGAUGUGCAUGUCAAUCCAAACAUUAACUCAUAUGCACUUAAGCAUGCAAAACUUUUCAACAUUAGCCUUUUGCCAUCAGGAUUUCUAAUGUCAAGUUUAGUCCAACCAAGAAUUGCAUUCCCUCUUUAAUACAAGAAAACGUUGUAUUGGCUGGCACAUGAUAGUGAAAACACGACAAGGUGCGACACAGGUCGGCCUCCCUCACGGUUUUGCCCUUUAAAAAGCGUCUCCUGAGAGAAGGAUAAUCGAGCCCUCCAUUUAAGAUACAGACAUUUCUGCUAUUCAGUCGAUGUGGGACUAAGUCCGAGAUGCUUUAUUCCCACAACAUCAGCCCCCCUCCCCAGCGGGAAGGUCUGAGCCAAUGUCAAGAGCCCCUACCUAGCACGCUAAUGAUGAGAUCGGAGUUUUUUCGACCUCAGACCUUAGCUCCCACCGAACUGGAACAGAAAAAGGAGACUGCGUCGCCACAGGAGGUAUUGUCCACUUUGGGGUAGGGUACGGCACAGGUCAGCCUCCCUCACAGUUUUGCCCUUUAAAAGGCGCCUCUUGAGAGAAGGAUAAUCGAGCUCUCCAUUUAAGGCACAAACCUUUUUCGCUAUUCAAUCGAUGUGGGACUAAGUCCAAGACUCUUUAUUAGCACAAUACUAUAUAUAUAUAUAUACACACACACACNNNNNNNNNNNNNNNNNNNNNNNNNNNNNNNNNNNNNNNNNNNNNNNNNNNNNNNNNNNNNNNNNNNNNNNNNNNNNNNNNNNNNNNNNNNNNNNNNNNNNNNNNNNNNNNNNNNNNNNNNNNNNNNNNNNNNNNNNNNNNNNNNNNNNNNNNNNNNNNNNNNNNNNNNNNNNNNNNNNNNNNNNNNNNNNNNNNNNNNNNNNNNNNNNNNNNNNNNNNNNNNNNNNNNNNNNNNNNNNNNNNNNNNNNNNNNNNNNNNNNNNNNNNNNNNNNNNNNNNNNNNNNNNNNNNNNNNNNNNNNNNNNNNNNNNNNNNNNNNNNNNNNNNNNNNNNNNNNNNNNNNNNNNNNNNNNNNNNNNNNNNNNNNNNNNNNNNNNNNNNNNNNNNNNNNNNNNNNNNNNNNNNNNNNNNNNNNNNNNNNNNNNNNNNNNNNNNNNNNNNNNNNNNNNNNNNNNNNNNNNNNNNNNNNNNNNNNNNNNNNNNNNNNNNNNNNNNNNNNNNNNNNNNNNNNNNNNNNNNNNNNNNNNNNNNNNNNNNNNNNNNNNNNNNNNNNNNNNNNNNNNNNNNNNNNNNNNNNNNNNNNNNNNNNNNNNNNNNNNNNNNNNNNNNNNNNNNNNNNNNNNNNNNNNNNNNNNNNNNNNNNNNNNNNNNNNNNNNNNNNNNNNNNNNNNNNNNNNNNNNNNNNNNNNNNNNNNNNNNNNNNNNNNNNNNNNNNNNNNNNNNNNNNNNNNNNNNNNNNNNNNNNNNNNNNNNNNNNNNNNNNNNNNNNNNNNNNNNNNNNNNNNNNNNNNUUUUCUUUCCUUUCUUCUCGUGUGUGUGUGUGUGUGUGAGAGAGAGAGAGAGAGAGAGAGAGAGAGACCAGCACUAUAAUACAUUACCUAGUCUCAGUUCUUAAAAUGCAAGAACCAAGAUUCAAGCACAGAACCUUUUGAUUGCUAUGUGAAGGGUAUGGCCAUUGGGACAAACCAUGAUUCAUGGUUAAGGUCUAAUUAAAAUCCGAGAUGAAAUCUACACCGAAAAAUGAGUUAAAUAUGGAGACUUCAGCCAAAGCUCAUCACAAAUCUGAGUGUGGAUGCGUGCAGUGUGAAAGAAAGAACGAGAGAGACUCUUGAUCAAACACCUUUCAAAACAAUAAAACAAAAGGCCGUGAAUAAUGUGAUUCUACUUUUGCUUUGAAAGAAGGAUCUCUCUCUCUUUCUUUCUUUCUUUUUGUUUUUGAUAGGUUGGAUUGAUUAUACAUUUCUAGUAAGAAUAGAUCUAAUAAAGUCAGAAAAUAAAAAAUGAUUAAGAGGAGGAGGAAUGGUUUCCUAGUUGUCCCAUGAAAAACUAUCUAGUAUUGAGCAAUAAAGGAGGCAACCCAGUCAAAAAAAUUCUGUUUGCCUCUCUAUACACAUAAAAUGAUGUACAAUCCUUCGUCAGCCUGAAGAUGUUCUGCAACAGCGGAUGUCCACAAAUUGCCUUGCAGUAGCCCUAGAUCCACCUGGUUACCUUAGUAGAGUCCUCUUCGAGGUGAAUGCAAUGCGCUCCUGGAAGAGCCUUGUAUUGGUUCUCCUUUUAAAAGGAGGGGGUAAGAUAAAAGAAACAACAAAGGGAAUCAUAUUAGUCACUUAAAAGAAAGGGAGAAAUAUACAACUCUCUCUUCUAAGUUGCAACUAAUGUAACGACAGCCCAUGUCCAUAACAGUUGGGCCCAGCCCAAGCCUAGAGAUAUUGCCUGAGGUGCCUUGGGCGAGCCCGGACCAUUUAACGCACCGAAGCAGCGCAUCUGACUUUCUUGUUUUAAAAAGAAACCAAACUCCCAGAUAGGAAGGUCAGACUUCUUCGUCUAAAUAUCUCUGGCCUUUCCCCAAUCACAGUGCCGUACUUUCUCUCCUCUCCCCACUAAUUAAGGGCUGAAAAAUCCAAUCCCCAGUCCGUCCUCCUUGGCGUGCCCUCUCCCUAUCCUACCUUGAACCGAGAGAGCGUCAUAAAAAGAGGGGGAGAGAAAACGAGAGAGGUCGGGAAGGGAAGAUAGAGAGAGAGACGGAGAAGGAAAAUAAAAUAAUGGACUCUCUCCUUCUCACGGACGCUCUUCUCCCCUCUUCCUUCUUGGGUUCAGUCCCCUCCCUUCCCCUCCACCGCGGACGAAUUGUUCCGGCCCCUCGCCCCGCCGUCUCACGGCGAACCCUCAGAUUAGGUUUCGCGGCUUCCGGCAGGCCGUCCGCCUCUGCCAGGAACGGAGCCUUGAUGACCAAUUCCAUGUCGGUGAGUGGCCUCUGUUCCCUUUGAUGCGACGUCUGAUCCCUUUUAUCUAUCUCAGAUUUCGAUUUAUGCCGUAAUGAUAAACUUUUGUUUUUCUUUUUGAUUUUAUCUUUCCGGAAUAUUGGUUGUUAAACUUUGGAGUGAUGCCUUUUGGACCGCCUUUCUUGAAAACUAUCUUUAGUGGUUAAUGUAACUUUAUGGGAAUGUGUUCUUUAGUAUGAUCUUGUGGUUUGGAUGACAGCACUAUAUAUCGAGUAGGUAACUAUCCAUCAUAGCUUUCUGUGAUUAGCCUUUUUAGAGCAGCGUAUCAUUCAUAAAGUUUUGUUAAUCUUUAACGACGAGCUAGAAACGUAAGUUUAACCUUUUAAAUUAACACAGUACUUGGCCCGGGGAACCGUCCUUUUACCCGAACAUAAUUUAGGGUCAUGUAGUUAGGUAAUCUGUGUACAGCUAUUACACCUCAAGGAGCACGUCUUGGUGAACAAUAUUCUAAACAACAACAUACUGGUAAUAUGAGCAUAGUUUGGCCAAGGAUGUUGAAAUAAUUGAGAUUGUCAAUGAGUUGAUAGAGGUAUGUAGUAUUAGGUGCAUCGUUAACCUCUAAAUCCACGGAUGAUGCACAGGGGAUCUAUCAAGUGAGCCUAUGAUAUUAGAUUGGUGGAAUUCUAGUUUGUAGAAAGGCCGCAAGUAUGUAUGUGAAGGGACUGCAAGUAAAUAUAUAGGCUUAGAGAAUCGUAAUGACCAACAUCAUCAUCCUAACUCUGUUCAUCAAUUAUUAUAUUAUCUUUGUAAAGAAGGCAUAACUGUGAAUAAUGGUGGGGAUGUACCUGGCUUUAUCAUACUUUGCAGGAAAUUAAAUGAUAAUGUUGCUUGCUUCAUUGANNNNNNNNNNNNNNNNNNNNNNNNNNNNNNNNNNNNNNNNNNNNNNNNNNNNNNNNNNNNNNNNNNNNNNNNNNNNNNNNNNNNNNNNNNNNNNNNNNNNNNNNNNNNNNNNNNNNNNNNNNNNNNNNNNNNNNNNNNNNNNNNNNNNNNNNNNNNNNNNNNNNNNNNNNNNNNGCCUUGCUCCUUGAUUAAACUUUACACUGGUAAUGCUGUGAUGCUCAGUCUAGCUUAAUGAGUGAUUCUUGAUCAUGCAUACAUAAUUACAUGGUAUGAGAACCUUACUGGUUGGGGAAGAGAUCAUAGUCAAGGAAGGCGCUGUUGCCAACGGCUAAAUGCAGUGAUGCGAGGAGGGUGGGGGUUUGCAUUUACUAGGGGAUAGAAGAAAAGGCGCUUAAAGAAAUUUGUGCCAUUAGAUAUUCGUGUCCAGUGCACGGGUGGAUCAUAGGAUCAAUAUUUAUUCUGUUCCCUAAGAAGAUACAUAGCCUAACAGCUUCACUUCAAAGGAUGGUAUUUAUUUCUAAUUUGUUUGUGAAUGUUGUAUAUUAAUGGGAUUCAAUAUCCAUCAUCGGCAACUGAAUGAGGCUGUAGCAUCUGGUUACUCCUCUAUAUCUCUACAUAUCUGAUUAUGAAUCUUUGAUAGUAUUCAUAUUCUUAUCUUUUUUGAUCUUAUGGGCUGCACCUACAUCCGUUGUGUGUGGAUGCCGUUGCACCAAAAAGAAAAUAGUAGUCAGAUUGGUGCCUAGCGCAGAAAAUUUGCUGAGAGUCUCUUUUUUUGGGGACCAAAGCUGGCCCUNNNNNNNNNNNNNNNNNNNNNNNNNNNNNNNNNNNNNNNNNNNNNNNNNNNNNNNNNNNNNNNNNNNNNNNNNNNNNNNNNNNNNNNNNNNUAUAUAUAUAUAUAUAUAUAUAUAUAUAUAUAUAUAUAUAUAUAUGAUAAGAAAACAAGAAAUCAAGGGACAACCAUUGAGAAACUAGGCAUUUCGGAGCCCUAUUUUAUUAAUUUUCACACAUUUUAUCUCUUUCAUAAAAUAGAAAGUUAAAUCUACAUGGCAGAGAGGUAGUGUUGUCAUCAUGUCUUUCAAAAGAGGACAAAUGCCAAUCCAAUACAUAACUCACAAAAAAAAAAAACAAAGAUAUUGUGAUCUUCUUAUGGCUCACUUUUUCAAUGGCACUAAACAAAAUGUUGUAGCAGGGAGCUUUGGUGAAGUGGUAAGUAAUGUUUUUCUUCAAAGAACCUUUCCCAACUUGGUUUUCUGAGAAACUCCCGUUACAUUGGGAAACCUGUUUCUUGGCAUCUGUGGAUUUUAGUAAAUGGCCUUCAUUUUUCAAGUUGAAUCUAUGCAUAACAUGGGGUGUUGUUUUGAUAUUCUUGGUUUGUUGGUUUAUAGCAAAGCGAUGGCAUUUAUACAGUUGGGGAUUUUAUGACUAAAAAGGAAGAUCUACAUGUUGUAAAGCCCACAACUUCGGUUGAUGAAGGUACUGAAUUAUAUGUUACUUUGCAUAUUUGUAAUUUUGAUUAGUUUCUUACAGUGCACAUUCAUCAUGAUGUCAACAGCACUCGAGAUGCUAGUGGAGCAUAGGAUCACAGGCUUUCCUGUGAUUGAUGAUGACUGGACAUUGGUGUGUACUUUUUUUCUUUUGUUUCUUUCUACGGAGUUUUUUUUUCUUGGCUGCUUAAACAUAAAUCUUUGUAACUUUUUCUGUUGUGAGCGAUCUUGUAUUGGAACUUUGUCAUUAUUUAACGGUUUUAUUUUCUAUAUACUUUGUAAUUAACAUGUUUAUUAUGGUUAUAAAUACUAUAGUUAUACAGGCAUAAGAACUUCUUGUGUGAUUUUUUAAAUCACUCUCUCUAUCUCUCUCACCUGCAGUAUUCAAUGAACUAUAUCAUGAAUAUGAGAAACUAAGAAUUUGGUGAUAUCAAUGAAUUAUAUUAUUAGAAUAUACAGAACUAAACUGUUUCCUUGUUUCUUUUUAUGUUAAGCUUGAGGAGAAAUAAGGAAACCAGGUUGUAAUUAAUGCAACUAGAUCUUGUCACAUGCAUAGCAUGUGGAGGUAAGUUUUCCCCUUGAAUAUUGAUGGGAGGUUGGUGCACUGCCAAGGCCUUUUCUUUUUUUUAUUGAGGGGGGUGAGGUGGUAUUCAUGGGGAUGAAUAAAGACUGAUGGGAGUGGCACCUAAUUAUCUUCCCCUUUUGUUUAUAAUUCUCUUAUUGAUCAUAUCGUGGCUUUUGUUUUCAUAAUACUAAUCCUCCGCUUUUUUUUGUGGGAUUCUCAACCAAAGCACUAGGCCCAAAAUAUAGAGUGAUUCCCGUUCUCCCCUAACAUUUGUUCAUGAGACACUUGAGAUGGUUGAACGUCCAAUGGAUGGAUGUUUGAGUUUUAAUUAUAUAUAGUCUUAGGUGGUAUAAGGAAUAACCUUACAAAUCAUGAUGACUAAAAGUUCAAACUCAUGAAUAAUAUUUCUGUCUUCUGCAGUAAUUGGAUUAAUAGGGUAUUUAUUGAAAGCGAAUCAAUAAUAGAAGAGAAUAAAGAAAAAGGAAAAUAAUUCAUGAAUGAACGUGUGCCGCGUGCAUGUGCGUUCACAUUGGUGUAUAUGGUUGUCUAUGUGUUUGUUUGUUUGUGUGAGAAAAAGAGAGAGGAGAGAGAGAGGGGGUGAUAGAGAGAGUGCUGUAAAUGUCUAUGUGGUCUCUGCAUGCACUUUGUUUCAUUUUCUUUCAAUAACUUUGGAUGGCUAGUUGUGGUAGCUGGAUGGCCAUUUUUUCCAUUUGAUCAUGGCCAUGCACUAUUAGUUUGUUAGAGGAAAUUAUGGUUCUAAAACUAAGAAGGCAGAGGCCGCUAACAACUGCGUUAAAAUAAUAAGUUUGUUAACUUGGAGUACUAAAUAAACUUAUUGUCAUGGUCAAAUUGCAUUCAGCUCAGUUUUUCACUUCCCUUCAAGCUAGUUUAUAGAUACCAAAGUAUCAAGUUUUUAAAGUCAACUUUAACAAUUGCCUUCAACAACAUUAUCAAAAAGUCAGUUCAAGCAUGUAAGCAGCCACAUAAAUGACUAUGCGCUGCCUCACCAUAUAAGCAGUCUCACUUAAAUGUUUAGCAGCUUUUAAUUUGCUUAGACUUUUGAACAUCCCUGUGAAGAUGUAAACAAUUGUUUAAUCUCCUUGACCAAUUGAAUGGUUAUUUGGCAUUUGGUUUGAAAAGUUUGCAUCUGAAAUGUUUGUCAUACAUGUUUAUUGAUGUAAUGAUUGUUCUAACUGAUGUUCACAAAAAUUAUAACAUGUUCUUUUCUAUCCAGUGUUGAACUGUUUGAGGUAUUCCACAUCCUAGAACUACUUUCAUCUAAGCAUACAUUACAGUAGUACGCUAAGAUGAUAAACAUGAUCCUUUGCUAUAGCUGCACCCGACCUUUACAUUUAUUCUGACAAUAUGCAAGAUGUUCUGGCACGCCUAUUAACCAGGGUUCUUUUCCUUCCCUCACACUCUUAACACUCCAUUAGUUUCUUUCCUUAUGAUCCUUGUCUCUUUUCUUUGGGUUCUUUUUCCCCUUUUCCACCAUCAUAAUAUAAACUACCUUCUUCAUACUACUACUAUUACCAUCACCACCAAGACUCUUUUAGUAUGUUUUACCUGCCAAUAUAUUAUAUCCCUGGUUCUUUUCAUGGAAUUGAUAAUAACUUUAGGCUUAAAUUGAAUGACAAAUAAAUUUGACUGAGUAAGUGAACUUAAUAGCUAUUGAUUUUAACUAUUGCUUUUAUCUAAAUGGUUUUAUCUCAAGAUUUUGAUGUUAUUUUUUAACCACUUAGGCAUUAAAUAAUCCAUUCAAACACAAAACUGUUUAAAAGUUUUAGGGGUUGGAGAGUGUUUAACCAUUUUGAUAAUUUGUUCUUCAAGAUUCCUCUCUCUCUCAAAAAAAAAAAAGAUCUUCAAGUUGAAGCCCUUGUAAACAAUGUUUGCCACUUGGUCUUUUUUGAUAAAUUUGCUGUGACAACAUUUUUUGACUUUAAUUUUUCAUGUUGAUUUCAAUACUCUUCAUUUGCUCAUGAAAAAUAUGAUUUUUAAGUAAUAUGGGUUGCUUUCUGUAGUAUGAUUAAAUAAGUUUUUGAUAUAUCUAAUACAUAAAAAGGGUGAUUUCAGUGCAAGUAGUCAGCACUUAUAUAAACCGUAGUGUGAUAUAUCAAUUCACUAAUUCAGGGCUAGAAUUUAUGAUAAAAUUUUGUUUUCUACUUUUUAAUGGGGUUGAAACUCCUCCCACAAAUGCACACUAACUGGUUGUUGGCCAUCUACAUACUGGUGAGCAACCCAAUCAGCAUCAGUAGACCCUUUAAGUUUAAAUUGCUGUGUGUACUCUAGAGGAUACCCCAUCAUAGGAAACCUUCCAGAUUUCAAAAGAUCUGAAACACAUAAGAUUGCUAUCUACUCUAUAAGAUUAGAUUUGCUAUGAUUUCAUGUCAUUUGACGAGCUAUUUUCACACCAUAUGUAAUAUAUAAACAUGCUCUUCUCCCAAAAAAAUGUGAGCACGUGUAGAUCAUUUUCCACCAACUUACAAAAUCUGAUCAUUUCUAAUUUGUUUGAGAUCAUAUCAUGUAGAUUCCUUGCCAUAGAUCUCCAUGUAGAGGAGUUUUUCAGUUCGAAUUAAUAUAAAGGCUAACAAAGAUGUGCUGCUAAUAAUGCCGUGGCUCUAGAAAUAUACAACUUAAUUAUCAAAGAAAAGCUUUCAAUGUUGUCUGCAGAUGCUCGUAUCUUUUUGACGCUUGUUGAGCCUUUAAUCUUUUUUUAUGAUGCUCUGAUUUUUUUUGACUAUAUCAGUCCAUCAGCAACCAACAGUUUGUGUUCCUUGAGGAAGAAAUAACCAAAAUUUAUUUGUCAUUGUAAAAAGAUCUUAAGAUGCUUCUUUGCUUUCUUCUCCCUUUUCUAUUUUCAUCUCUUUCCUGUGUAAUUUUAAGGGUUUUUUUAAUGGCUAAUUAGAUCUGCCAUUCUUGCUGAUUUCUCUUUGAGAUUCAUGAGUAAUGGAAACUAAUGGAAACUUGUCAUUAUAUAUGUUUUUGGUUGGGCAACUUGUGUAGAUAACACUGUCUCACUGUUUUAUGUGAUCCUCCAUUUAAACUUGGUAUCAGCCGCUGUAAGCAAUGAGGUCAUGUGGUCCUCAAUAUUUAUGGAUAUUUAGAGGGUUAAGAUAUCUUAAUGCCAUCAUGAUUGGUGAGACCAAUAACUUGCCUCCUCUGCAAUAAUAAAUAACUAAAAAUAUUUGGACCUUUUGAGGUUUCUGUCCUAUUUCUUGACUUUAGUGGAGCAGUGGAGCAUAUUAACUAUCCUCAGUUAUCCUUCUUCAAGACAACUUAUGAAUGUUGAUGUACUAUUUCAAGCUAUACUCUGUCUACUGGAGAAGUAUAAAAUCUAGUGGUUGCCCAAUUGCUCAGUAUGGCACUUCUCUAAUUAGUUGUUCGGAACUUUGAUGCUAGACUCAUGGCAUGAAUUUGAAAUCAUAAAAGCUUCUACCUCUAUGAAUAUUUGGGCAAAAUCAUUAUAUUGACCAUCAACAUCAUAUUACUUAUAUAUGUGUUUUCAAUCAUAGUUCCUUCAUUAGACUCCAUAGCCAUGUCUUGAGUUUGGCUUGGCUAAUCUAUCAAUGGCAUUCUUAUUCUAAUACCGAUCUUGGUUCAUGCCAGCAAAUUAUUCCAUGGCUUGGACCACUGUGGAGGUUCUUUGGAUUUUUUUUUUCCAAUUUUUUGCAUCAGCUUCAUUAUUCUCAUCUCGUCAUAUUGCAAAUUAGAUAGUCAAUAAUAGUUUUUAGUUUUUCUAGAGCAAAUGAAGCAUAUCAAGAUUGAUUACCUAUUGAAUCUACUUCUAUCAACAUAAUCUUUCACUUUACUAAGUGGCUCAUUGACUUUUAGGAAGAGUCAUAGUCAAUUUGUUUCAAGUGCUUCUUGGUCAAAGCCCCAAUCUAUGAUUAACCUUUGAGUCGUAGGGAAGAAGAACGAGGCAUUAGAGCUUAUUAUAAGUGUUUAACUAUAUAUGCCCCUCCUAAACACCGCUACCCGCCACCAACAACCCCCACACCCACGAACAAAAUAAAGCUAACAAAGAGAUUUAAUUCCUUGUUAGAAACUCAUAUUAGCUUCAUAGCUCAUAGGUUGAAGGAGGUUGAACCUUUAUUCUUGAUGGGCUCUUUGAUGUGUAAAGAUUUUCCCGGCUUGCAAGAUCUGUGGGGGAUCUUUGAUGAGGGUUUUGAAGAUCACAUUUGGAGUAUGUCGGUUGCUUUUGGAGGGUUUUUCCUCUGAGUUGUAACAGAUUAGCAGGUGUACAUUGGUACAUGUUGUAUGAAUAUCUCAGCAUAGUUUGGGAGGACUAUUUGUAGUCUGUAGGUCAUUAUAUCCAUACCAGGUUGAUUUGGACAAGUAACAAGGGUUGAUGCUGAUGUAUGAUGAUUGAUAAAAUUUGAUAGAUAAAAAGGUAAAUUACUAAAUUCUGAUUGUUUGCUUCUUUCAAGGAAGGCCAUGUAUAGAAAAAGCAUGUGAUUGAGGGGUUUCCUUGCAUCUUGGAUGCAUUUUAGAGAUUCAUCUAUUUGGUGAAUGGCCUACCGCUUGUUGGCAACCUAUGUCUUGUUCCAUUAUGUCUUCCCUAAUCUUAUUAUUGCUUUAAUUAAAGGCCAUAUUUACUUGUUACGCAUAUACAGACACAAACACACACACACACACACACACAGCAAAAAUAGAAUUAUCGGGAAUUUUUUUGAUGGCACAAUUGGUUAGAUCAAUUGAGUUUUUUUUUCUUUUUUAACUGAACUUCAUGAGAAUAUUGGCAAUAUAUUUAGGUUGGUUCCAUUCUUGUUGAUGCUAACAAUAUAAUAAUGAGCAUCUAAAUUCUUAUUGAUUUCCUUGAUUGAGGUGAUUUUUCAAUAAAGGUAUCAUAACAUGAGAGUUUCUUAUUGCAAUUAUUAGAUAAUAAUAAUAAUAAUAAUAAUAGAAGAUACCGACUGACCAAGCUGGUAAAGUCUCUGAUGGGAAAGGCUCUUAUAAGGGUUGCUUAUUGCAAUUUAUCAUAAUAAUAAUAACUAUCUGACCAAGCUGGUAAAGUUUCUAUGGUUNNNNNNNNNNNNNNNNNNNNNNNNNNNNNNNNNNNNNNNNNNNNNNNNNNNNNNNNNNNNNNNNNNNNNNNNNNNNNNNNNNNNNNNNNNNNNNNNNNNNNNNNNNNNNNNNNNNNNNNNNNNNNNNNNNNNNNNNNNNNNNNNNNNNNNNNNNNNNNNNNNNNNNNNNNNNNNNNNNNNNNNNNNNNNNNNNNNNNNNNNNNNNNNNNNNNNNNNNNNNNNNNNNNNNNNNNNNNNNNNNNNNNNNNNNNNNNNNNNNNNNNNNNNNNNNNNNNNNNNNNNNNNNNNNNNNNNNNNNNNNNNNNNNNNNNNNNNNNNNNNNNNNNNNNNNNNNNNNNNNNNNNNNNNNNNNNNNNNNNNNNNNNNNNNNNNNNNNNNNNNNNNNNNNNNNNNNNNNNNNNNNNNNNNNNNNNNNNNNNNNNNNNNNNNNNNNNNNNNNNNNNNNNNNNNNNNNNNNNNNNNNNNNNNNNNNNNNNNNNNNNNNNNNNNNNNNNNNNNNNNNNNNNNNNNNNNNNNNNNNNNNNNNNNNNNNNNNNNNNNNNNNNNNNNNNNNNNNNNNNNNNNNNNNNNNNNNNNNNNNNNNNNNNNNNNNNNNNNNNNNNNNNNNNNNNNNNNNNNNNNNNNNNNNNNNNNNNNNNNNNNNNNNNNNNNNNNNNNNNNNNNNNNNNNNNNNNNNNNNNNNNNNNNNNNNNNNNNNNNNNNNNNNNNNNNNNNNNNNNNNNNNNNNNNNNNNNNNNNNNNNNNNNNNNNNNNNNNNNNNNNNNNNNNNNNNNNNNNNNNNNNNNNNNNNNNNNNNNNNNNNNNNNNNNNNNNNNNNNNNNNNNNNNNNNNNNNNNNNNNNNNNNNNNNNNNNNNNNNNNNNNNNNNNNNNNNNNNNNNNNNNNNNNNNNNNNNNNNNNNNNNNNNNNNNNNNNNNNNNNNNNNNNNNNNNNNNNNNNNNNNNNNNNNNNNNNNNNNNNNNNNNNNNNNNNNNNNNNNNNNNNNNNNNNNNNNNNNNNNNNNNNNNNNNNNNNNNNNNNNNNNNNNNNNNNNNNNNNNNNNNNNNNNNNNNNNNNNNNNNNNNNNNNNNNNNNNNNNNNNNNNNNNNNNNNNNNNNNNNNNNNNNNNNNNNNNNNNNNNNNNNNNNNNNNNNNNNNNNNNNNNNNNNNNNNNNNNNNNNNNNNNNNNNNNNNNNNNNNNNNNNNNNNNNNNNNNNNNNNNNNNNNNNNNNNNNNNNNNNNNNNNNNNNNNNNNNNNNNNNNNNNNNNNNNNNNNNNNNNNNNNNNNNNNNNNNNNNNNNNNNNNNNNNNNNNNNUUGUCAAAAUUAGCGUCUAAGCAUCUAGAGAGGUCGAGCUGCCUAGGCAAUUGCCAUUUAGGCAAUUUUAUACAGAAAUUAUAUAUACUCCAUAUAAAAAUGAUACUUUCUUUAUUUAGUAGUUUUGGUUGUUUGUGACCUACAGACGCUAUGUGGGAAUGGAAUUAACAUCAUUUCUUACUUUCCUGGACCAAAAACCCUAACCUCACCUCACUCGAUCCAUCUCUCUCCUCUCUCGUUCAAUGUGAGCUAGGGCAAUGAGCUGCCCUAUACUCCACUAGCUGCUACCAUCCUAUGCGGCAGCAUUCCGACAACCUGACCACUGUUCGCCCUUUAGGAGCCUGUUGGCUGCGGUCAAAUCACCCAAAAAGGUAAGUUUUUGCUUUUUCUUCUGCCAAUGUGCUUUGAUUUCCUUCUGCUUCUUGCUUCUUCACUUCUUCCUAUUUUUUCCCCUCCUUUUUAUAUCCCUUUCUUAUUUUGCCUUUGUAUCUUUGUUUCUUCUCCUCCAGUCCUCGUGUUCCUCUUCUCCUUACCUUUUGUUCCUCUUCUCAUAUUUAUUUUCCUUUUUUUGUCAUUAUUUUGACAGACUUCAGAGGAAUAGACGUAAUGCAACUAUGCAAAAUAUUUUAGACUAUGAAACCAAGUUAACAACAUCCAAUUAAUUUGUCCAUCCUUGUCUGGAUGAAUAUUUUCUUGUAAUUCAAGAGAUCCAGGGAUCAAGGAGCUCCAAAGAAUGUUACUUUGAGCAUUCUUUUGGAGAAAUCAACAAGUGGGUCUGCCAACAUUGACAAGUCUAUGAAGGAGGAUUAAGUGGUGUUAUCAGUAUACUGAAGAGCUUGGGAGUAAUGUCUGAAAGGUAUUCCACCCAUGUAAGGUGGAGAAUGGAAUGCAAGCCAUGUGCCUUAACCAGAAAAUGAAUAAAAUAAUAAGAGGCUUCACAAUUUUUAGGAGCAAAGUGUUCAACAAUUUUUUAACAAAUCCUAGAAAGUUGCAUAAGUAAACUGACAGCAUAACAAGAUUCUUUUCUGUUUAUGUCAAGGUAUCGUUCCAACUCUUUUAAGAUGGAAAUGUCAGUUCUCUUAUUUAUGCAUGAAAACAAGAUCUAAACUUUUGACUCAUUUUAGUAAUAUUUGUCUUGUUUGUUCUCGUGCUUAGGGAGUGGACGGAACGAUACAAGCAUGUUUCCUGAGGUUGACAGUACAUGGAAAGUAUGUGAAAAUUAUUCUAUUCGUGUUAUAUAUUUGUUAUUUAGUGUUGAUCAAUGCACCCUGUGCUAUUAAUUAGCCUUCUAUAUUUCCUAUGACAUGUAUGAUUUUGAUGCAGCAACGGAAUAAGGAAAAGAAAAAUAUGUGGUUCAUGAGAAAAAUUAACUUGCUUUAGCAAUAGGCUUUGCCAAUGUCUAGUAAGUCUUUGAUAACUUAUAAUGUUUGUAUGUCAUAUCAUGUUUGCUUGUAUGGUGGACUAGAGAGGUGGUUAGUGAUAUUCAAUUUUUAAGGGGUAGAAAUCCUUGGUGUCUUCUUAUGGGCAUUGAGUGUAUCUUAGACAUGAGACAAGACAUAAUGAUGGAAUUAAUAUUUGACAGCCAGUGAAAUUGUCCAAUCUUUAGGUUUUUAACCCAUUCAUUGGCGUCACAUGGUGUAUACUUUAUUAUUGUUUAUCAAGUUCUCUUUUUUUGGCUUACAAUAUGUUUGUAACUUACUUUUGAAUUUAAUCAAAAUACUAUUGCUUUGAUUAGACCAGAAAGUUGUUUCACUGUAAAUGUUGCAUGAAGCGGGAGCAUGAUGAGGAGCCUAAGCUAUGAAUUGUGAUUUUAGAUAUACCUAGGUAGUCAAUCCAAAGUUAUAUUUAUAUGAAGUAUUGGAACUAAUUACUGUGCGUGUGGUGCAAGUUGUUGUAACUAGCUGAUUCCACUGAUGAAGUGCUUCUCUUCAGGAUGUACUUGCAGAGCAUCAUCAACACUUUCCGGUUGAGGCUAUUCCCUCCACUUUCUUUUUGCAGUGAGAAAACUAACGGCUGUUGGCUAGAAAAAAGUGUAAACCCUUAGAUGGAGAGGACAAUUUGUCCUUGCUAGUGGACUAGUUGAUUUCACUGAUGAGGUACUUCUGUUUGCAACAUAUUUGUAGAGCAUGUCCAGCACUUCUGCAACACCUCUUUAGCCCCACCCUGUCCUCUAUCCCUACUCUAGGUCUCAAAAUGUGUACUUCCGGUGUCCUCUUCCAAACCCAUAUCUUAAGCUGCAAUAAAAACCCGAAGGACCUCACCUCUUGUGCUUCCAAAGAAGCCCAGAAUAUCAUGCAAGAGAUUUAGAUUCAGAGGAAAAGGUAAAGCCCCACCCUGCCUAUUUUAUUUUAGAAAACAAAGUAAAGCGGACACAAUGUUGGACAUAGCGGUCCUAUAACCCAAUAAAGACUGAGACAGAAAGGAAAAUGGUGCUUCAUGCAUCUAAGUGAGGCAAUUAUAAUACAUUUUGUGAUGAUAAAUGACCAAUACCGUUUAUGAGUUGGAUGAUUUAUAUUUCCCAGAGGAUUUCAUGAAAUCAAAGGUUGAAUUGGCAUGCAAAAAAUCAUUUCGAGGUUGGGUAAACUUUAGGUAAUUUUUUCAUUAAACGGUUGGAGUUGUCGAUCGUAUGGGACAUGUCAUCAAAGAACAAGAGCUCAUCUAUUAAGAUCAUUAUGAUUGAGAUAUGGAUAAUUUUUUAACAGAACUAGGGCCUUUCAAGAGGGAAUUGAUAUAGAAGCAUAUCUGGAAAUAGUAGUGCACCCAGUGAAUAUACUUUGAGAGUCAUGAGAGAAACCGGCAAAUAAGUUUUGAGUUUCAAUAUAGACUUUGUGAGAAGAGGGUUUGCAAAAAAUGAAAUUGAUACAAUUUGAAAGUUCCCCUUCUACCCUGGUUUUUAUUGAACUAUUUUUUAUAGUAGUGGAAAUUUUAAAAAAUUCCUUGAAUGCAUGAGCUGUCUGUUGUAGAUGGUACUUUGUCAUCUGAAGCAAGCUGAGAAGGUGGAACAUUCAGUGAAGAGCAGCAGAAUGAAUAAUGGGAAUCACUCAGCUAUAGGUCACACUGAACCAUACAUGAGAGAUAGGUAGCUUAAUAAAUUGUUCUCUAAAGCUUCUGUAAUUUCAUAGCUACUAUUUUCUUAAAAUUUGAAAUCAAUAUUUGAUCUCAUAGAACAUUUUCCAAUUCAAAAAAUGAAUAAAUGAAAAAAAUGACACAAAUUACUUAUUUGUACAUUUGAUAUGGCCCCAUAGGUUAGUUAUGGCUGGAAGUCCAAAACUGACUUUGCUUUCAGAUUGGUUUCAGGCACAACUGAAACAUUUUGAUUUUAGUUUGGGAGCUCAGGCCGAAACUUGAAAUGUUGGAAUUGGAGAAAUGAUCCAUCAGAGUUUCAGAUCAUUCUACAGGGGUCUUUCAACAUGAUGUCAAGUGUGAACCUCUGGCUUGGCUCUAGGUUUCUGGCCAUUUCAUCUUAGAAAAGAGAGUGGCUUGCGUUGUAACCCAUUGGCAGUUGUUGAAAAGGGAACCCUACCUUCUUGGUUACACGGUUCAGGGUUCAUGCAACUGGGGAUCAACCUUCCAAGAUUGGCCUAGAUAUCAAAUUUGGACGGUUAGUUAUGAACACAAGGUUGAUAUGGGAAUUGCAUUGAUCUCUAAAGCACAAAGUAUAUUAGAAUAGAACAUAUUCCCUGUAAUAAAAAAGAGAGAAAAAUAAAGCACUCACUCCUGGGUGCUGCUAUCAUAUCAAGAGAUCCAACUUGAGUGGGAUUCACAUUAGAUUGCAUAGCCUUUUGGAACAUCUCACCAAGUUGCAGCUCAGCUACUUCUGCCAUGCAGGAUUACCGUAUCACUGAUGUUAUAUGGUUAUGCUUAUUUCNNNNNNNNNNNNNNNNNNNNUUUAUUGGCUUGAGCCAAAUUGUCUAUAGUCCAAGCCAGACUAUGAAACCAUAACAUUCAUUACAUGCCACCACUCACCCAGGUGCAUUACCAUUGGUUACAUUCAUUGUGUGCUGAUCUCGAAAAUUGAGCCCAUAGGAAUGGGCCUCAAAGAUUGGUAGCAUCAACAACCGUUCUAGCGCAUGCAAUAAAGACUAUAAUUUUUACAUUCCAAAAGUUUAAUAUCAGCAAACAGCUAACAAAUAACAAAAAUUUGCCCACAAUUUUUUUUAAAAUAACAAGAUGGUUGCACCAUCUGGGUUGGUUGGUUGAAUAGAUUUUGCAACAUUUUGAGUUUAAAUCAAAACUGACUACCUGUGGAUGACAAGACAAAUGGGAUAGAUUCCAAUGGAUUUAUAUUGCCGCAUCCAAAUAAAGGGUUAGCAAAAAGAAAGUUCAAAUCAGCCAUCGGGAUCAUCAAGUUAGACAGGCAUCAUAGGUAUAAAUUGGAUAAAGGACUGUCAUUGCAAUUUAAAUCAUUACAAUUUUUCAUGUAAAACUCUAGAUUAUGUUUCACGACAUGGUGCUAAACUUCAAACCAUUCAUAUUAAAGAUUAUUUUACCAUUUAGAUGGUCAUCACAAGCAAAAACUAGUGGAUUACUCCAAUCUGACAAGAUAAGAUGGAUGGGAGAUGGGUCCAAAGAGUUUGAUCAUAUUUCAAGCAAUUGUAGGAUUUGCGCAUUUUGGAAAAGAGUUACCAAAAACAGAAGGUUUAAUCCAUACAAAUGUCAACAUUUUAUGCUCUGCAUCUUAAAAUAUGACUAUGUUAUGAUUGAACUAAAUUAUAAAAAAAAAUGACUUGAACAAAAACUCAAAUGAGUUAUGACCCAUUUUGACUAGAAGAGAUAUAUAGAAGGAUAAUGUUAGAUUCCGCAGCAUUCAACAUAUAAUCCAAUAUCUAAUGCAUGGCAUGCUGAAGUAAGUUCAGUCUCAUUCCUCAAUCAAUUUAAUUUCUCCAAACAUUAUAAGUUGAGUGUAGAUAAGAUGAGAGAGUGGUUGUAACAACAAAUUCAAAGAAUCAACCGCUUUCCCCAAAAUUUUUAUUUUUAUUAGAAAAUCAAGAAUAUAUCCACCGCAAGUGCCACAUUCUUAACUAGCACCAUCAACCUGUGAAAAAUUUAAAAAUUAUCAGCCUAAUCAGUAAAAUCAAUUCAAAUUCGACUAAUCAAUUUUCAUCUUUCAAACCUUGAUCAACUUAUGGUUGUGAAAUUAUAAAUAUAAAAUUUUUAAAAGACAUGUCUAAAAAUAUGUUAUACGGNNNNNNNNNNNNNNNNNNNNNNNNNNNNNNNNNNNNNNNNNNNNNNNNNNNNNNNNNNNNNNNNNNNNNNNNNNNNNNNNNNNNNNNNNNNNNNNNNNNNNNNNNNNNNNNNNNNNNNNNNNNNNNNNNNNNNNNNNNNNNNNNNNNNNNNNNNNNNNNNNNNNNNNNNNNNNNNNNNNNNNNNNNNNNNNNNNNNNNNNNNNNNNNNNNNNNNNNNNNNNNNNNNNNNNNNNNNNNNNNNNNNNNNNNNNNNNNNNNNNNNNNNNNNNNNNNNNNNNNNNNNNNNNNNNNNNNNNNNNNNNNNNNNNNNNNNNNNNNNNNNNNNNNNNNNNNNNNNNNNNNNNNNNNNNNNNNNNNNNNNNNNNNNNNNNNNNNNNNNNNNNNNNNNNNNNNNNNNNNNNNNNNNNNNNNNNNNNNNNNNNNNNNNNNNNNNNNNNNNNNNNNNNNNNNNNNNNNNNNNNNNNNNNNNNNNNNNNNNNNNNNNNNNNNNNNNNNNNNNNNNNNNNNNNNNNNNNNNNNNNNNNNNNNNNNNNNNNNNNNNNNNNNNNNNNNNNNNNNNNNNNNNNNNNNNNNNNNNNNNNNNNNNNNNNNNNNNNNNNNNNNNNNNNNNNNNNNNNNNNNNNNNNNNNNNNNNNNNNNNNNNNNNNNNNNNNNNNNNNNNNNNNNNNNNNNNNNNNNNNNNNNNNNNNNNNNNNNNNNNNNNNNNNNNNNNNNNNNNNNNNNNNNNNNNNNNNNNNNNNNNNNNNNNNNNNNNNNNNNNNNNNNNNNNNNNNNNNNNNNNNNNNNNNNNNNNNNNNNNNNNNNNNNNNNNNNNNNNNNNNNNNNNNNNNNNNNNNNNNNNNNNNNNNNNNNNNNNNNNNNNNNNNNNNNNNNNNNNNNNNNNNNNNNNNNNNNNNNNNNNNNNNNNNNNNNNNNNNNNNNNNNNNNNNNNNNNNNNNNNNNNNNNNNNNNNNNNNNNNNNNNNNNNNNNNNNNNNNNNNNNNNNNNNNNNNNNNNNNNNNNNNNNNNNNNNNNNNNNNNNNNNNNNNNNNNNNNNNNNNNNNNNNNNNNNNNNNNNNNNNNNNNNNNNNNNNNNNNNNNNNNNNNNNNNNNNNNNNNNNNNNNNNNNNNNNNNNNNNNNNNNNNNNNNNNNNNNNNNNNNNNNNNNNNNNNNNNNNNNNNNNNNNNNNNNNNNNNNNNNNNNNNNNNNNNNNNNNNNNNNNNNNNNNNNNNNNNNNNNNNNNNNNNNNNNNNNNNNNNNNNNNNNNNNNNNNNNNNNNNNNNNNNNNNNNNNNNNNCAGGUGGCUGUUGUGGCAAUUUAUGCGGCCUACCAUAUUUGGCUAGCAGGGAAUGUCUGGACAUUUGGAGAGAGCAGUCCUUCACCCAAUCUUGUCGUGGAGCAGGCUCGGAUUCAAGCGGUAGAGGUCACUCGCACCGGUCCAUUGGAUUGGCCUUUGAUAGCUUGGGGCACCUGGGGUUCUACUUCUGCUGUUGUAGCACCUCGGAUGGUGUUUUUCACCUUGGAGCCCCCACCUCGGAGUUUUCUCAAAAUUAACUUCAAUGGAUAUGUGUUUGAAGGUGAUCGGAGAGAUAGUGUGGGCUUCGUCAUCAGGGAUCCAAAUUGUAGGGUGAUUGCUGCUGGCAGGUGUUAGAUCUUUGACCCUCUGUUCUAGAUACGGAGUUGAGAGUGGCGUGGGCUGGCUUGGGAUAUGCACGGUGUGUACUACGGGCCAGAGCGAUCCUGCUAGAGGUCAACUCGGCUGGAUCCAGGGGUAAUGACAGUAGUGGGCGGAUUCUUGCCCAACAAUAGUAGCUUAAUGGUGGGUCCUUGGAUCUUGCUCUCAAGGAACGCAUCGGGCCAUGGGAAUUUAAGUAAUUACCUAUGUAUGGAAAGCACUAUGAAAGAAUUGGCUACUGAUUUUUUUGACUUUGAGAACGGUGAAGGUUAUUUCUGACGUCUUAUGGUUGAUGUCUCUUCAAGUUUAAUUGGAAGGAUGGGGCCGCUAAUCUUUAAAUUUCCGUGGUGGUAAUAAUUUGCUGGCCCGUUUUUUGCCAAGAAAUCUCAGUUACAAAAAUGCCAAUGUUAUUAACAAAAGAAUGACCGUUAUACAUGAGUGGUGGCGCCGAACUUGGUAUUCAUCUAUUUUUCCUUUCCUCUAUAAUAAAUUGAAGAUAAUACAUAUGACUGGACUUGUAUGUCUUAGCAACCAAUGUGAUUUGUAGUUUUUUUUUCUCUCCUUUUCCUUUAGUUCCUUUUUCAGUAUAAUGCAUUUUUUUUCCAUGUGACACACUUUAGUCUUAUAUUGAUGGGUGCACAUCAACAUUUUUAUAUCAAUUUACAAAAAUAUAGUCUAAAAUAAUAAAUAUACUUGGCACAUAUUGUUCAAUAUAAUCGACACAUAUUAUUCAAUGUUCUUUAAAAAAAAAUUAGACACUCAUCACAAACGUGAUAUGAUUGCAGUGUGAUGACCUUUUCUAUGUGGUCCAACGGUGACUAACUUCUCGCCUCUACAACUUUUAUUGGUUGUCACUUGUUGCUUCCUACAUAUCUUGCAGUUUUCAUAUAACCCUAUAUAUGAUCGUCUGUUUCAUCUUUCCUUUAUCAUAUGUUUCUGGCAUUGAUAAAAGUUAAUGAAGAUUCUUUUCCUUGUCUUUGCCGUUGGCAAACAGGUAUGUCCAACUUGGGACUUUUAGGCCUCACAUUGUAACCCAAUGAACAUCAUCCUAGAAGUCUUCUCUCUUCCCCAACAAGACCUUGGUUCCAUUGGAGAUACAUAUUAUUUUUUCAUCCGACCCUCUUUUGGUUUAAGACCUUUUUUUUUUUGUUAUUGGUACAACGGUAGUUCACACCCGAUGAAUAUGGAUAAAAAUAAAAAACAGAAAAAAGAAGAUAACAUAGAGGGUGAGGCACAUGAUUAAUUUUCAGAGAAGAUAUUAUUCAUGCAAUGCGAUCCUAAAUUUGAUUUUUGACUCAUCUGUUCACAUCCACAUUUAUAGAUGCACACAUGCAUAAUUGUGUACUGAUGCCAUGACACGCUUGUGGUGGGAAUGAAGUAGCAUCAAACCACCUAAGAACUAAUGUCAUGGGGAAUGCUUGGUUUGUCGCAUGCCAAAACCAUCUGUCUCAAAAUUAGUAGAACACGCAAGGUUUGGGUGUCCCCACCUACAACUACUUAUAUCAUUACACCACAAGAAACGAAAUCUUUCUCCUCCCCCGCCAUACAACUUGGUUGGUAGGAAUUAGGUUUGAUGACCUCAUGAGUGCAAACAUCCCCAUCAAAGACCAAAGCCCAUUGGGGUGGGGGUCCGACCCAAUAUGUACGGGCUCAUAAUGGCAAAGCCCAACAGUUGGAUGAAUGCGAUGUAAGCCCUAUUGUGGGCCACCACCUUCUUUCCUCAAAAGGCAAAUAAAAUUUGUACUGCUGCUCGCUGGACAUUACGAGACAGAGACUGUGGAUUAUGGAAUCAUGAAGCGAUUGAGGUGAUGUAAAUAAUCCCAUGGCUAUAUUUGGAGAGGCGGUAGUUUUUUACUUUGGAUGCCGCCUGGUAUACUGAUAGGAGUCUCGUCCAGGCCAGUAAAUAGAGGGAAGGGGAAGUAUAGGAUUCCAGCUACUCCCAGAGGGAAAAGGGCAUGGCAUGGGAGAGGGCACGGGCGUCUGCGAAUUGGUCACGUCACCGAAGGAAAAAAACGUUCUUGACCUUGUGGUCACAUCCAUUCCAGGAUUUGGCUCUUUGCCGCCGGAUACAGAGUCCUUUUCUCCUCGCUGAAGCGAACAAAGCUGGGGCCUUUUUCCAGUGCGGGCAAGCGCAAUAGAUCGUAGGAGAACAUGGUUUAUUGAUGUCAUGCUUACGUUAUUCAUCACUUUGGGAUACCCCUUUGCCCUAUUAUCUUGAUGGAUAUGCACAGAUAAAAUCCAAAAUCUUCAAUAAUUAUUGAUAAAUUUAUAUUGAUCAAUAGUUUAAAUAAUUUUUAUUUUUAAAUAGAUUUUUUAACUAGAAAAUGGUGAAAUUCAUAUUUGAAUGUCUCCUGCCAUCUCGAAUUAUUAUAUCGGUUGUGGUUUCGGUAUCUCGGUUCUAAAAUGGAGCUGAAGAUGUUGAAAAAAGAAUAUAGUUUUUUUUUAGAUUUUUUUACUUAUUGUAUAGAUCGAGGAAACCAAUAUCUUUUGGUUCAUCUUGGUCUUUCUCGCUCACUAAGUUGAUCAGGAGCUAAAAGCCUUGGUUAUCCUAUCUUCUUCUUUUUUUCUUCCUUAUGUUUCGUUGUAAUAUGUGUAUGGCUUACUGCUUGUGAUUGUCAUCUUGGUGUGUGAUCCUCAUGGAAUUCAGAGGUUUGGACCAUGAUAUUGAGAGGAUCAUGAAUGGGCAGCGAUGUAAUUUUGGGCAGCAUGCUAUACUACUAUGAGAAUCUGUAUCGGUAUAUGUUUAGUUUCACAUUGGUUAUUCGCCGAGCAGAUUUUGAGUACUUAUACAGAACUAAGAAACCCAAAAAAUACCUUCCGACUAGUCUUUUUGGAUGAAAUCUUGAGUUGCGAGAACUAUCUUCUCGUGAAUGGGCGCGACGUGGAUUAGUAGCCACUUCAAUACAUGAUGAGCAUCUCAUGCAAAUUUGGCCGUCAACUCUCACAUUUUCCAAUUAAACAUACUCAACAUAUGUCAUAUAUCGAUGAAGUAAAUGCACGGUAUUAACUAGAAUGCGAUUAGCAAAUUAGCAAUAUGAUAGCACUAAUAAGAUCAUAUAAUAAACCACUCACAAAGGAAAUUGUGUAGUGGAUAUCACCUAAUACCGUGGCAUUGAUCAACUACCCAAUAGUUGUCCCAUUAGCAUAGUUUAAGCGAUUGGCAGCCUCAACCCACAACAGAAGUUCAGUCUCUCCGCAUACUCUUAAGAUUAUUGAUGGACCAUUCAAAGCAUAAGAAAUGCAAGGCACAUGGCUUAAAUUUCAUGAUAUACGGAGUUUGUUUUUCCUUUUCUUUCUUUUUAUUUUUUUCCAAUCCAUGUUAAAAUAUUUGAGAAAGAAGAGAAAAAUAAGAGAAAAAAGGAGAAAAAUUGUAUUUCUGUCCAUCAGUUACAAUGUACAGAAGCAGCCUUUAUAUAGACUAGAAGGUUGACGAAGUUUGCUAAGGCCGACUAAAUUUGGCACAAUUAAUCACAAAUCAGUCAAAGUAAAGUUUGCUAAGGCCAACUAAAUUUGGCACAAUCAAUCACAAAUCAGUCAAAGUAAAGUUUAGUAAGACCGACUAAUUUUGGCACAAUCAAUUACAAAUCAAUCAAGGUGAAGUUUAGUAAUAUCGACUAAGUUUAACACAAUCAAUCAAUCAAUAAAUUUUAACACACUAAAGAAAAUAUAAACUAGGUUAUUCCCUGAUAAAUGCAUCAAAUGCUAUUUAUGUUGGACAAGAUCCGGCAGCUCCAAUGGAAUGUUGUUGGUCCGCAUGGUGAAAAUUGGGACGGGUGAAUGUGGGGAUUUCACCUCGCUUGCUAGAGUUCUCCUGCAUCCGGUACUUCUUGAAACUUGGAAGUUUCCCAUCUUUAUAGGUUCUUAUUUAUACGGUGAGCUAUAAGGGCACAUCAAAGGAACUUAAAAGUACGGGUUUGUCUUUCAUGAUAUAUCCGCAAAGGGGUAAAGCCUCACUACAUUUCGAGAUUUAUCGAGUCAUUCUGUCUAAUUUUUGAAUAUUUUGUUUCCGAUUUCUAUAAAUGUAUGUAUAUUUGUAUUAGUAUCUAAUUUACCAAAAAAAAAAAACAAGAGAGAGUUUGAAUCAAAUUUCUAUACAGCGGACACCAUUCUACUCACCUUUAUUUUCCAUGUUUGUAACGAAUUGCUCUAGUUUCAUGAAGUUGUUACUAAAUAUAUGCAAUGCAUGUGAUUGAAUNNNNNNNNNNNNNNNNNNNNNNNNNNNNNNNNNNNNNNNNNNNNNNNNNNNNNNNNNNNNNNNNNNNNNNNNNNNNNNNNNNNNNNNNNNNNNNNAAUCCAUUCGAUAAUAUGGUAGAUCGUUGAUCUUCCCAUUUUUAGCUUAGGUAUUAGUGACUAGGUAUGUUUUUUUCUAAAAAAAUAUCCUACCAAAUAUGUAAUAAUUUAGUACCUAAUUCAAAAAAACUAGCCGAAAGUUAUUAUUUAAGUUCUUUGAUCCUACAUAAGUACCCAAGAUCUGCCAAAUAAUUCUUUUUUCCUUUGAAAAACUACACCCUUUCACUCUUCUGAGGACCAACAAGACCNNNNNNNNNNNNNNNNNNNNNNNNNNNNNNNNNNNNNNNNNNNNNNNACUACCCUCAACAUAUCUAUUUUGAGAAAUAUGGUUUCUAAUUGAAUUGAGGUGCUCAACUAUUUAAAAUUACUACAGCUAUUAAUAAUAAAUUUUAAACAUGCCAUACGAUAAACUUGCUACAAGAACAUGUUCCAAUCAAAACUAGGGUUACAAUUACCUUUCGAACGCUAAGCCGGUGAAAAUCCACCGUAAGAUGUAUUGCUAGAGAGGGCUAUGUCUUGUCUCUAAUUUCCUAUUGGUCCAGAACAAAGUUAGCACUAGCUAGCUAUUAAUGGUUUUAUAUCUUAAUAAAAAUGUGUUUGAAUUCUCUGGAAAGAAAAAUGCUUGAAAACCAAGGAACCAUGUCCACCUUGCAGCAAACAUGCAGUAAUUAUUAAAUAUACUGGCUGGUAGACAAGCUAUAGAUAGAUCUGAACUGGCUUGAUGAACAAGGUACUUCUAUUUCCCUAAAUCAACACCACCAGCCAAAUAUAAGAAUACACUUCCAUCAGUGAAGAUUGAGUAAAUUGGAAUAAAAAUACCUUAUAGGGAAUGGUCCAGCUAAAAGUGGUCCUGUUACUAAAUUAUGAGGAUAUUAUCCGCCAUUUAUUUUCUUGCAAAACACCAUCUUAUCUCCAUUGGCUUACGAGCCUUUCUUCACCUCAGGUGACCACAAAAGUUCCAACUUUUUUUGCUUGCUCUUGGAAAAGCUAACCAUUGAACGUUGUCCAUGGCUUUUCUUUUCCUUUUUUCAUGCGAAGCUUCAGAGCUGAGGACCCUUCUAUAUGUGGCAGGGGUUCAGAUUCCAUAAAUUAUGGGAAAAGCAACAUCGUUGGUUACAGAUACGUUUCUUCCUUCCUUAUGUCUUUUACGUUUAACAGAAUAAAAUGUAGUAUGGAAUGGCUUUCUUUGUGAACUUCUUUUAGAUUAAACAGGUAUAAUUAAUUCAGAUUAACACAGAAUGUAGCUUGCUUGGCUAAGGAACCAAGUAAAGAGAGCAGAGAUGCGCUUGUUGUCCAGUUUCCCAACCCCACGCAAGGAGCCGGUCCGAUCGCAUUAAACGUAUCCUCCAAAAGAUAUCUGAAGAAAUCUUUCAGAUGGAAAUGGUUGGAGAUUUAGGACAGGAACUAGGGAGGCACCGAUGUCGGGCUGCGAUGCCGCGUUAGGUCGAAGCAUUUAAUAGCACUUAAGAUCUAUCAUCGUACAUAAUGCUUGAAAAAAUAAAAUUUUUAUAUUUAAUUGAUCAUUAAAAAAUAAUAUUUCAGAGUUAUUUAUGUUUGACAUAAGAUUUUUUUUUUUCAAAAAUUGUAUAGCAUAUUUUGAAUAAAGAGAAAAAUUUUAUUUCAUUCUACCUUAAAAUUUAAGAAUAUUUUUCUCACUCUCAUCAAAUGUGGACCGCCUAUACCAAAAAAAUAAAAUUAUUUUGAAAAAAAUUAUUCUAAUUUUCAGCCCCAUAUAAUUUUUUAUAAAAUAUAAAAGUUUAUUUUUAUAAAAACUAUUUUUAAUUUUAACCUUUUUUUUUUGCUGUUGAUUUUUUUAGCACAUUUUAUGUUGCUUUUUUAAAAAAAAUAAGUAGGAAACAUUGCUUUUCGAGAAAGGUCAAGGGAGCAACUUCCGGAAGCGGACAAAGGAGGACAGCAGAGCAUGCUUGUCACUUUUGGAAACCAACAGUAAACGGAUUAUCUGCUUAGGCCAUGGUAAUGCUCGUACCCUAUGUGGAAAAAAAGAAUAUCUUGUCAUGGAUGCUGUGAAGAAGAUACAGGUGGAUUUGGUAGAUCUAGAUGUGACUCGGGAAACUAUAUAGUAUCCAAUCUAUAUUCUAUUCAAAAAUAGGUCAAAGCUAAUACUCGGUUCUUCAGCCUAAUCAAAUGCUAACCAGACUAAAUUUUGUUCACAAUGUUAGGUCCCAGUGGAUGUGAUGUUGCUCCGACUCAUAGAACUCAUACAGAUAUAUAUGGCCUCCCACAUCGUUUAUUCGUCAAAAAAAUUUUAAGUUUUUUUCUGGGUACAAUAGUUAAUUUUUAAAUAUUUAUAUAAAACUAAAAAAUUUAAAAAUAUCUUUUUGACUACUCUUUUUAAAUGACGUUAUGAAUUAUUACAAUUUAUAACUGAACGAACUCGACUCAUAAUCUAUGUAAACUAUGAAACACUACAACACGGAUUCAUAAAAGCCGAUUGUGGUGUCUAUAAUUAAAUUUUGCUUUUUUUAAAAAAAAUCUUAUUCUAUAAUUAAUUCUAUUGAAAUAAAAAAUAAUUUGUUGAUAAUUAAAUUUGUGAACUUAGUAGGGCCAUACUGGAAUUAUACGGACUCCACCCCAAUCACGCAUACAAAAGGUGUGAGGAAGGGAUCGGACUGGCCGGAUCCUUACAAUGCUUCUCUUGGACCCAGCAACCACCUUCCCUCUUGUCCCCAACAUCGUACCAAUAAAUAAAGGAGUCGGACGUGAUUCGAGCAUCGUUGCAGACUAUGUAUAUCUUCUAGGAUUCCCUGUGCGGAUUCCUGUCAUGUAGGAAAAGGACCAUAAUGUUACAUUUUCUACGUUCAAAAAAUCGUAUACGUAAUUAUUAGUGCCGUAUAUUGGUUGCAAACAAUAGGAAUAAUUUCACAUCACUACGCCUCUGCCUCCCCAAAUGACACCUUUGGCCCACAGCUUAGAUGCCGUCACCAAUGAGAUCGCCUCAUUAAUGGACUACUAUUUUUUAUUCCCCAAGUAAUAUAAAUAACUUAUUUGUGUGAGUUAUGUGUAUACAUGGAAUGCAUGUGGUGGUUACCUAAAUUAUAAGGUAUAUUUGAUUGAUCUCGAAGCUCGUCGUACUGCUGGAUUCCAUAUCGGUGCCACGUAAUUAUAGUAUCAGCAUGAUAAAUGGUACGCUUAGCAUAUUGAAUGUCGAUAUGCUACCUGUGCUAAAUCGGUAUGGUAUGGUACGGUAUAGUAUACCAUAAUUUUUUUUGAGAAGAUAGGUGAACAUUGUCACCUCAAUCAGAUGCACGAGAUGUAUAAAAAACUACUUUAGCAAGCAUCAUAUGCCGACAUAAUUAUCCACUGCGCAUCAAUUAAUCAACCAUUGGCGGAAACUUUGGAGGAGAAGCGAGCCAAUGGGGCAUCAGAAUAUUUAUCGAAAUUGGUAGGUGCGUUCAACUCCAACUACUUCCAUCAGAAAAAUCUCAGGGUUAUGCGAUUCUCUCCCCUCUCUUUCCAUGUUUAGGUGAAGCCCGUCAUGUGAUGCCAAGAUGCCUUAUGGCAUCCUGAUAAUAGUGGGACCAAUAAGUUUAGAGCUUGAAAGCAAUGGUUUAUACUACAGAAGAGUAACAAGGCUAUCUUACUUUUUGCAGCAUCAUUCCAAGUUUGUUCUUAUCUGCAUGAAUGGCUGUUCUGAUUACUGAAAUGCCUCUUUUCAUGUCACCCCAAAAUAUAGUUGGAAAAAAUAAGGAGAUGGAAUGAGAAAAGCAGCAUAUAGGAAAUAAAAUAUGAAUUAAAAAAAGGUAACUUAAAAGAAAAAUAAAUGAAAACAGAAGGGGAACUAUUUUCUCUCUUGCCACUUGAUGCUCCACCGCCGUUAUCCACCAGUGUCCACAUUUUCCACCACUAUCCACUCAACACCUCCUUUUAAUCUCCAUCACCAACCAAAUCAUUAUUAAUAAUCUCCAUCAUCAAAGUUCUUCAUCAUCGUCCCCUGUUGCUAAUGAUCUUCAUCACCGUCCACCACUACCUGAUCUCCACCUCUAUCUACUACUAUUGACGGUGCCCACCACUCAUCAUCACUUUCCACUUUUCAACUAAUUUUUGAUAUUUUAUUUCAUAUGUACAUAUUUUUUUAAUCCCAUUUCCUUCCUAUUAUAUGAUAACAUGGCAAGGGAUAUUUCAGUCCAGAAAAACUAAAAUAACUUUUUCUGUAAGUACAUGGUUUGUUCAUGCCAAAACCAGAAGCCCUAUGGUUCUUUAUUUUAUUUUAUUUUAUUUUUAAGCCGAAUACGUUAUCCAAUCCUUGAAUAAAUCCAGCAGAACUUUUUAACAUGCGGUCCCCAUGUGGAACUACUGCACGUAACGACAAGGAGUUGUGGACCGGGCUUUUAAUUUCCGGUCCCUCCCGUAUCCGUCACCAUACCCGGCACGCAUGCUUUUCGGGCAAUCGAGAAUUUCAAAAAAUAUAUGCUUGGUGGACCGGGAGUUUAAAAAGUUGACAAAUAGUGAUUUUUUUUUGUUAGAGUCCGAUCCACAUAAGAACAGCUAAUCAAGUUUCCUUAUAAAAUAUUUAAGGGGCAGAUGGGAGUUUCAGAGUUAGAAUUCCAUAAUAUAAUUUAUCUAUAUGAUUAGCCAUAUAGGGUGCAAUCCAAUUAGCCGUGCUGUUUUAUUUCUUGACAGAUAUACGCCACAUUAAAAGAAUGGAGGAAAGCAAAUAUUCGCUAAUAGUCCUAUACCAAAGGAUGCGAUUGGAAGUUCAGAAAUUUAGAGGCCAAUAACCAUCUAACAACUAUCAUAGAAUGGCUCUCCAAAAUAAUUAAUGGCGCUCUCAAGAUCUCAAGAGCAUAUGUCAAAUCUUUCCAUGUUGGCAGCAGUUCUACUAUCAAAAACUUGGUAUCAAAGAUCCUAACUCUCUCUGUAGAUAUAAGAAAACUCGUGGUAUAACAAAACUUGAACCACCAUUAGCAUUUCUAUUUUGGACACUGCCAUUGAAAUUAAUCAUGACUAAACAAGGUGGCAGUGGCUCCCAGUAGAAAUGAAUCACAUGAAGGAGGACAGAAUCAGCUGAAGAGGAGCCACAAGUUUCCUCUGCUGUUAAAGUUUCAUUCGGAGCAAUAGCUUGAAUAAACUCCUAAGCCUGCACAUAAGCUUUCAUGACAAUAAGUGUAGGAUCCAUAGCUAUUUUUGUAACACGCCAAAUAGGGGUGGCAAUCAGGUCGGGUCAAGUCAUAUGAGGGUCGGCUCAGAUAUGAGUCGAUCAAAAAAUUUCAAACCUGAAACCUGUCAUAUUUAAUAAAUAGGUAACUUGAUCCGACCUGAAACCUGAAAUCUGCCAUAUAAGAGUCGGCUCAGAUAUCCCCCGCCUGAUUUGCCCGGUGGAGUCGCCAUCUAAUCCGCCAGUACCGAGGUGGCGCUGGGGUGACAUACUCACACAUAGGUAAUGAACCAAGUGGAGGUAACCCACGGGUCGGAAAGGGUACGCGGAAACUUGCGGCCUGCAUCGAAUAUUCUCUGGUGGAAGGAGAGCCAGUGGGGAUUGCUACGCGGGUGAGGUUUCCUCUCCCUCCUCUUAUUUUUUGACCAAAAAAAUAACAUUAAUUAAUACAUAUACAUAUGUAUCCAUGUGAUAUGUCCAUCUAAGUUUGUAGGCUAAUGAUGCACAAAGAAUGGCAUGCAAAGUUGUAGACAAUAGGAAUUGUUAGUAAAAUGUUGGAAAAUUCAAGGGUGAAUCUUGGUGUCCAUGUUUAGCAAGGGAUGGUGGACAGGGAUUGGCGCCCUUCGUUCCGCCUCCAUUAUUGGAAAGGUCUGGGCAACGGUGGAACGAGAUGGGGGUGUGGAGACCACCGGUAAGCCAGUGCUGGCUGACACCCAUCCAUCUCUCUUGCUUUCUUUCGUUCUUGGUUGGCAUCGAAAUAAUGCAAGGUGCAGCAUCUCGGCAGUCGGCGGUGAUUGGCGGAAAAGGGGAAACGUUGCCUCUCUCGUACAAUUGGAUUGAACUUUUCUGGAAACACGUUCACUUUUUAUACUGUUACUCCCGGAUAAAAGUCCAUAGGUACCUUCCUAUUUUGCCACAUCUUCACCGGCACGAGUCUUCAAUGAGAAAAUCCAAAAAAUCGAAGUGAAAUUCUUCCUACUACCAAAUGCUAUUAAUUAGGUGACCUAAAAUAAUAAUAAUAAAAAUAAAGGCCAUCUGCAUAUUUUCUCUCUUCUUCCUCAAAAGGCUUUUAUUCUCAUUAGUUUUGUUCUCUCCUGCGAACCUUCUUCCUUCUAAAGUACCUAAUACACACCCCAGAGUGAACAAGCCUCAUCAAUUGAUUGCCUAAAAACUGUAAAUCAAUUUACUUGGAGAUAUAUAUUAGAUUACUGGAUAUCUAUUUUGCUAGAUAGAUAUCACAUGAUCAUCGAGUAUGUACUAGUGAAUACUAUAUUCUAAAAACUAUAUUUCGAUAUAUCCAAAAAUAUGUAUUAAAAUAUUAGAUGACUAUUUUAUCGUAAACAUAUCACUUGACCAUAUACUGUGUACUAGUGAACAUCAUAUUUUGAAAAUUAUAUGUCGAUUUAUCUGUAAGUGUGUAUUAAGUCACUGUAUUAAAAAAAGCUUACAACAUGCAUUAAGAAGUCGACAUGUGUGUAUCACUUGGUCAUAUACUAUGUGUUGGUAAAUACAAUGUUUUAAAAUUAUGUAUCAAUCUACUUAAAGGUAUAUAUUAAAUUGUUCGAUGAUUAUUUUGCUAGGUAUGUAUCAUCUUGCUAUGUAAUAUGUACCAAUGAAUAUCAUAUUCUGGAACUAUACAUCAAUUUAUUCGAAGAUGGGUAUUGAGACAGAUGUCUUUAAAAUAUUUGUUUACUCAUAUGAUUUUUUUUUGCUCGUCAUACCUCCCUUCCAUUUUCUGAUGGGUUUGGUGGCAAGAUGCCCUCUACGGCUUCACUUUAGUGCCCCCACUAUCACCUUUUAAUCAUAUUUACCGGCCCUCUCUCUUCCCCCGGGAAGGCCAAACAUUAUUUUUUAAGUAAAUCGCUCACUUAACUAGUGCAGCAAGUGACGAGGUCUCAUUCCGGUGGAAAGCCCACCUGAAAGUUAUGUGCCAACUGGGAGAUUAUUAAACAUCCCACGAUAAACAUGGGACUUCAGAAAUGAUUACAAAAAACAGAGCACUUUGAUUCCUAAGCCAGCCAUAGAUAGCUCGGUCAGCUAUGGAUGGUUCUUAGUCCAUAUAAAUUAUUCAGCAUAUUUGUAUUUAUAUGUGCGCCUAUUUUGAUGAUUGGCAUAUAUUUUCCAUUUAAGAUGUUGGACCACAGAACUUAAUGAUUGUUCUGGCAUGAUGAAAACAGUUCAAUGCUGUCGACUGAGGGCGAGAACUUUGCGUGAUAGAGAAAUAUUCUUUGAUUUAUUCAAACUUUAUUAAUACAAGUUGAAAUUGCCUCACCUCCUAUCUCGGCACAAAGAAGCUAAGUCUCUUCUCGUUUUUUCAUAUUUUAUUUUUUAAUUUCAAAAAAAUAAAAUCAUAGAUACCAAAUCAAUUUUAAAAAAUCACUUUUAUUAUUUUUGAGAAAUAAAAAAUUCUAAAUUUAUGUAUUUUAAAUAUCAAAAAAUUAUUUUUCACUACAAUCAUUGUUGCCUCCUCCACCACUACACUGGUUGCUUCUGCCUUUUUUAUUUUGGCACUUCUAUCUUCACCACAUCGCACCAGCAUCAUCAGUAUUGCCGUCAUUGUCGUAUUGCUGGCACCCUAAUUACCAACGUCGUCGUUGCUGCUACAUAUUCAGCACCUCGCCACCAUCUCCGCCAUAUGGACCUUUGUCAUUACCGCCACCUCCAUAGCAUCAUCAUCUCUAUCAUCAUCAUCAUCAUCAAAUUUAUAUUGUUAAAAAUAAUUUACUGCACUAAAUUUAUUUAUAUUAAUUUGAAAGAUAAAAAUUGACUUUUGUUUGGUGGUGAGGGGCCGGAUGUCUGGGUUCGCAGGUCUCCUAAUAAAAAAAAAUUUAGACCGUGCUAAUUUUGGUUCUUCAGGGUUAUCUAUGCGGUUUGAUGCUAGAUUGGCAUUGCUCUUCCUCAGCAUUAGGUGCUAAAAAUGCUCAUAUGCUAAUCGAACCUAAAUGACUAGAUCGUAGUACAUGCACUAGUCUUCGUGCAAAGUUUAUAAAUGUCAAAUUGAAGUGUUUGGGAGAGUAACAGUAUACUAAUCAAAAGGACAGGGAGAAGAAAGUAAUACUGAUGAGUGGUUAAGCUCCUUUGGUGAGAGGGGACACACGGAUCAUGCUUUUCGAUUUGGUUAACGUGGGAAGUAAGGAAGGGAUGGUUCCUUCGUUUUCCCAUUUCCACGGGCAUAAAAUGUGGGUUGGGGGCUGUCAAAGGGACAGGGAAGUGAGUGGAACAGCAGCCAUCUCCAUUACUCGUUGGUUCCCAACAAAAAAGAAGAGGUCGUAAAUAAAAGAAAGCAGGAGAAGAAAGAGAAGUUUGGGGGGAGGAGAGAGAGAGAGAGACAGACAGGGGACAUAUAUGGCCACCUAAAGGAGAUCAUCAAGGUUGCCUCCCAGUUUGGGAAAGCUGCUGCCUUUGGGCAUUAAUCCCCUCCUCUGCUGCUUUUUGGCUCAGUCCCCUGUCCUAGGUAUUGGAUUUGAGGAGAAGGGAGGCGGAGAAGAAGAUAACUUGGGGUGGGGAGGAGAAAGAAAGAGGGUUCUUUUUGGAGGGAGUUAAGGAGAUAAAGGUGGGAUUUUUACGCAGUACCAAAACUCCAGCCUCUCGAUGGCAGGGGAUGGUGGGGAGAAAGCAGGACUAGGAGGCGAGGAAGCCAGGAUGUGGGAUCUCAACGACGCCGCCCCGGAAAAAGAGGACGGUCGCUCCGCCUCCGCAUCCGCCGCCGCGGACGGCGGAGAGGAGGCGGCGCCAGGAACUGCCUCCGCCACCACCGUGGCAGACAACGAGAACGACGACUCCAGCUCUUCCGCCAUCGCCAUCGAGGCCUCCGACGAGGGGGAGGCCGACGGCGGUGGCGAUGGGAAGCUCUUCGGGUUCUCCAUCACCGGCCAGCCCUCCGCCGUCGUCACCCACCAGUUCUUCCCCCUCGGCGCCCCGGAGGAUACGGGUGGCCGGGCCGGCGGGGCCGCGAUGGAGCCGCCGCCCCGGGCUCACUGGGUUGGAGUCCGGUUCUGCCAGUCGCCGGAGCCGGCGGCGGUGGGGAAGGCCAUGGAGGCGCCGCAGCCCGUGAAGAAGAAUCGGCGAGGGCCCCGGUCGAGAAGCUCCCAGUACCGGGGGGUCACUUUCUACCGGAGGACCGGGCGAUGGGAAUCUCAUAUAUGGUUAGCUUUCUCCUCCCUCGGUCUCAAAAGCUGAAAAAAGAUGGGAUUUUUGGAAUUGGAUUCCACAGUUUGGGCUUCUUCUUUUUUUCUUCUCCUCUUUAAGCAUUAGAUGAACCUAUUCUCCCCCAUUUAUGUGCAGGGACUGUGGAAAGCAAGUUUAUUUAGGUAUGUAUGAUCUGUUUGAUGUGAAGAAUAUAUAUGAAUUAAUUGGUAAAAUUUUUCUUCAUUCUUGAUGAUUAUGGUUGUGUCUAUGAAUGUAUCUUUCUUUUCUUUUCUUUUCUUUUUUGUAAUUGCUGAUGUUUUGUAUGGAAUUGACUGUAUAGGUGGGUUCGACACUGCACAUGCUGCUGCUAGGUGAGCUGAUCGACAUUCUCUUCACAUGAUUUCGUUAAUUCAAUAAUCUUUUGCAACUAGUUCUUCAGACUCAAAACCAAUCAAGACCCAGCCACCCUUAGCUCUGAAUUAUAGAUAUUUUGAUGCAGGGCAUAUGAUCGGGCAGCGAUCAAGUUUCGCGGGGAGGAUGCAGAUAUAAACUUCAGUCUGGAUGAUUACGAGGAGGAUCUGAAACAGGUAAAGGGAGUGUGAGUGAUAUGGCUAAAUGUGACAUUAUCGGACCUGUAGUAAGGUAUAUACGCAUGAAUUGGAAUCUAAGAAAAGGGUUAUGGAUGCUGGUUGACAGAUGAGCAAUCUCACCAAGGAGGAAUUUGUCCAUGUACUUCGACGCCAGAGCACUGGAUUUCCUAGAGGAAGCUCUAAAUUUAGGGGUGUGACCUUGCACAAGUGUGGGAGAUGGGAGGCUAGAAUGGGCCACUUUUUGGGGAAAAAGUAUACCACGGCUACUUCUUCAAUGGCUAUUUACCAACUUCAUUUUUUCCUCUUGAAGAACUUCCUUGUCGAGUUCAUCUCUGUCUCUUGUUGAACAACUGAUGGUAAUUGUUGUUGGUGAAUACCUAAUGGUUCCUCUGGUUUAAUGUAUAUGAUCUUUGUUCUGACAGAUACGUGUACCUGGGCCUCUUCAACACUGAAGUGGAAGCUGCCAGGUAUACUAGAUUCUCUUUAUUCUUACAAAGAGAGACUACGAAUGAAAUAUUUCUGAAUAAGUGCCAAUCCGGAGUUUGCAGGGCUUAUGAUAAGGCUGCAAUCAAGUGUCAUGGGAAGGAUGCAGUUACCAACUUUGAUCCUAGCAUCUACAAGAGUGAGCUUGAUGUCCCCGGUAAGUUUCUCGUUAGCUUUUCGUUGUUUUAUUUUAUUUGUACUUGUUUAUCUGGUUGAUUAUGCCUCAAUUCUAUUCAAAGUGUUAAACAUUGUUUGCAGCUAGCCACACUGAGCACAAUCUUGACCUAUGUUUGGGGAGCUCAGGCUUCAAAAGGAAUCUUGAACCAGUGGAUGAUGAAGGCUCCAAUGGAAUGGAUCAGCGAAUUCCAAUGGCCUUUGACCCAGAAUGGAACCAUAGCAGUAGGCUGAAGGUAUCAAUAAUCCACCUCUUUGCUGCAUCGCCUUAGUGAAAACUUGAUGAAAUAACUUUGAAAAUAAUUCAUUUUUGUUUCCCUAAUAGUUUGAUGACAAAUUUAAGCUGCCUGAAGACAAAGAAAGCAGAAUCAAUUAUGCCUAUAGCAAUGCCUACAUCCAAUCUCCAGUUCCUUUCAAGGCCAAUGAGAUUUUCAAGCACCCACAGCUUCAGAGGAACAGUGGCAUGUACCCUAUGUUCCUACCGCAGCAGUUUGAUUCGUAUGGUUUUCGUCAAGUGGGUAGCUCAUUGAAUAGAGUCUGUCAUAUUGCUUGAUACUCUGUAAUCUAAUCUUAACACUGCUUGGUUUGCGAUACAGCAUCCAGGCAGCAGCGAUGGAUCACGGGUUGGAGGAGGAAGCCUUUCAUUAGCAAUUGGCAGUGAGCAGCAACAGAAGAAUUCAGAUUGGGGAGAGCAUCGAAACAAUUGGCUGUCAGCUACCACCCUGCCUUCCCAAAAGUUCGUUAUGACCACUGAUGCAGCAUCAUCGGGAUUCCCACCGCAGAUAACAAAACUGCCCCCUCAUUUGGCAGCGGAAGAAUGGUUCCCAGUCUCUCAUUAGACCUAGCCAAAACACUGUCAACAUGCAGUGAUGGUAUCUGUUACUCCCUUGCUGACCGGCCAAGAACUCGAUCAUUUUUUUUCGUUUCAGCUUUCAUAUAUUGGCAGACGGCUUUCUGGAGGGUGGCUUUCCAUUUUUUCUGACCUUCCGUUGACAUUAUGACUCCUGAUUAAUUUGUUUGGUCUUAUGAUUUUCCAUCUCUCCCUUGGAAUUUAUGUACUGCUAGGGUAAGGUCAAAAAGAAUUGGGCAAUGNNNNNNNNNNNNNNNNNNNNNNNNNNNNNNAAAUAUUGGUACUGUUACCACUUUAAGGCUGGAGCUGAAGUAAUAGCAAACUAUGUUUAGUUAGUGCAACAAAGAAGGUUGUCACUGAAAUAGUGGAAAACUUCUAACUGUGAUGAAAAAGAACAGUGUCUAUUUUAAAGGGAGAAUACAAUCAGAGAUAAUGCGACUGCAUGAUAGGUUCUUUUGAACCAGAGAAGGGCUAUUAUGGUGAGAGGGACUUCACAACCCUAUACCAGGCCAAGGUGGGAGAUGGGAGCUUCGGCCUUCCUCAUUCUUUUUAUCCUUUUUUUUCCACUAUAAUUUGGGUUGCCUGUCAGUGUCAUCUAACUCGUUUGAGGUUAGGAAAAUUUUAAACAGCAGCCAGUAUGAUGGUUCCAAACGUCUCCUUUGUGCUGCAGGCAGGCAUAAUGGACUGAUGGCACCAUUAAUCUGUGUUAUGACUGUCAUGUAAGUGUUGUAUCAUGGGUUACUUAAUGCAGUCAUUGCUUAAAGAAAUCCGAUAUUACUUCUAUGUUUCUUUUUCUUUCUUAAAAAUUAUGCUUAACUUCGCAAUAUGUGUGUGUGUUUUGUGUGUUGGGGGGGUGUUAUGUUGCUGUUAUAAGCUUUGAAUGAAUCAGAGCAAGGGCUUUGACAUUAUUUUGGUUUGACUGCAGCAAGUCUAUCAAAUUUACGAUACCUAGAACUCCCUUACAUAUUCUGCAGUUGGCGAGAUAAGUAGUCAUUUAUUGAUGAUUGGUCAUAAGGACAUUGUUUUUAUCUUGCUCGGAGAUAAUGAUAUCUAUCAUGUAUGGAUACAUUGAUAGCUAAUUAAGUAGAACCAGUUGGGUCUGUUGUUCUGUCGGUACUUCUGCUAGAAUUGUAUUGGUUUUAUGAAUAAAAGUUUGUUCAGAAAUCAUGUUCUAACUUCUUAUGAUUUGUUAAUUUGAAUAUUACAGAGAUCAUGGUCAGACUUUUUUUUUUUUUGAGAGAGAGAUCACGUCCACUUUUUUAACUAUCAAUUCCGCACUUACCAUUCACUAAUGUUAUCUUUUGUAUGAGCCCUAUCUCAGUGGAUAUGUGUUGAUAAAUAGUCAUUUUCUUUUUUGUUUUUAAUUGUGCAUCUUCAUAUACCCAUAUAUCAAGUUAUUAGCAACUAACAUUUACUUGGAGACCAAGACUUUUAAUAUUUUAGACGUAAUAUUAAGGGCCUUUGAAUCACUAAAUAUUAAAAUUAACUUGUUUGAAACUGAAAAAAGUUGGUAUUCUUACUUCCAUACCGGCCAGCAUUUGAGUAUCUCAGUUGUUGCCCCUGGGAAUUGGUCUAUCCUAGACGACGAGCUAGUAAAGCGUUGGUGCUAGAGGACUCGCUGAUUGGCUGCUAAGUUGCAAUUCAAUGCGGGCAUCAAUUGUUGGGAUCGUGAUUCGUGACUGCGCUUCAACCUAAAACAACAAAAACGAAGAAGUCUUUUUGCCGGAGUGUGCUAAGUGGAGGAUCCUCUAAUGCCUAAGUCAAGACGAUACUCAAGGAUCAGAGAGAGAUUUGUAGCAGUCUGGAAGGUCCUCUAAAGAGUUGGUUGUAUAGGCAAGGAAGAAAGUCUGACGCCAUAUAAUUCAGGCAUGCGGAUCGGCCAGAAUUCGACGCAUGAUUUCAGAGACUAUUUGGAAUCUUGGUUGUGGUGUGUGAAGAGCUUUCGAAAUUUGAAUUUGUCUGUGCACUUUCGAGCAUGCCAAAUGGUUGGCCCUAAUAGGUGGUGUGUUGGCUUUGUGGUGAGUUUUGGUUGGUUAGCCUCUCGUAAGAGCUGUGGUCAAUUUCGAUGUACAUCACUUGUCUCUUACUUUGGUAACCGAGUUUUCAUCUGCCAUGAUAUCAACAAAUGUCCAUUUAAAAAAUUCCUCCAAGUUGCAGGACAAAGGGAUCGCCGACCGAGGUUGCCAAGACCUUGGGGUCCAAGUGCUCCUUUUCUCUGCCUCAGUACGUGGUUUGAGUAGAAAAGUGGCUGUGGAUCUCAAAAUGGCCGGCAGCAAGGAGCUGCGGCUUUUCCGCCUAGUUUACUUCUUAGUUGACGUUAUUCCAAUCACAUUGCUGUCCUUGGCUCGAAGCGGUCCCGGACUCUGAUUAGAAGAAGAGGGAGAUGCUUUCUUUUAACUCCUGCACUAAACUGUUGUAGCUCUCUUUCAUAAUAGGCAUAAUGUCUUGCAAAUAGUAUGUGGUCACUCAAACUUGGAUAGUGUUUGGAUGCAUGUAAGUGGGCGUUAGGUGUGCAAGAAGUGACAUUUUUCUGUUGCUUGAUUGGGUUAAAAUGAGUGAGGCCCAUGUUGCUAGGUCCCCACGGCCACGAAAUGUGAGGGAGCAAAGGGAGGAUACUGAGGAUUGGGUUGCUAUUCAUGAGCAAAUUAUGGAGCAUGUAUGGAAAGCUUACAAAUAAUUUUUAUUCUUAUGCUAUGUAAAAACUUAAUUUACCACACUCUUUUCAUGACAUUUCAUGCACGUUAUAUCCUUGCACUGCUUUGUUUUAAUGUCCUAUUGCAUGCUACUACUUGGUACCAUUUCUAUAUUUUCAUGUGUGCAUGUGUGUCAUAUUGUUAGAUGGAAGCUGAGCUGAUAGAGAGUAACAGACAUCCUAUUAACGUUCCCAAUGGGGAAUCGAAACAAGGUAAUGAGUUGAUGCUUCAUCUCGUUCAUAGUUGAGCAAGCGAAGCUAGAACUCAAUAUUGACAAGGGUUUCAAGAACCUUGCCAUCACUGUUGCAGUGAAAGCCGUUAAUGAUUUUCUUCACUCAUUUCCUAUGAAUAUGUAAUUACUAGAUUAAAUUAUAAAAACCCCCUCUCGAGAUUAGAGAUUAAUUACAAUUACAUCCGAUAAUUUGCAAAACCUAUGAUUACUCUUCUGAAGUUUAUUUUUAUCCAACACCCUAAUCUAUAACUUAAUAAAACAUUAACCAAAUACCACAUCAGAGAAAAUUUUAAAAUGACCAAAAUAAACUUAAGUGACAUCUUUUACCUCAUCCAACGACAAUUUCGUCUAUUCACAUAAGGUAAACAAUAGAUUUACAAAUAGUCGAUGUAAGUGUAAUAAGCAUAAAUCUCAAGAAGAUUUUUAUAAUUUACUCUAAUUACUACUAUUAUUUUAAUGAUAUAUUAUUAUAUUUUUUCCAUAUGAGCCAAACUCCAAAAUGACAAUUAUUUAUGGUAAUGAUGAAGCCAUUGAUGCUUUCUCCAAGCCCUUGUCUACAAAGAUAGAGGGACCUCUAUCUACGUAGAUGGAGAGGACCUAGGAAUGUUGUUCCCAUGUCUCCGAUGGCAUUUGAUCUCAAUUGCCUGGUGGGCGGAGAGGGGGCCCACCCUCUAAUGUAGCCUUCGCUCUCAUUUUUGGGGUUGUGGGUGGAGAAUGGGGUCAGGUUGGGUUGGCUACGGAGGACCAGAGAAGGUGGCUCUCCAUGUGACUGCGUUCAGACCGAAAGCAGUGCCUCCGUCUCAAGCCAAGGCUGCAGGACCACUUGAGAGUACAAGCACCAGCAAAUAGGGAUCUAUCACCCUUUCCUACGCGCCACCAUUGAACUCCUUAUUUAUAGUUUUGAACUUUCUUAUAGAAGGCUUUGAGGUUUAAGGAAUGAAAGGGCAUUUGUUUAUGAUCCAUGGACAUGUUUUGCAUCAAGUUGGAAGGAAAUAGCUAUGGAUUCGAGGGAUACCAAUGAGUUACUGGGUUACUCUAUGCUAAUACUGCAACGGGAGGGGUCUUUCUUUUCCUAGAGGUAGUAUUUUUUGCUUCCAACUUCUCCCCUCCUCCCUCUUCAAGGGCAUAUUUAUUUUUCAGUAAAAUAAGAGGCCUAAACUUGAUAAAGUUAGAAAUACUUGCCUUCAAUUGUUUGGUUUCUUGUAAUUGAUCUCUAAGUUUCUACUUAUGUGGAAUCACUAAUCAAUUAGGGUGUUUCUGAUCCAAGAUGUGUGUAGAUAAACUGAAUGUUGCUUUAAUGCUCUCCCACUCACAUUAAUCUUAAGCAUGAAUCAUUUAGGCACUAUUUAAGCGAUGAUUAUUAAUUGCGAUUAAAUGAUAAUCUUAAGGCCUCAAACUUGUUCUUCAUGUAGUUCUGCAAAAUAAAUCUAGUUAUGUCCACAAUUUUGAUACUUAGGUGGAAGCAAUAUAACGAGCAUACCCUAAAUAGAACCUCGGUCUAGCUAGGAAAAUAUCAAAUGGCAAAGGAAUUUAGGCACGGAGGCUUGUUUGGGGGCAUAAUUAUCCUGGGUUUUAGAUAUAACCUACAAAAGAGGACUCAUUUAACAAAAAGGGAGAAGUUGUGAGGACCGAGGGGGUUAGUUUCAUCAUUAAUCCCAAAUCUUGUAGCUUACAAAAAUUUCUGAAGUCUAAUACUUUAGUUAUCUUGACAAGUAACCAAUAUUAUGAUGAUCCAAGAUUAGCUUACCUAGAUAAUAUCGAUGUUCAAGUGUUGUUAGAAUUUCCGAGUACACCUUAGCAUUUCCCUCAAUUUCAAUUGUUCAAUAAAAGAAGACACAAAAAGAGACUGCAAAAAAUAUAAGAUUAAAGAAUGUUGGCUAAUACAUAAAUGUUGUGCUGGUUGAUAUCUUGGUUUAUAUACUCUAAGCUACAUCAAUUGAGAUAAAGAAAAAGUUAAUAGUUUUCAUUAUAUUGUAAAAUUGAGUAGUCAAUAUCUGUAAAAUCUGAGACCUUUAGCCAACGUAAGAAUCAUAGUGUAAUUCAGCUCUCCGAUAAUUUUCAGUAUCCUUGAGGUUUUACUGCCCGUUGAAAGCCUUUCCAGAUGAUUUUCUAAUUCUAAAAUGUAAAAGAAAAAGAUAUUUGGGGUCAAUUGGCUGCUCCCAUCCUUCUCCUUCCAACACCUAUAAAUUCGAGCUCAAACUAAGCUGCUUUUUAUCUUGGAUGUACAUGAAAUAUUUUGCACCAGAAAAAGCCCUGAAAUUUUGUGACCAAGAGCGGCCCGAAGAGCCCAUGGGCUCUCUCAACCGACUGCCAUUUUGGCGAGAGCCGCAGUUGCUCUUUUUCAUUUUUUCGGUAGAAGAGGAGUCCACAUAGACUCACACUGAGAGGAGCACACCUGCUUAGCCAGAAAAUUCUCCUUGGCCAUUGAUCCAAUCGACGACAGUCAUGGAAUCACCAUAAACUAUAAUCCUAUCAUUCUGUAUAAGAUUUACCAUCGUCUCCAUACCAGCAGAGACUGCCAUAACUUCAGCUUCUGGAACAAAGGAGGUAUAAACUAGAAUUGAUGCUGCAAGUAGCACUUUACCUUCAUGAUCACGAAUCNNNNNNNNNNNNNNNNNNNNNNNNNNNNNNNNNNNNNNNNNNNNNNNNNNNNNNNNNNNNNNNNNNNNNNNNNNNNNNNNNNNNNNNNNNNNNNNNNNNNNNNNNNNNNNNNNNNNNNNNNNNNNNNNNNNNNNNNNNNNNNNNNNNNNNNNNNNNNNNNNNNNNNNNNNNNNNNNNNNNNNNNNNNNNNNNNNNNNNNNNNNNNNNNNNNNNNNNNNNNNNNNNNNNNNNNNNNNNNNNNNNNNNNNNNNNNNNNNNNNNNUUGGAGUUUUCAAAGAAGAGAGAUGAGAAAGUUGUAUUCCCAUGAAAAUAUGAUUCCCACAUUUCAUGGAAAAGUCUUUCCCAUGAGAAACAUGGGAAAGUUACUUUUCCAUGACGCGGAAAUCAUUUCAUUUUUAUUUUUUUCCCAAAAAGACCUUUCAGCAUUAAAGAAACAUUAAAGACCUAAUUUUUAUUAAGGAUAUAAUAAGAAUUAUUCAUAACUUUCCUAAGAAAGUGGAUGGUCAACCAAACAUAAACACUUUGUAAAUAUGUUACUUUCCCAUGGUCAACCAAACAUGCCAAAAGUACUUCUUAGACAUUUUCUUCCUAGAAAUCUGAAGGAGAACACCUCCCGCGAACCAAACGAGCCCUAAAAGUUUUGUGAUCGACGAGCCCACGGGGCUCUCAACCGACUCCUUAUUGGAGGGAGCCGUGGUCUGGUCCAAGAGAAGAAGUAAUCAGAUCCCAUGGACAUAUUUCCUUCUCCCAGUUUGACUAGGAUUAGCCCAUCCAUGCCAUUUGGCCGAGCCGAGCCAUAUCGCGGCUCCGUUCCCUGCUUGGUCACGACUAGGCCCCGUCCCUCUACGAACCGCAGGUGCAGCGCCCCACCCUUUUGGGACCUGGGAGACGCGCACUCUGUCGGCUUGCGAGCGAACCGACUCAGCCCGAGCGGCGCCAUCCGGCCCGGCCACCGGGCUAGGGUUUCUCACACCCCUGCCCCAACCCUGCUAUAAAUUCCUGGAACCGCCCCCCAAGACCCGGCGCGGUGCGGUUCGGGCUGCCCUCCCAAACCCUCCUCCCUCUUGUCUCUAGAUAGAAUUCUUCACGCCCUUCCGAUCUCCGAUCCUAUCCAGAUCCCUUGAGAAAAAUACCAAAAAUAUCGGGAAAAAACCUUAAAAAAAGGAGAAAUCGCUAUUCCCUUUUCUCUCCGAUCUAUAUAUCUAUCCUUUUGAAUCCCUAGGAGGAAGGAAGGUUUGCUUUUGUUGUUGUUCUUGUUUUUGUUGUUUUUGAUCUCCUAGGGCUUGUGCCAGAGGAGUGCGGAUUAAAGGGGAAAAAGAGGUUUUGUUUUUGGAUCCGAGAGAUGGCGCAGGUACAGGUUCAGCCGCAGGCGCCGGCGUCCGGACCGGCGGGGACGGGGCCGGCGGGCGGCGGCGGAGGCGGCGGCGGCGGAGGUGGGGGGAACCAGUUUCCGUCCACCUCUCUGUAUGUAGGGGACCUGGAGCUGAGCGUGACGGACUCGCAGCUGUUCGAUGUGUUCCACCAGGUCGGGCAGGUGGUGUCGGUUCGUGUUUGCCGGGAUGUCAACACCCGCCGCUCCCUUGGUUAUGCAUACGUGAACUACAUCAAUCCGGUUGAUGGUGAGUUUAGGCUUUUAGUCGAUGUUUUUCUUCGUUUAAUUGGACGGUAGCCUCUGUUUUUAGCGAUUAUGUUGCAUUGCUUACUAUCGAUUCUCUGUUGGUAUUUCGUCCAACCUUGGGAUUUUAGGAAUUGGAAAUAAAUGGUAAAUUAGUUGAUGUCUUGUGAUGGGGCACCUAGUAUUUGAGAGCUGUGUUGCAUGCUAUUUUAGGUCCCAAUCGUUUUGUGCUGUUUAUAUCUUAAUACGAUUUAACAAGAAUCCACUGGCCACAUGUGGCCCAGGCAAGUACCUAUUGUUCGGAAGAACUGUUGGAUGGAUUAGAAUUAUGUAGGUCUUCGUGGUGGUAAUAAGCGCUCUGACCACUUUUCCAGCAAUGUUCACUGAAUUAUAUGAUGCUUUACUGCAAUACUUUUAAUUCAACUUAACUAAUUGGACAUCCUUUUGUCUUAGUGUUUGGACUUGUGUUGAUUAUAUUGGUUAUGUAGCUGUGCUUUAUAUUGACCUUUAUUAGCACAUUAUUAGAUAUCUGUGCAAGGGCUAUAAUUAUUUGAUGAUCAUGAGCUCGAACUAGUUUCAGAAGCUUUUUCAUAACGAUGACUUUAUAUUUCACUUACUUUAAAGAGGUAAGACGGGAAUAUCUGAGCUCAUUUUAAUUGCUGGACUCUGUCGAAAUGUCCACUUCCCACUUUAUGGAUUUUCCUUUCCGGUAUCACAUAAUGCAAGAAUUAGAUAACUUGUUAUAAAUUAAGGUCUGCUAUCAUGUAGUUUUUAAAUAUCUGCAAGUUGUUAAAAUUAUUAUGAUUUCUCAUGAUGUUGGUAAAAUAGAAAUAUUGUGGCCUGGUUUGGAUGUGAUCCCAGUAGGUGAAUAGGUGCAUUUUGGCCAGGUUUUAGCAGGUGCAUGUAACAGCUAUUUUCAUGGAGAUAAGGUAUUUUCUGUAUUGGAAUAUUACUGAAUAAGUUAUUCUUGCUAUCUUUUUCAUAAAACUAAAAGUUUAGAAUUCAAAGAAAUUUAAAUUAAUAGUAUUUACCUUGAAGAAGCACGACAAAAAAAAAAAUCAGAGAGUUAGUUCCCAUAUCAUGACACUUUGUUUUGCAUCAUCGAUAGUGUUCCAUUCUAUUGUUUCAUCUCUAGCAUUUGAGAAUGUUCACGUUCCUGUUGUACUAAAAGGUUUCGUUGAUUAUUACUAUUAAGUGUCGACUAUAAUGGCCACUUGAGUGAAAGCUUCUUAAAAGGACACAUGGCAUGCUUAGCCACCAUUAAAUCAAGACAGCCUCUUCAGAUUGUUGAAAAGAUGCAAUUGUUCUUACCAUAUUGUUUUGUCCCCCAUGUAAAAGAGUUAAUGUACUUCAGUGUAUUUUUAUGUUUGGUUGAGAUUUCAGUUAAUGUUUAAAUUUAUGAUCUUUUAAGUCAAAGUUGGUUUCUGAAUAAGCUUGAAAUUCAUAUAAUAUACUGUUGUUGGUAGUUUGGAUGUUGAGACAUUUGAAAUUUGUUGAUAUUGGAGUUCAAUUUAUAUAUGUUCUUUUGAAAAAAGAACGGGUAGACCUUGUUUAUAAUAAAAAUUGUGUUUAAUUUGAAGGUUCCCAUUUGUAAACCGGAAAGUGGAACAUGGUUAUCCAAAGAGGAAGUUAAAUAUAACAAUUGUGGCAGGAUGUUGUCCUGAUAUGUGAUUGCUCAGGGCGAUUAAUUUUGUAUAACCAUAUUGGUACUUACUGUUAUUUUUAUUAGAGUGUUGGAGAUCCAUCCUAAAAUAGCUUUCUAGUUUUUUUAAGGAGUUUUUCUUAGUGUAACCCUCAAAAUAAAAACAAAAACUGCUUGCAUAUUUACCCUUCUUGUAUAAUUCGUACUUAUUGCCCCUUGAAUUGUCUGAAUUUCAUUAUAUACCUUUUCUGCCAUUGCUCGUUCACUAUCAUCAUUCUAUCCUUACUUUGUCUGGAUUGAAAGUUUGCUUGUUCAUUGACAAUUGCUGUUACUUAUAUAUGUUUUUUUGAAAAUAUUGAGGGGCAUGCCUAUUUGAAUUUUUUUUCCUUAUGUACUAAUGCAUGCUUUUACUUUUUGAGAGAUAAAUAACUGAGGAUGUUGUAAAGAGUAUGUAUGCAAGAAAUUGUUGAAGGUGUAGAUGCUAAAGUUUUGUUGGAGGUUGUCAUCUGACCAGAAUGGCGUAUAUGUAGGUUUUUGGCUUAGUAUUAUAGGCUUUGUGUUAGAUAUUGAACUGUAAUUGGUGAAAUUUGGUUGUGCUAGACUUAACAUUUUUAUAAUUCCAUUGGAUUUGGUUUGCAUUUUGUAUUCCUGUUUCUAUCAAAUGCUAAAAUUCAAUUCCGGGUGAAUCUGUCAGUUGUUCAAGUGUUUUUUUUUGAAAUGUAAAAUUGGAUUGCUUGCUGAUUGAUGUGUUCUUUCUUUCAUUCUUUUAAUUUACUUUUUUGGGGGGGAGGGCGUGGGUUGAAUCUGAAAUUUUUUGAAUGUUCUUAAAGGCUUGGGAAAUGUUAAUUUGAGUUGCAUGUAAAAUUUAUGAGAAAAUUCAUAUCCCUCUUACCUUUUUCUUGACCUUUUUUUGUUGGGGUUGUGGUCUUCCUGAUUCACAUUUUUGUAAAUUUUAUCAACAGCGGCAAGGGCAUUAGAGAUGCUGAACUUUACCCCACUAAAUGGGAAGCCUAUUCGGAUAAUGUAUUCAAAUCGUGACCCUAGCAUGCGUAAAAGUGGGGCAGGGAAUAUAUUUAUUAAGGUAUCAUACCUUUUACAUCUAUUUUGUUUAUCAUUUUGGCACUCUUCUGACUGUUUGUUCGAGUUAUUCAUCUGAUUUUUUUGCAUGAUUUAACCUAUAUACAUGUGUUAUGGCAUUAUUGUAUUUACGCUCUUUUUGCAGAAUCUGGACAAGUCAAUAGACAACAAAGCACUAUAUGAUACAUUUUCUGCAUUCGGAAACAUUCUUUCUUGCAAGAUUGCCACAGAUCCAUCUGGUCAGUCAAAAGGCUAUGGAUUUGUUCAGUUCGAUCAAGAGGAAGCAGCACAUAAUGCCAUAGAGAAGCUAAAUGGCAUGCUUUUGAAUGAUAAGAAAGUCUUUGUUGGACCUUUUCUUCGUAAACAUGAGAGGGAGCAUGCUGCAAACAACACAAGAUUUAAUAAUGUGUUUGUAAAAAAUCUCUCAGAAUCUACAACAGAAGAUAAUUUACUAGAAAUUUUUGGAGAAUAUGGAAAAAUUACAAGUGCUGUUAUAAUGAGGGAGGGUGAUGGUAAGUCAAAGUGCUUUGGAUUUGUUAAUUUUGAGGAUCCAGAGCAUGCUGCUAAGGCUGUUAAGGAACUUAAUGGGAAGAAAUUUGAUGGUAAAGAAUGGUAUGUUGGAAAAGCACAGAAAAAAUCGGAAAGGGAGAUGGAACUAAAAGGAAGAUUUGAACAGAGGAUGCAGGAGGCAGCUGACAAAAAUCAAGGGGCUAACUUAUACUUGAAGAACUUAGAUGAUAGCAUUGGGGAUGACAAACUGAGAGAAUUGUUUUCCGAGUUCGGCACAAUUACUUCUUGUAAGGUAUGUUUAAGUUGGUUGUCACUAAUUAUAUGUUAUUGUCUUGGCCGAUUAAUCUUGUGGUUGAAGUUGGCAUAAACAUUUGGAAUUUUGUAUAGGUUAUGCGUGAUCCCAAUGGUGCAAGUAGAGGAUCUGGAUUUGUUGCUUUCCAGUCUCCUGAUGAUGCAUCUAAAGCUGUAAGUUAAGCUCUGUUACUUGCGAGUUCUAUGAAUAACCAGUUUGAUAGCUGAAUUUUCCAUUUUGUUUAUAUCAUGGUCUUUCAUUCCUGUAGCUGGUGGAGAUGAAUGGCAAGAUGAUUGGCAGCAAACCUCUCUAUGUUGCACUUGCACAGCGUAAGGAAGACAGAAGAGCAAGGCUGCAGGUAAUUUCUCUAAGAGCAGUUCUUUCAAGACGCAUAUAAGGUACACUAGGUGAAGGAAGAGGUGAUACUAAUGCUCAUGCUGAUUCCAUUCAUUAUAUCAUUGGAAUAUUCUUGCUGUUAUUAUCACAUUUCUUGAUUGAGUUAUAUUUUCUUUGGAUAUCAGUGGUUUUAGUUAUCUGUUUUGUCAUUUAAAAGGCAUAAUGGUUUCUCACUCAUGUAUUGUUUGAUUUAAAAUUUUCUAAUUUUUUAAGGGCUUGAUUUCUAAUGUCAUUCUUGGAAUUACUAAUAAUUGUUGCAAAAAGUAAUUGUAUUAUAUUCACCAGAGAGUUUCUUUUGCUGUAUUUUUAUUUUUGGGCUAAGGGUUAGAGGCAUCAUUCCUUUCUUUUUUUCUAAGCAUGAACCAUGUACGUUUACAUUGCCUAUUUAGUCUUCUCCUUAAUGCUUUCUAGUGGUGUCGGUACUAUGUGUUCUCAAAUUGGAUACCAGAAUUUUGUCAUGUGAAAAUAGUUGAACUGAUUAUGAUACAACUUCUUAUGCAAAUGUUUAUGAAUGUUUUACAAGAAACAGUUUGUUGAUAUUUCAACUGUACUUGAUUAAUCCCUUUUACUACUCUUUCCUAAUAGACAGUCUUUAUCUUCUUUCUGUGCAGUUCGUUUUUCUGUGCGAAUUGCAAAACCUAUUUUGUCUUGUUUCACCUAUGACACACAACCCAUGUUGCUUUCCAUACUUAGGCCUCACAUUCUCCAGUGUCUGAAUCAGCUAUGCGCAUGACUAUUUUCUUGAUUGGUGCAACUAUUGCGCUCCCUAAAAUGAACUUGCUGCAAUCUAUAUUCCUGGUUUUGUGGCACACAAGAAGAACAUUCUCAUCAUUGCAACAUGCAUUUUGUGUGUAUUAGGUUUUUUUUAAAAACUGUUUAAUAUUCUGAUGUACAUUUUUUUUACCUUUUCACCGUGUACUAUUCUAGAGAUACUCCGUAACUGUUUAUUUCAUCCAUCUUGUUAUAAUUCAAUAUCUCUACCAUUUUCUGUUGUUCUGUUCUUUAUUAGUCCAACCAAGAUAGCAUAAAUUACAAUGGUUAUUAUUUUGCAUUUUUUUAAAACUUGAUUCAAUUUGAUUUGCAUUCUGUUACAAUUCUGUUUCAUUAUAUUUUGUAUAUUAAAAAGCAUUUGAGCCUUUAUAUUUUUAUUUGGCUUAUUGGUUAAUACAAUGUCAUCUGCACUCAGUGCUUCAUCGCCUCUGUAUCAGUAGUAAUGUUAUCUGACCAGUUUGUUGAGGUAAUGCCUGAAAUUAACCCUUUGUGUUGGCCACCUGGUGUGCAAGUAUCACUUGUUUCGCUGUAGCUACCUUUGAAUCCUAAAAUUGUUCUUUCUUUACAAAAAAAAAAAAAAUCCCUAAAACUGUUCCAUUGACAUCAUUCAUGAUUGUAGCAUACUCUUUUGUUGCACCCUACUCAUUUGAUUCACUUUUUCUCCUUGAUGCUUAGCUAUAAGUUUUAUCAUAGAGUAUACAUCCUUUCUUUGUGAAUAAUGAUCAUAUGAUUUUUUCCUCAAUAUUACUCAUCUUGUAACUGAAACAGGAUAGAUUGGCUUAUAUAGUUGACUUUCCUACUUGAAAUCCAUGAAAGUAAUAGUUGAUGUAAAAAUUAGUGGUUCUGCAUGCAAUACAAAAAAAAAUAAAAGAACAAGUUGUUUUAAUAGUGUAGCUUCUCUAGGAUUUACAUGUGAAAACUAUUUUCUCAUCAGGUAAUCAGGACCCCUAAUUUACUCCAGUUCUUAGUACAUCCACACUGGAGAUCCAUGUAUUUUAAACUUGAUAUACUUCAUAACAAAAAAGACACUAGAAUGAUUUGGAAUCUACUCUAAAAAAAGUAAUUGCACACUGAUAUCCUCAGAAUACUUUAUAUCAAAAGUUGUCAUUAUAUCUGCAAGUUGAGCAGCAUCAUGACUUUUCCAGGGAACUUGCUCGGGCACUUGCAUCUACAAGUGUUGCUUCAAUACAUUCUUCAAUUAUAAGCUUCUUUUGGUCAUCAUAUGGACUGAAUUUCACCAAACUCAAGUUUUUUUUUUAAAUUAUUGUUGUGUAACUUUAUGCAUCAUUUCUUUUAUUAAUAUGUUGACAUAUUUUCCUAUACAAUAUAUACGAUCGAAAAGUUUAAAAUUGUUGAUUAGUAUUAUUAUGCACACAUAUGUACAUAUGUCAAGUAAUUUUAGGCAUUUGUGCUUUAAGGGUUUGAAAACUUGGUUUCAGUUUUGGCUGGACCAAAUGCACUUUUCCUUUUAGCAAUUUUGGCCUUCACUUCUUGCCUACUUUCUUCAGAGUAGGAUCUAUGGCACAUCCAUCUUAUGAUUUCUUGAUGAUAUAUCUUGAUUACAUUAACAGCAAUUGAAUUGUCGUGUCUUUUUUGGGAUAUCUCCUUUGUGGCCCUUUGAAAUUUGGGUACUUGUAGAGUAAAAGGUUAUGCCAUCACUUCUUCAGGUUUGUAUUUCAUGUCAAGUUGGGCAAGAUCCCAUGACCAGUGCUGUUUUUUAAGGCCUGGUUCCUACCUGACCUAUUGGAAUAAAUUGUUUCCAGUUAUCAUGAGUAGUAUGCUGCAUUAGAUGUUCAAUUUAGUCUCAGCAAGACAUCAGCUUCUAGGUAGGUCAUAUUUAUCAGCAACCAGAUUUAAUAAAUAUUCCAUUUUUUCCAAUCAAUAUUAUGUUGUCUGACAUUAUAUACGAAUGGAUAUAUGCAUUUUAUAACACCUUUUGUUAUCACUGCUCGUAUAAUUUACAUCAUCUUUAUGAUCUCUUUUGCUGAUAGUCUGUUCAUUUGUCAGGCCCAAUUUUCUCAAAUGCGUCCAGUGGCAAUCCCACCUUCAGUUGCGCCUCGUGUGCCAAUGUAUCCUCCUGGUGCUCCUGGUAUGGGACAACAGCUAUUUUAUGGUCAACCACCUCCCACCCUUAUACCUCCUCAGGUAACUUUGUUAUAUAUAUAAAUAUAUCAUAACGACAACAACAAUAAUAAUUAAUUGAAUGUAUUGGUUUCAAGCUAUCCUAGCGCCAUGUGCUUUGGCUUGUAAAAGCCGCGCCAAGGGUUCGAAAUUGAUAUGCCCCUUCAAUAAUUGGUUGCCUGUAUUGCCUUUACUGAUGCUACAGCCUAUAGCACCUGGACUCACUAUGACCACUGACACCCCAUUGUCACCACCACCAAGAACAUUGCUGUGCCAUCAUAACGUCCGCAACUGCUACUGCCACUAGUACCAAUCAACAUGAUUUUCAGUUUUGUAUUUCUAAAGAACAAAUUAUUUGAGACCACCAGACAUGAUUAUUUUUUUUGAAUAACUGCAAGCAAAAUAAAGUCACAGUCUGUUUUGUUCUUAAAAGUAGGGAGACUUGCAAUUUGCCAAACAGAGCCCUAAGGUGUCAGAUUUUGUCCAACAUUGGUUAUUAUAGUGGUUGAAGCUUUAUACAAGAGUUUGAAUUUCAUAAUGGACUGUGCAUCCUUUUAAUUAUUAACCUUGUGUUUGGGUGGGGUUAUGAGGGAGGAUGGACGGAGUUGGAAGGAUGGAUAGCCUCCAUCCACCAUUUGGUUCAAAAAUUUUUAGGAGGGAUUGCUCAUCCAUCUUGGCCCACCAAUUUGCAUCCUUUCAAAUUAGGAGGAUGCAAGAAAGGAUGGAGCAUAUAAGAGUAGUAGGUUUCUGAGUUGAUAAAAUUACCCCUUAUUAAUUUUUUGAUGAAAGCCAACGCUUCUUCUAUUUUUCUAUUUAUAUUCACUAUUUUUUAGUUAGCUAUUUAUAUAAAAUUAAUUAACUACUUAAAUUAAAUUAUAACUUAAUUAAUUAUUUAUAUAAGUAAUAUAUAAAUUAAUUAAUUCAUAUAUAAUUAAUUUAUAAAACUAAAUUAAACUAAAAUUAAAUAUUUAAUAUUUUUUAUAUAAUUAUAGAUUAUAAAUAUAUAAGUUUAUAUAUUGUCCUACUUUAGUAUAAAAAGUGUUAUAAAUUGAUAAUAAUAAUACUAUUUGUUUAAGGGUAGUUUAGUAAAAAAUAUCAUACAAAUAUCAUCUAUUCUUCCUUUAGUUCCUUCUAUACCAAACAAAGGAGGAAAUUAUUUCCAUCCAUCCAUAUUUCACCAAACACAUGGAAGGAUGGAUGGAAGACCCAUCCAUCCUUUCUCUUCCAUCCAUUUUUCCUCCCUCUUCUAUCCAUCCUCCGGUCCAUCUGUCGUACCAAACAGAGUGUACACAUCACUGGUGUAUUGAAUGAAAAUCAUGAGAAUUGUAUUUAAUUUUCAAAAUGAUUCAAAGUGCUACAGACCAUGUCUACUUAGCUAACUCAUCAUAAUUCUAAUCAAUAUAUAUUUUUCUUUUGUUUGUUUAUAUGUUCAUUAUUUUUGUUGUAAUUUGGAAUUAUUUUGUUUUCCUACUCUAAACUAUUUUUGAGGCUUUGUUGCAUGUUCUUUCUUAGUUGACUUGUGUCUCGAUUUGACAAACAUUUGUUGGAUCUUAGUGAGCAUAAAUUAUUUCCUAAAGGAGUUGAUUUUUUUUAAUUGACCAUCAAUCACAAUUCUUACUCUCUUCACAGCCUGGAUUUGGCUUCCAACAGCCACUUGUUCCUGGGAUGAGGCCUGGAGUGGCUCCUAUGCCAAAUUUUUAUAUGCCAUUCGUUCAACAGGGUCAGCAGGCCCAACGCCCAGGUGGUAGACGUGCUGGUGGGGGUCCUGUGCAACAAACACAGCAGCACCCUAUGCCACUGAUUCAGCAACAGGUGGGUGACUACCUCAUCAUAUUCAACAUGUUUUUAUCCGCUACCACUUCAUCUUAAGCAUGUUUUUAGCUCUUCUCAUCACCAUUGAUGUAUUUUGUUAUUAAGCAACAGCUAAUGCAGUGCAUCUGUAAUGAUAAUUUAAAUGUUGUAGAUGCUUCCUCGGGGGGGACGUGCCUACCGCUACCCUCCUGGGCGCAACAUGCCAGAAGUUCCGAUGCCUGGUGCUGCUGGAGGAAUGCUUUCUGCCCCAUAUGACAUGGGGGUUAUGCCCAUGAGAGAUGCUGGCAUGUCACAGCCUAUUCCAAUUGGAGCAUUGGCUUCAGCUCUUGCAAAUGCUAGUCCUGAGCAGCAGCGGACGGUAAUAUUUGUAUCUUAUAGUCCAUCAGCAUGAGUUUGCACGAGCUCAGAUUUCUUUACUAUUCAUGCAUCCAUUUUCUGGCUUUGUCGAAGCAUUGUCAGUAAUCUGAUUGUGUUCCGUUUAGAUGCUUGGUGAGAGUCUAUAUCCACUUGUGGAUCAGCUGGAGCAUGACCACGCAGCCAAAGUGACGGGCAUGCUUCUGGAGAUGGACCAGCCUGAAGUGUUGCAUCUGCUCGAGUCCCCAGAGGCCUUGAAAGCCAAAGUUGCUGAGGCAAUGGAAGUUCUGAGAAAUGUUGCUCAGCAGCAGCAGCAGGCCAGCACCCCAGCUGAUCAGCUGGCUGCUCUAUCGUUGAAUGAUGGCAUUAUUAGUUGAGUUGAUCAUUUAGUCCUUCAGAUUGUUAGGAGAUUGUGCUUGAACAAUUUGGAUUGGUUUGAGCAGCAGAUGGCUUUGUGGUGUGGUAUUUUUUGAUUUUAAAUUUUCGAGCGGGCUUUCUAGUAGGCUUGACUUUUUAUGUUUGCGCACAAUAUGUUGUUUCAGAGUUCAUAAGAUUUGUGACUUUCAUGUUUGUUAGCGUGUUCCCAAGUUUUCUUUUGCAUUCAUUUCUUCCCUCCAUCCACCCUAUGAUAUAUCUUGGUAGUGGCUGCCAUUUCAUCUCCUUUCUGGUGAGGUAGUUUAAUGGUACAUUUGGAGUUACCUUGACUCUUUGCAUGUCGUUCUGGUCGUAAGUUGAUUGACUUUACACUUUAUAAGAAGCUCCAUCACGUUACCGUGUGUGAUGCGGUGAGGGUUUGUCCACGCUUGCACUAUGGAAACCAGAAGGAUUCUUCAACAAGAUGAAGUCCACAUAUCUGUGGCCAUGGGGCCACGAAGAAGAGAGCAAAAGAGUAGUACUGUAAACAAGGUGGAUGUGGAUUGUUAUUGUUCCAUGACAUGAUCCCAAUCCAUUCUUCAUAAAAAAAUCGGUUUUGGAUUUGAACUUGGAACUUAUUAUUGUUUUUGUUGUUGGAUUGUCUCAGUUUGGGAGAUUUCAAAUGACUCUUUUGUGAAUUUUCAAAGUCGCUCUUUUCUUGAAUUUUGUUCUUCAUGAUGAAUCUGAUGUUCGACUUAAGAGCAUAUCCUAGAAUUGUUCACGCUAUAACUUCUGUAGCUGCAAGUUUGUAACACGACAGAGAAAAUACAGGCGGGUGAGAUGGCACACAACUAUCCCGCAGCUCCUGCCCGUCUCGUCGUCCUGUUUUAUCUAUUUUACCAUGGAACUGAGAAAAGUAUGGCGCUCUCGUGGCAUUUGAAAGGAAAGGAAAAGAAGAGCCAAAAGAAUAAAAUUUGAAAUGUCAAAAAAGUCUUUAAUUAUUCUUGAAUUCUCUGCGGCCUGGUAAUUCCUUAAAUUAUUGAGGACCAAUCAAUUCAGAAUUAUUCAUAAACUAUAAGAGGUAUUGUUAUUUAUUAAUUAUUCACAACGGAUUCAAGUUUUUCCGUUACGUUAUUGUUUGUGUGUUUGUUAUUAUUUAUUAUUCUAGGUUUGCUAUUAUUCGUUAUUCUUACUUUUCAUGUAUUUAUUUCAAUGGAAUCAAGUGUGCAAAUGCUUUAGACAACUUUUUUUUUUUUUAAUAAGAAAAAACAGGACUUCUUUUGAAUUUUUGGUGAGGGUACUGGAUUUUUUGCUAGAGGUUUGAAGCUUUGGUUUGAAUUAUCCUCAAACCCCUAAUUUGCGACCUAUGCUCAUAGAAAUGCCUUAAGCACAACUUAUAUGUAUAAUAUAUUGGAAAACCCUAUCUUAUUAAGUAAUCUUUUAUUCAAAACUAAAAAUAAUAUUUUAAAAAUUAUAAAUAAUUGGUUUCCACUUGUUUAGGUUACAUUUUGACAUCUGACUUUCUUUUCCAUUUUUUAAGAAAAUAAAAUAUUAGCUUAUUCUUUUAGAUUUGUAAAGGCAAUAAACAUUCUUUGUACAAUCAGCUAUUUUAAUUUUAUAAAUAUAAAUUUUUUUUAAAAAAAUUCAACUUGCAAUGGUGGCGGCGGCUCUUUAUUUGUGCUGGCGAGUCUAAUGGUGGCAGAAUGACAGCUAUAUUGCAGUGGUGGCAGUGAUGAUAGAGAUGACAAAAGUGAAGCUUAAUGGUAGAGUCAAGCACAAUAAAAAUGGUAGUGGUACAUAAAAGCGAUAAAAUUUUUUGUUUGAAAAUUUUCAAAAUUAUUUAGCUUAUGUAAUAACUUUAUAUUUUUAUUUCUCUACUAAUCAAUAAACUUCGACAUGGAGAUUAUUGUGGAAGACAACAAUUUUCCAAAACCUCAGCUAUCCCUGCUAAGAGCAAUAAAUCUUCACUUCCAAAAGUUUUAAAGAUUUUAUAAAUAUUUUUAAAAACAAAAAUGUUUCACCAUAUAUAUUGUCCAGCUUUUUUUUUUUAGAUUUUUUAAACGAAAUCUAAGUAUUAGCUUAGUGGUCAUCUCCCUCGAUUGCAAGUAUCUAAAAAUCUUAGAUCUAGAUUUAGACCGAUCCACUUAUUUCAAGCAUGAUUGAUUAGAAGAUUUUGGGCUCUGGAAUAAAAAUAAAAAUGAGUAAUUUAUAUUCUAACCGUUUGGUUGUAGAGGAAAAAAUCCUAUUCCUAUUCCGAUUUUAGAAGAAAAUGUUAAAUAUCUUAAUUUUUAAAACCUAAUACAAACAUUUUUCUAGCAUUUAAAUGUCAUUCCAAUUCUAAUUUCGAUUUCAAUCACGAACUAAUAUAUUAGAAACAUGGUCAUUCCAAUUUCUAUUUCAAUCUAUUUUGUUCCAAUUUCAAUCACAAAUCAAAUGCACCCUUCAAAUUUUGCAUCCAAUUUUUAUAAUUUUUAUAAUUAUAUAAAGGGUCGGAUAUAGGCAUAUAGAUAGCCUAUUCCCAUUUCCCCUCUCCUGCACGAACAUGCGAGAUGACUUGACCCCAUCCAUCUAUUAAGGCGGCUAAUGUCUCCACCGGUCCACCAACCGUCCUCCAGAAAGGACAACCACGGAACGCGGCACCCGACGAACCGAAAUUCAGAAAAGCUAGCUUAGACCCAUGGUAAAGAAGUAAAUAAUUUUUUACCAAAAAAACAAAAGAAGUAAAUGAAUCAGAAGACCGAAAUAUCCCAGCCAUUUGGGCGGCUGGUCUCUACCGGAUCCAUUAUUACGCGAUAACCACCAUCCAAUCUCAUCGCUCCCUGAUCUCUCUCCGUUGAUAACCAGCUCCCUGUCCCCCUCUUUCCCCUCUCUCUUUAACCCCGCGCCCUCGGCCGCGUUUUGGUAUAUAUAUGUAUAUCCUUCCCCGCUUUGACCCCCUCUCCUCGCCUCCAUAUUGGAAAGAAGGAACCAAGAAAGAGAGAGAGAGCGAUCAGCGGAGGGCCCGCCCGCGCUUCGCGCCCGAUGGAGGAGAUCUCCGCCGAGCACCACACCGUCAUCCCUCCGCCCGCCGACGGGGCGGGCCCCUCCUCGUUGCCCCAGCAGGCGUCGCCGUCGCCGUCGGUGAGCCCCGCCGGUUCACGCUACGACGACGAGGAGGAGGACGAGGGCGACGUGUGCCGGAUCUGCCGCAACCCUGGCGACGCCGAGAACCCUCUCCGCUACCCCUGCGCCUGCAGCGGCAGCAUCAAAUACGUCCACCAGGACUGCCUCCUCCAGUGGCUCAACCACAGCAACGCUCGCCAGUGCGAGGUACCCCCUCUUUUUUCGUCUCGAUCGAUCCCUCUGUCUGGUGUUAGGGUUUCCUUUGAUCUUUUUAAUCUGGUGGUGUAAUUAGGGUUUGUGAUUGCUUUUCUUUAUCCUUCGUUGGAUGUUGGGUUGAUUUUUAUAGCGCGCCUUUGAGGAAUCGUGUUUGGAGGUCGUGAUGUGGAUCGUGUGAAAUUCUUUAAGGUUUUUGCUGUUCUUGAUCUGGAAAUUUGGUCUGUUGAAAGGUCCUCUAUACCGCGAAUAUUCUUGGGAUAGUAAUCUAUUUGCAUUAUUGAUCGUUCAUCUUUGUAGCUAAUUAAUCUUCCACCUGUUCCAUAGACCAAUCCAUAUGUAGUUCGGAUUCCCUUUUUUUAAAUAAAUAAUUUCUUAAAUUGUGUUGCAAAAAGACUCAACAGGGAUACGUGCAAGUCAACUUGGCUUUGAAAAAUUGGAGUGUAGGUCCUUUUUAUGCAUAGGGAAUUUGACAGCCAAGCAUAAAUUUUUGCAUGCUCUAAAUGUACGAGUCCUUUUCAUGUCAAACUAAUAAAAACUUAAUGAUACUCGAUGAUGAUGGAUGUGAUGUGUUGAAUUUUUGAUGAGACGACACACUUGUAAAACAUACUUAUAACGCUUUGUUUGCAUUGUCACUUGUUAUGCAUGUGUUGUCUUCUCUCAUCAUGUUGAUGUAGCAUACUGUCUUUUAAGGUAUGCUAGGAUGACAGUUGAUCAUAUCUAGCCUCUUGCAGUUCAUGAAUUGCUGAACCAUAUGCUGAGGUUUCCAAUUGGAGCCCCACUGGUGAUCUGCAGCAUUCUUGAGGAAUAACUUCCAAUUAGGAAAAUUUUGCUGCAAACUGAGAUCAAACACAUUUAUUUGAGAGAAGACCAUUAUUUUAGUCAGUUCUGUUUCACAAUACUAGAGAUGAUGUAUAUUCUUUUGGUAGAUGUUACCACGUAAACCAAAAUCCAGGAGAAAACUCUAUCAUUCCAAUCUAAAGAGAUGAUUUCUCAUUUGAAAAAGAGUAACUAGUAGGAUAAUGUUUUAUACCAGGCUGUACUUGCAAGGUUGAUAUUGAUAUAUUUUUAAGCUCAAGUUGCUGAUUUCUUAAACUAAGUGAUAGUAUUUAUAUAGACUAACAACAUCAAUCUUGUCAGACCUUGCAUAGGAUUCAUUUGUCCUCUAUUUUUUAUUGUAUAUUUGGCUCUGCAAAUGAUUGCUCGCAUUAGAGCUAGUUCAAAUCAUAGAUUUGCCUCUUGACUAGCUUCUUAUUCAUGCACUUAAACAUUUAAAAAGAAAGAGAAUCUUCACUGAACGAUCUUCUUUGCCACCUUAAAUGACAAACUGCAGCUAUCACAGCCUCUAUUUUGUUUUGAGUGAAGCACUAACAUUUUACAUGUGCAAUAUGUGGAAUGUGAGGAUAAAUGUACAAAACCAUGAAACUGGUGAUAGAGGAGGAAAAGAGAACAAAAUCCAACAAGAUAAUGGAGGUAAAAAUUUUCUGUGUUUUUAGACUCCAGGCCGAGCAACACAUGAGAAGUGGAAUCUUACAGGAAGAUAUUUUGGCAUGAUGAAUCAUCAUUCAUGACAGAGUUAUGGAUGCUUAUGUCAUGGCUCUGUUGUGAAGUUGCGCACUCUUGAUGAGCUCCACUUUCGACUUUGUAAAAAUACCACGUAUUGAACCAAACUUAGGGAUGGAGUCGAAUCCCAUGAGUUCCAAUUAUAAUAGUAGAAGAUAUAAUGUGUCAGCCAACAUGUUCCCUGUAGUACUUGCACAUGUAUCAACCUCUUUGAUGCUGUUAUAUAGAUUUGUCAUUUGUCUUGCCUUUUGAAGAUUUCAUGUGCUAUUUCAGGGUGCAUAAAUUCUUUUUCGUGGUUUGCAUGGUCGCUCUCUCACUCUGCUUAUGCUUCAACAUGUUUAAUGUGCCUAUUAGUUAGUUAUGACCUCUUCUUAAUGCAUUUGGUAUGCUAUGCAGGUGUGCAAACACACAUUUUCUUUCUCCCCUGUUUAUGCUGAGAAUGCUCCUGCAAGACUUCCCUUCCAGGAGUUUGUGGUUGGGAUGGCAAUGAAAGCAUGUCAUGUCCUCCAAUUUUUCCUCCGGCUUGCUUUUGUUCUUUCUGUUUGGCUCCUUAUAAUACCUUUUAUUACUUUCUGGAUAUGGCGCUUGACAUUUGUGAAGAGUCUUGGUGAAGCUCAAAGGCUGUUUCUGAGUCACAUAUCUGCACCUUUGAUUCUAACUGAUUGCUUACAUGGGUUCCUACUUUCUGCUAGCAUCGUGUUUAUAUUUCUUGGGGCAACCUCAUUAAGGGAUUAUUUUAGACACCUACGUGAACUUGGAGGACAUGAUGCUGAGAGGGAUGAUGAAGGUCAUGAAAGGCAUGGUGCUCGUGCUGUGAGAAGACUUCCUGGCCCUGCUAACAGGAUCCAUGCUGGUGAUGGGAAUGCUGAAGAUGCAGGUGGGGCCCAAGGAAUCGCUGGGGCAGGUCAAAUUAUAAGAAGAAAUGCAGAAAAUGUUGCUGCACGUUUGGAAAUGCAAGCUGCUCGUCUUGAAGCACAUGUUGAACAGAUGUUUGAUGGACUGGAUGAUGCAGAUGGUGCAGAAGAUGUACCGUUUGAUGAGCUUGUUGGCAUGCAAGGGCCUGUAUUCCAUUUGGUUGAAAAUGCUAUAACCGUAAGUGCAUUGAUGUUUUUAUGCUUCUGAUCUGUGUUACAUGUUUAGCUUUUCUUUAUUGAAGGAGACUAAUCGAUGUUAUUGUUCUUUCCUUCCAUCAUUAGUUGGCUGUUUAUAUUUUAGUUUGUUUCUGAAAACGAUUCUGUUCUCUACGAAAAAAUGGCUUUUGUUUGUUGUGUUGGUCGUUUAUGCUCAAAGCCAUUACUUGUUACAGGGAUCGGUUCAUGGUGAUGCAACAUGGGACUAGUUGGUCGUGCAGUUUCACAUCUAUCUUAUGACAUAAAGAGGAUGUUAGUUUAUGAUUAUCUUAUAUCUAAUUAGUAUGGUUUUAUGCUUAGUGUUACAUAUGUGGGGGAGCAUCUAGCUAACUUGUUUGAACAAGGACAAUUAGGAAUUAGUUAAAUUCAUGAUAGUGUAUUUUGCGAUCAAGUGGUUGCCUUUAUGGAUGAGCAACUUGUUGUGCACACAUUCUAGGUGCCCAUAAUUUCUAUAUAUCAUUGAAGUUUCUUAAAAACUAAAAUUAAUAUUUCGAUCAUUUGUUUAGUUAUUUAUUUCAGUUGUUGCAAUGGCUAUGGCUCUAAAUUUGGGUGGAAGUAGUCAUUUUGUGAACAACUCUACUAUGUUACGUAGAUUGUUGUUGAUGCCUCUGCUUACACCUUUGCAAGUUGUUUACCAUAUCAGUGUUUGAAUUCUUUUCAUCAGUCCUGCAUUUGGCAUCACUAUGAGCUCUUAGGAGUCCUUUUUCAUAGCUUUUAGUUGCGUUCACUUUAGUUUUUCUAUCUUUCUUUUUUUCCCUCAAACCUGACUUUUUAAAACAAAUAUGACUGCUCCUCUAAUGAGGGUCUGCUCACUUCCUUGUUUCACAUGCCUAUACCAUCUUAAUUGGUUCUCUACCACUUUCUACUUAAUUACUUCAAAUCCAAAGCUUCCUGCAGUGCAUCAUUUUUUACCUAUUACACAUUGGCAUGCCAUCUUUACCUCACCUAUAUUCAUGGUUAGCCAAGGAAUAUUGCCCAAAGUUUGAGGCAUGCAGUAUUAUGGGUUGAAUUGCUGUUUUAUUCUUCCUGCAGUCGGAGGCACUUCUCUGAUUUUGUGUAUCUUCAUCCUUCACCUUUUUGUUCAAUGGACCUUUCAACUGAAUCUGAUCACGGGCUAGGCCUUAGGCCUACACUCUAUUCAUUUUUAAUCGUGCUACGGGCCAGGCCUAUUUAAAAUUUGACCAUUUAUGUGUCCAAGCCCGGCCCAUGAUCAGCUCUGCUUUCAACAAUUUCUUUGCAAGAAAAUUGGCCCUGUUUUUUCUUUCAUAGCUUAUUUUUAUUAUUUUUUAUUUUUCAAUUCGAGUUCAGGCUUGGUUUAUGCUUGUACAAGUCAGUUUGGCAGAUCUGAGCUGAAUGUACUGUUUGCCCUAGUUAUAUGCGAAUUGAUUGCUUUUCAAAAUUAUAGGCCUACAUUUUUAAAAUUAUAGUCUCUUUCUAACUUCAUGAUCAACUUUAUUAAUGAUGAUAAUGAUGAAAAAAAAUUCCUAUUGCAUUUGGUCUCGUACUAGAAUUCAUGGUUAUGCAAUUUCAAGUGCCUGAUUUUAGACCUCUAAUUUGUUGUUGUCUAAUUUCUGUGUAUGAUCCUGGUAUUGUUUGCCGCUAGAAGAAUCUAGACGCACAACAAUGAGGAAAAAAAAUUCCCUUCUGCCAUAGCAUUUUAUGUGCAGAUUCUUUAUUAUUUGUACUGAUUCAUUCUGAUCUUUGACUUUGUAUUCUUCUCAAAUUAACACUGUAGUGGUUCAUGAAACUUCCCACUUUGCACUUACCUAAUUGCCUACAGGUGUUUGAUCAUUAUUACCUGUGCCUUGUGAAAUGUCUAGCUUGUAUUUUUAAGCUAAUGCUUUAUCAUAUUACUUUGUGUUAAUUUACUAGUAGAUUAUUCUGAAUAAUGGUCUUUUUUUGCCAGGUAUUGGCAAGCAAUGCGAUAUUCCUGGGUGUUGUAGUUUUUGUACCCUUUUCAUUAGGAAGGAUAGUACUCUACUAUCUGUCAUGGUUCUUUUCAUCUGCAUCUAGUCCAAUGUUAGCAAAAGUCAUGCCUCUUACAGAAUCAGCCCUUUCAUUGGCUAACACUACCUUCAAGAAUGCACUUACUGCUGUAAAGAACUUGUCGGCUGAAAGCGAUAAUGAGGGUGUUCUUGGUCACAUGGUGGAGGCAGUUGCAGGAUCAUUGAAAUUGAAUGCAACUGUAUUAGAUGAAGUCUCUAAUAGUCUUAGAACACAUGUUGCAUCAGAUCUAUUUAAAGGAACAUUUCUUGGCUAUUCACGCCUUUCAGAUGUCACUACACUUGCAGUUGGGUAUAUGUUCAUAUUUUCUAUGGUAUUCUUCUAUCUUGGUCUCCUCACUUUGAUUCGAUACACUAGGGGCGAGCGUUUGAUUAUGGGGAGGUUUUAUGGGAUGGCUACAAUAGCAGAGGCAAUCCCAUCUCUUUUCAGACAGUUUGUGGGAGCAAUGAGGCAUCUGAUGACUAUGGUUAAGGUCGCUUUUCUUCUGGUGAUUGAACUUGGAGUCUUUCCGUUGAUGUGUGGGUGGUGGCUUGAUGUAUGUACUUUAAGGAUGCUGGGUGCAACAAUUUCUCAAAGGGUCAAGUUCUUUUCUAUGUCCCCAUUAUCAAGUUGUUCAAUGCAUUGGCUUGUUGGAAUUGUUUACAUGCUCCAAAUAAGCAUUUUUGUCAGCCUUCUUCGAGGGGUAUGAUUUAGUUUUUGAUGCUCUGUCUUUCAUUUUCUCCCCCCCCAACCCGUCACCCAAUCCAGAAAAAAAAUUCUUAUCAGUAUUCUUCUUUUGAUAGGUAUUGCGAAAUGGAGUUCUAUAUUUUCUACGGGACCCAGCAGAUCCAAAUUAUAAUCCAUUUCGUGAUCUAAUUGAUGACCCUGUGCAUAAACAUGCCCGACGAGUUUUGCUGUCUGUUGCUGUUUAUGGAAGCUUGAUUGUGAUGCUAGUCUUUUUACCUGUCAAACUUGCUAUGCGAUUAGCACCUUCCAUGUUUCCAUUGGACAUCACGUGAGUUGUUAAUUUAUUUAUUCAAUAGAGUGGGAACUUUCUUUUGCUUGUUUCUUUUUUGAUUUGUAUUUUGUACUAUAAAUCCUUUUUUUGUAAUCUGUUAGCAUUCUUUUUACACGUGUAGUGUUUUUGACCCUUUUACGGAGAUACCUGCGGAUGUGCUUCUGUUCCAAAUCUGCAUUCCAUUUGCGAUUGAGCAUUUCAAGCCACGAGCGACGAUUAAAUCCCUUUUGCGUCAUUGGUUUAUGGCAGUCGGCUGGGCUCUUGGCUUAACUGAUUUCUUACUACCCAGACCUGUGGAAAAUUCUGGGCAGGAAAUUGGGAAUGCAGAACUAGCAAGACGAGACAGGAUGCAUGAUGCAAAUCAAGGUGGAGCUGGCCAGCCUGACCUGCCUUUGGUGCCAUUAAUUGCUGUUGAUGAUCAUAACAGGAGAGGUCAUCCUAUUGGAAAUGCUGAUGUUGCUGAAGAUUCUGAUGUAGAUGAUCAGGCAGAUUCUGAGUAAGCACUUUUAGACAGUUUGAAAUACAUAUGUUUACACACACAUGAAGACAUGAUAAAUAUAUGCACUCUUGCAUCACUCACAUUCAAUGAGUAGACACUUGUAGUAGGGGGUCCAUGUAUAGAAAACAAGAACAUUAAGCUAGAGUGGAAACUAAUACACCUAAGUUGUAUCAGGUGUUAAAUAAUAUAAUAUAAUAAAAUAAUACACCUACCUGUAUAUUCAAUGAUCAUUAAGUGAAAGGUUUUUAUACAAUAAAACAAAAGGUUUGUUUAGAUCUAUGGCUGUGAACUGCCAAAAAACAACUUGAAUUUUGGUCUAUAGUCUACAUGCAUUUUCAAAUAUUCAGAGCUUGAUGAGUGGUGGAUCAUAUGAAGUUGAUUAGCUCAUCAUGUGUGAGGUGCAGGGUACAAAUGAACAAUUAAAAUCCUUGUGCCUUGGAAACAUUAAAAACUACCCUUGUGUGUUUACAUGUGUAUGUGCAUCUAAAUUAGAAGAUUCUUAUUUUGGAGGGAUAUUGAAGCAUCAGGUUGUGGGUAUGAGAGGAUGAUUGAAAAGAAAUAUCAAAGGGUACAACCAAGGUUCGCCGUACCGGUACCGAACCCCGUACUGGUGCCGCACUAGUAUAGGCGUACCGAGUGUUGGUACGGUACGGUAUGCGGUACGCCAGACGUACCGACAUUGGUGUACCGAUAUCGGUACCCAUCGGUACGGGUAUGGUACGCUCGGUACCGACCGGUACCGAUCGGUACAGCGAACCCCGUACAACACUUUUGGUAGAGUUUAACCUACAAAAUAUGGAACCCCUGUUAUAUACAUCAAAUACUCAUCCAAAGGAAGAGACAACUGGACAGCAAACAAAAAUAUGUAUGAUACCAUACUCAUUUAUGAUUAGACAUUGAUGGACUUUUUUUCCCUUUUAAGGAGACAUAAUAAGCAUAUACGUGACAGAAUUUCCUGUAUCACUAGUAAUAUGUUUUCUCUUCAUCAUUUUUUAGGUUGUGUGCAGAAAAUACCCUCAUCUUAGUCAAAAUUCAACAAGGUGUUUCUUGCAUAAGCCAUUCUGUCUCCGUUUUCUCAUUCUAAGAGAUAGUGUGUGUGUGUGUGUGUGUGCGCGCACACACACACACAUCAACUUUCCAAUUGUCCCGUGGAGGAUGCCUUUUUGUCAUCAUAUGAGGCUUUGCCACGUAAUAUGCUUCACCAGAUUUAUAUAAUUAUGGAUGAUGACUGUUUUCAUAACAAAAUCGAGUUUUUGGCAUCCUUCCCCCUUGCUUGGGAGUGGUUUCCAACCUGAGGAGAGAAUAAUAAGUGGUAUAUUGUUCAUAAAUUGCUCCAAGGAUGCGCUUAACCACCAGAAGAAUGAUCUGGAACAUGCUACAAGAUCCUACUUGUUCUCUGCUUGGGUCCUUGUUUUUUGAACUUUAGCAGAGGAUAGCACAUGAAAUUUUUGUUAGGAAUGGAAACUGCAUUCCUACAGAACUUUUUGAGAUUUUUAUUAACAUGUUUAUUUUGACAUGUGUUAUUAUUGAUUUUCUUGGAGUUGCUGCAAUUUCUAUGGCAUUGAGCUUUUUUAUGGGGCAUCUGGAAAUUCCCAUUUAGAUUAUUUGAAUUGUUUAAAGAUCUUAUCGAGCUUUGCAGUUGGAAAGCUGCGUAGGCAUUUUUUUUCUCCGGUAGUUGAGGGGGGACCCUGGAAAGUUAUAUAUGUUGUAGACGUCCUAGAGGAUACUAUUGAUAUUGUUUUAAAGAGUAGUGAUAGUUUCUUUUCAUGUUCAUGAAACCAGAAGUGUUGAAUUGACCAGUUAUAUGAGGAACUUAAUUAUGAAAGAGACUUGUUGUGACCAAUUUCAACAAUUAAAGCACAAUUAAACUGGGUUAAAUCAGAAUUAUGUUUUGGUUGAAGUAGAUAAUUGAAUGCAAGAUACUGGGAGAAGUUGACUAUUAUUAUUGCCUACUGGAGGUGUUUUAUCUCCUGGUUCUUGUGUCUAUCUUCUGUAGGUUUUUGCAUCUUUUAUUGGUUUAUUACUUCAGUUGUCUUGGGGAAAACACUAAUUUUAGAGCAUUAUCUUCUGAUAUGACAAUUGUUUAUUCAAUGCUCGGCAGGUAUGGUUUUGUACUCCGUAUUGUGUUAUUGCUGGUGUUAGCAUGGAUGACUCUUCUGCUCUUUAAUUCAGCAAUGAUUGUUGUACCUAUUUCACUUGGGCGCACACUGUUUAAUGCCAUCCCUCGCCUCCCAAUUACUCAUGGUAUCAAGUGCAAUGGUAAUAAGAAAAUACCAAAGCAAUACUUUAUCAUUGGUCAACCUAUCAAUACCUUUUUGAUCAUGGGGAAUCAACAUGUUCAUUACUUGACAUGUUCAUUACUUAUUUUGUCAGAUUUAUUUGCAUUCAGUAUUGGGUGUUACAUCAUCUGGGCUGUCGUAGCUGGAGCCAGAUAUUCAAUUGAAUACAUUAAAACCCGGAGAGCACACGUUCUGGUAUCACAGAUUUUGAAGUGGUGUGCAAUUGUUCUCAAGAGUUCUGCCCUUCUGUCUAUAUGGGUAAGUAAUUUCUGUAUGCUGGGUGUGGCCUUCUCUUUAGAACUGUUUCAAAUUUUCUUCUCUUUUCUUUCCUUUUUUUUCCUUUCAAUUAUCCAUAUGUCAUUGUUUUCAGAUUUUUGUUAUCCCUGUGCUGAUUGGUCUCCUUUUUGAGCUUCUGGUGAUUGUGCCGAUGAGGGUGCCUGUGGAUGAAAGCCCAGUUUUCCUCCUAUACCAGGAUUGGGCUCUGGGGCUGAUAUUUCUUAAGAUAUGGACUAGACUGGUACUACUACUACUAUCUCUUUUAUCUAUUUAUUGAGUUUGCUCAAUAUACCAGCAGCUUCAAGUUUUAUAGAUUUAUCAUAUUCUGGAUCUUUUUUUCUUUUUUUUUUAAAUUUUUUUGGUGGGGGUGAGGGGUUUAAAGUCACAAUUGAUAUUUGAACAAUUUUAUUUUCACCAUAAAUCAAUUGGGCAGAGAGUUGGUGUUCCUCCAGCAUUUUUAGCAUAUUUGAGUGCGCUCUGUGUUGUUGUAGGUUAUGUUGGAUCAUAUGGCACCAUUGGUGGAUGAAAGAUGGCGCAGAAAGUUUGAGAGGGUGCGAGACGAUGGGUUCUCCCGGCUGAGAGGGCUUUGGGUCCUGCGUGAGAUUGUGAUCCCAAUUGUGUCAAAGCUGCUGACUGCACUCUGUGUGCCUUAUGUGUUUGCAAAGGGCAUCUUCCCUCUCUUUGGCUACCCAUUAAUGGUUAACUCUGCUGUGUACCGGUUUGCAUGGCUGGGCUGCCUCCUUGUCAGUGUGAUGUGCUUCUGCGCCAGGCGGUUCCAUGUUUGGUUCACUAACCUCCACAAUGCCAUAAGGGAUGACCGCUAUCUGAUAGGCCGAAGGUUGCAUAACUUUGGGGAGGAAAAGGUGGAGAACAGCGAGUCAGGGAUCAUCAGUCCACGUAACCAAGACAUGAACCCAGCUGAUGCUGGUGUGAUGCAGCGUGAACAAGAAGCAGAUGGGCUUAGGCAGAGACAUCCUAAUCAGCAUCCUAACCACCAACAGAGGCUGGCCAUAUAGCUGGAAGAUUACCCAGAGAAUUUUGCUGCUGCUGCUGCUGCUAUUUGAAUUUGUUAUUGCACUUAAGAUACAAUGCCACGAUGGAGGGGAAGACGCCGGAUGUUCCCUGUUUGAGAAUUCCUGGAAUUGUGAAGUGAACCGCAUUAGGGAUUUCCUCCUUGUGGGUAGAUUGAAGUGCUGUCUGUAAUUGUGAAUAGGGUGCUGCACCACCAAAGCAUUCGUGGACUUUUGUGGUGUAAUGAGAGGCUUGGUGGAACUGAGUUCUCACCACGCGAGCGUAAAUGGUUUUAGUAGGGAAGGAUUCCGGUGUGUGCUGUUAAAACACUUCAUAUGAGCUAUGUGAAGGAGUUCAGCUCUGUAAAUGUAACGCCAUAAUAUUUCUAAGAUGGUGAAUGCAGCGCGUCCCAAAUCGGUCAAGGAGCUGUUGGCGAUGCACGACAGUUGCAUGCCAGGUUACAUGUAGUGAGUCUUUGAUAAUCAUAUAUAAAUUUUAUGGAGAAAAUUAGAUGAUGUUAUAGUAUGGAAAACACGCUCCCAAGUUUAUUUUCUCGAACAGAUGUUGACGGUUGUGGGCUUCACGGCACUUGUGCGUGCAAGGUUAGCAGCAUGUGGCUGAUGGUAUGCUGGUUUGAUGACUCACUCGGUCAUUGGCGUGACAUGCAAGCGUGCGGUAUAUAUUGAGGACAUGAUUCUAAAUCUACAUAGCCUGGGAUUUAACUCUAAGAGAUGUAGUGUGAUGCAGCGUAAAUGACAAUAAGAGGGUUGGUAAUUAAGGGCAAGAUACCUUCUAGUGGCAUUUCACAAGUGAGAAGACGAUAAGGGCGAUCACGGUCUACAAAAAAAAAAAAAGGGAAAAAGUCUGUCCCUAUCGUUUGGGUAGAUUUUUUUUUUCAGUUUUUAAUAAUCAAAUACCAAGAAUUUGACAUAAAGAGCCCACAGUACCGAUUCAAGUGCCCAUACCAUUAUCAUAUCCAAGCUUUGAGCAGCGCAUGAAUUCCACAUAAGAAGAUGGUUACUCCAAGAAUCAAAGCUUCUUUAAGAACUUCUGGACCAGGCAGAUACACAUAUUCAUGUACUACAUGUAUGUGCACAUACGACAUACCUGGAAAUAUAUCUAUUAAAUACACGCAUUUACUGUCACUUGUUACCACAUGUCCACAUCUGUAACAAAAACCAUGUAUUCUUUCAUCACAUCAAAACCUAUAAAUCACAAAUCCUGCAUCCUCCAUUACUCAGAGCAUCUAAAUAUUGAAGUACAUUGUAGCAUGCUCCAAACCGGCAUCAUCUACUUUGUUAAUCAAACACCAUAACUGACAAUUAUGUUACAUCGGAUCCAAGCACAAAGCUUAUACAGCUAAGGAUGCAUAAGCAAUUCCCCAAGGAAAACCUUGGAGAUGGUUACAACAACGCGGUCCAUAAUAACUGCUGGAAUAUUCGCGCUAAAAAUUUCAAUGCCAAAUCACCCAACCAAAGUCUUAAUUGAACUGCGCAUUACUAAACCAAAAUAUCAGCUGUUGAUGAAUAGCUCAUACAAAAAUACUCAGUGAAACCAUGCCAUCAGAAAGAAUUUCAUUUCCUCGGGAGAUACUAAUAAUUGUCUCUCUUUUGCUCCUGCAAACAAAAAACAAUGUUUGGUGGCAAGACAAACAUAUCAUAUCUGUAUUGUCAAAAUAACAUACAUCACCUGGGGUACUAUACUGCUCUGAGUGACGUGUUUGAAGGUUCAACAUGAAACCUCAUCCCACCACCGAAUCAGCUGGCCUUUCUCUUCCAACCAAAUUAUGAUGCCGCAGAUCAGGUGUAGAAUUAUCAAACAAUAACAUCAUUCAGAAGUGCAAAUGUAGAUUGUAAAUGUGUGCUCAUGCUUCAGCGCAUCUUUUUAUGACAUACCACAAGAUCAAAUGCAAAGAGCUCCCAUAUCUGGUAGAGGUCUAGAUCCGUUGCCUGGUACCUCUCUUAUGUUUUCUCUUUUCCUGCUGCGCUUUGUUUCCUUCCGGCCUUUACUGGCAGCAGAUUUGUCAUUGCUGCCAUAUGCAUAUUCGACUUUCCAAUCAGGAAUGCAGAAAUUAGAUAUAUCUUAUUCUCAUGUUUGGCACUCAGAACUAUUGUAGAAAUCAUCAUACAAUCUUAAAUUAUAAAAAUUGAUGAUGAUGUUUAGGAUUCUAUUAAGCUGGUGGAAAUAAUGCUCAAUGUUAUACAAAGGCGAAAGCUCUUAACUUCUAAUUUUUCCAUUUAUUCUAGUGUAUGACACUUUACAACUGUCAUACGUUAUAUACUUGCUUAUAUUUCUUAAUAACAUUGACCAUUGCCGGAUACAAACUUACAGAGCUCGAAGAUUGUUGCAAAAGAUCUGAUAUCUUAUACAUAUUUUAAUAUGUUGUUAAAUUCUUGUAGAGCUGUGAAGCAACUAAAGCUAUUGAUCUUUCUUGAUGCAAAAAAUCACAUAAUUUAGCUAUCUAUGAAAGAUUUUUCCACAAAAAGCUAUCUACUGAUGUUGAGAACAGUUGCAGCAGAGUUAUUGAUGUCUGUUUGUAGGUUUGUCAGGAAUGAUAAGUCUUAUCAUACCCUUUCUUUUUUUUUAAAAAAAAAGAUUCUUACAACUCUGCCUAAACCGUGCAACUCCCACAUUUCAAUUAUUAUAGUCAUUUCACACUAUUCUUCCUGGUUAGAUAAACAUCUGCGGUAACAUUAACAUCUUCGGUUGUCUUGUGUUUGAGCCUUCUUUUGCCAAGAAUCACAAUCUUCAUUAAGUUUAUUAAUUUGCACUUAUCUUGUGUUUGCAUAUAGUCCUUCCAUUUGUUCUCUUUCCAGGUACAUGGAAAAGAAGAAAGCCAAGAAGCUCGAUUAACUGAUUAAAAAAGCACAGAAAAAUGAAAUUAUGAGAAAUGAUGAUAAACUAGUAGAAAGAAAGAUUCACGGGAGCUCUGGAAAAAAAAGAUGCUCAUUGAGGCAGUGGUUAAAUCUUCCUCUUGUGCUCUAGUUUGGCUCUUCAGUUUGUACCAUUGAAUAGAAGUAAUGGACUGUACCAUAUAUUUCCUGAUGAUACAUAUCCCUUUGGCUAAGAAUCAGCAUACUACAAGGGGUGAGGCAUCAAGUACCUUAGCACCUGAAAACUAAUUGCAUAAUUUCUUAUAAGCUUAUCCUGAAAACUAUGUUUUCACCAUUUGUUUGAUCUCAUAUAAUAUUACAGCACAAUACAGAGCAUUCUAUAAACAGUAUCGGCAUAACAGUUUUUUGACCAUUCUUUUAUGCCGCAUAAAAUGUUCUGCUGAUUCAGCAGAGCUAAGCGAAAAAUUAGUGCUGUAAGAAAUUGAGUUGAAUGUUGUGCCUAUUUUCCACGUUCAACAGAAAAUUAAAUAUGUACAAAUUUCUACGAAAAGAUAUAGAAAAGGAUUGCAAGAAGUAUACAUUACAAGUGAUGCAGAGGAUUUCCCCUUGGCUGAACCACAACAAGCCUUGUAUUUCUUUUUUGAUCCACAAGGGCACUCUUUAUUUCUUGGUAUUUUCUUCAAGCAGAGUAACAUAUAAAGGAUGAAUAAGAACUCCAAACAGAUUUCAGCAAAUUAAAUAGGUGUUUUAAAUUGUUUUCAUAGCUAAUACCUUAUCCUCAUGCUGAAUGCUAUGGCUUUGAACUGGUUGAGUGUUGCUUCUGGCUACACCAGCUUCACAUUUGGUAUUCAUUGAUGCAGUCUCUGGUUGUCCACAGAUUUCAUUUUGAUCAUCUCCUGGACAAUCUUAGUUUAAGCAUGAAGUGGUUAACUACCAUUAAAAAGUGAGAACAUGAUGAUUCUGGACCUAAUAUAUAUACAAACCUAGUUAUAAUAAUUGUCUAACAUUUGAAAUGGAAGAAAUAUUAUAUAUAUUUGAUAAGAAAGGGAUAAUUUGGAGAAAAGCAAUCAGACAAUUUUCUCCACAUUCCAAAUUUAUCAGAUAUGUCCAAAAAGACAACAAUUUUCUCUAAAUUGAUAUUGCAUUGCACAGAUUAAUGAUAUGUAAAAUCAAGAGCAUCAAAUACAUCUAGGUUAGCAUAGGAAUUCACUCUGUGCUAAGAUUUUAGUCAAAACCCCUUCAAUGUUUUUUUACUUAGCAGAAAUUUUAAAGAAGGAUGUCUAGGACCAAAGAUCUCACUCAAAAAGACUAGCUAGAAGUUAUUAAUUUGAAUUCUUAGACUUGUUUAAGUACCCAAGACCUCCCCAACACCCACCUAAUGUGGGUGUAAACACAUGCUCGAGCAGAUCCUCACACAUUCUCCCAUUAAGCCUCGGCACCGAUGCCAGGGGUGGGGUCUAAACACAAACACUACAACCAGGUUGUGGUCAGUCCUAAAAGGAUCUACGCUAUGUCUCCUACCCACACAUGGGCUGCAGAGUGGGUUGCUAUGUAGGACCUCACCUAGAACGAGCUAGCCAGAAUGUAUUAAUUAAGGUCUUUGGCUCUACUUAAGUAGCCAAGGCCCCCCGAUGCACACCAACUGUGCUAAUAAACAAGUACUUGUGCCCCAAAAGAGCCCACAUUCUAGUGUUCCCUAUAGGCUAUGUGGCUAGGAAAAACUUCAACUCAUGCCCCUCUAGGGUUGACCACAAGCUGAUCAUGGUGCUUGUGAUUGAACCCUUGGAGUGCACGUUGGAGCUUAAAUAGAGGGAGCGUGUGAGGACCCAUGCAAGCAUUUGUUUAUUAGCACACUUGGUGUGUUGGAGAGCCCUUGGGUACUCAACCAGAGCCAGGGACCCCAGCUAAUAACUAGCCAUUUCGAGUGAGGUUUGAGGCCGUUAUAGUAUUGCUUUUGUGAGGCUAUCUAGAACAUGUAAGACUAGGCAAGCUUCCACAUUAUUCCUAGUUAUACUAGUAGCCAAUAGCUAUUAGACAAAUGAAAGGGAUCAAAUACAAGCAUGGCAGUAAAGGAAAUGUAAUGAUUUAAGUCUACAUUUUGCCUGCCAUUAUGUUAUAAUCUAUUUUUUAUUUAUUUAUCCACUCAUUUUAUUAAUCUUCGUUCGUAUCAAAUAAGCAUCAAAGAGAUGCUUAAUAUAGUUAUGACAUCCUAGGAUUGCCAAACUAUCCAAGAACUAAGUUCUUCCCACUAAGCAUGAUAUGUACUUACCAUGCCAUUCCAUGCAAAUGCUUCGCCCAUAAUGGCAUGAUAGCAUGCUAAGUACUAGCACCAACAUACAAUAUGUUGAAUAAAGUUUACCAAUAAAAAUCCAUGAGAUAGUCAUCCUAAAAAAUGAAAACCGAGAAGGGGAGAGAGAGUAGUUCUAGUGCUAGUGUAGUCAAGAUUUGCCAACCGAUACCAGAGGAGGUACCAGCCGACGUCCGGUUCAUGGUAAAGGUCCAUACUGUGCCAUUCUAGGCACACUGAUACAGGAAGAGCCGGAGAGGGAGGGGGAGAGGGAGAAAAAGAGAGAGAGAGAGAGACAGAGAGAGGGAGGGAGGGAGGGCUCGAAAGCCCUCAUCAGAACAAGGGACCCCCUAUUUCAUUUCAAAAUAGGGGAUCCCAAAUUUUGUUUGCUUGAAAAAGGGAAUCCCCUAUUCCGAUGAGAACUUUUGAGCCUUCUCUCCUCCCCUCUCUCCCUCUCUCUUCUUCCCUUCCUCCCUCUCCCUCUCCCUCCCUCUCUUUUUCCUCUCUCUCCUCCCUCUCUCUCCAUAGGCGUGGUAAGGCUUACAUUUUGAGCCAAUGGAAUGAACCGUGCCAGUAAUCGACCAGUCCGAUUCAACACAGUUCAACAAACCUUGGUAGUAGUGGUCAUUGUAGUAGUGGUGGUGGUUGAGGGUGGCCAUUAUAACUUCAAUAAAAAACUCCAAACAAAGUAUUUAGUAUUUUCCAAUUGAAUGAUUAUAUGUGGAUGUUUUUCAAGCAUGGAGAUCUUAGAAAAAAGAAAAUUGAAGUUAAUACUGCUAAAUUAAAUGACUGCAAGCUAGCAUGCAUUACCAUAACACAUGCAGUGAUUUCAUGAAUACAACGAACUUGUUUGUUUAUGGCCAAAGAUACUAAAGCUAAUUGAAAUAAAAUCUCUUUGCAAUAACUACUAACUAAAGGUCAGUCUAUAACAUGCUGUUAUAGUAUCUCAUCAGGACUUAUAAUUAGUUAAUGCUUCAAUGGAUGGUAAACAGAUAAUUUCCAAGUUCUAUCUACCACUUUUGCAUGCCCAAGUGCAUUUCAUAUAUUGCAGUAGUUAUCCUAACAGAUUUUUAGCAAGAGAAACAAAACUAAAACAAUCAGACCAAAACCUGAAUGAAAUCUAACCAAGAAAUCAAACAUGAAACUAGCUAUGUUAUGAAACUUGCGUUAACUGUCAUCAAUAAUAUAAUUGUCUGAGGCUGAGCUGACACUAACUAAAAUUACAAGAACACUUUAUUCCAAAUGCUACAACAGUAGAACUUAUGGUGAAGUAUGAAUUUCAGAAAGGAAACUAAUUUUAACACCAGAGCCACCAUGUGGAAAAGAAAAAAUGUUACAUUAUGACAAACUAUGUCUACCAACUGCUAUUGGAUGGAACAUUACCAUGAUAGACAUUGUCUUCAGAGGCAUGUACAUUAUCAUCUGAGUCCUGAUCUGCUAUCAAAAAUUCAACUGCAGCAUCAACAUCACCAUCUACUUCUUGUAAAACCUGGCUCAUAAUCAGAUAAAUUGUCCAAUUAUAUUUUGUAAAACAAAGAAAUUAAAAAUACAAAAACAUGAAUUUAUUUUUUCUUAUGAAUUUCCCGCAUUAUUUGGAAACUAUAAGCAUACGGGCACCUGUUCAACUUUAUCAACAUCCUGACAUCCUGUUCCAGCCAUAACCAUUUUAAUUGAUCGAGCAUCAAAAGUUCGCUUACGAGAGGACCCUUUUGAUUCAUUAACUGUUAACUUUUUGUUAUGGUCCAUUACAGGGAAGUUAGCAUCCACCUACCUUAAGAAUGACACCAAAAGUAAGAUAUAACUUGCGUAUUGGAUUUCUAUAUUAGAGAUAUUAGUGUAAAACAAAUCUUUCAAGAACCACAAAUGAAACUAGCUAUGGAGAACUUCUACAGGAAAAACCUCAAUAAUGAUUGGCUUAGCAGGUCCUUCACAAGAAUCUUCCUUCAACCGAACACUAUUGUAGUGUUCACCAUCGUGAUAGCACCUGUAUAUGUCAAAUAAUGACUCAAUCAGAACCUAUAAUACACGAAGCAAAAAACUAGAGAUAAUAUGGAAUCUUUAGCAACUUGCACAAUUUUGCAUUAAAUGCAACAGAAACAAAGUGUUAAAAUGAAAAAUUAUAAGGAAUAAUAUUAGAAACGGACAGGAAAUUGACCUCUAUGAUAUCUGAAUGCAUAUAUAAUGUGAAGGCAUCUUACUAAGAGUACAUUACUUCAGUGCACAAUCAACAAUGCAACACUAAAAGAAAAAUCUAGAACUUGAGUAGAAGUCUCAUUUAUUGGGCCCCUUUUUUUAUAAACUAGUAAUUGUAUCAAGUGAUGUUUGUCUUAGGGUGCAAAAACUGGGUGUAUUGUACCAUACUGAACCAAUACUCGAUAACCACACACCGGGGGUUGGGGGAGGGGGGGGGGGGGGGUACUGAGUGUCGAACUAAUCCCGUAUUGGGCAUGCCGGCACUAUACCAAUGUGGCACUUGCACCUGGUCCGGGUACCAAGAUUGCGAACCUUGGUGCAAAGUAAUAGAAAGUUAUAUAAUGUAUCAAAAGGUGUCAGUCAUUUAGCAACUAAAAUAUAUUGUACAUCCAGGUAGUCGUAGAAAAAUAAAAAUACUUCUACAAGCUAAAAACAUUCAUUCCUGUUUGAGUUGAAUAUCAUUCUAGCCUUAAGACCAGCAUGAUGGGAUUUAACGAGGUUCCCUAAAGGAGUAUCCCUCUCACGAGCCAACCUUGAUCAAUAAACAAGAAAAUUGAUUCAUCAUAUUCCUCAUAUAUCUACAUAUCUUCUUGUGGAUCACCUAAAAUAAAAUAAUUAUCUAACAUAUUUGUGAAAUUCAAAGUUUCUUGUGGUUCCUAUUUGAAAAUGUCAAUGUAUAUAAGUUCUAUUAUCCCAACCAACAUAUAAUUAUUAAGCAUUCUCGAGGAAACAGAAAACGAUCUUAGGGUGCUAGCUGCAUGCAUGGAAUGAUAGCUAGUAGUCUGCACACCCUUCUUUCUGCAGUAGUAUAAAAGCUAAAAUAUGGAUAUGAUAAUAACCCACAUAUCCUUUAAUAAAAGUAAUAUAACAUCAUGUUGGAUGUGUCAGCACCUCAUCAGUUGAAUGAGAAUCAGCAUCAUGCUUCAAGUUCUAACAAGAAUAAGGGAAGCAACAUAUGAAUAGUUUCAUUGGUAGAAAUACAAGAGUAUCUAAAGAACAGAAAAUACAAUCAUUAGAUCCUAUCAAUGUACUCCGUGCUUCAAGGCUAACUUGAUAUAGUGAAACAACCCUAGGUUUUUGUGUAAAAAGACUCUUAUGUUCUGUAAAGUUUCUACCAUGAAGUCGAUCUCAUUUGUGUUGUUAGUAUGUGCCAUUUUUUUAUGAUAUAGUAUGUAUAACAAAUUACUUAAAGCAAUGCAAUUCACUUACUGAACAAAAAUAAGCAUGGAUUUAUAGAAUGAUUUAUGAUUAUGUAUCUGUAUAGUUUUAAAAACCACGUUUGUUUAUUUAAAAUAUUUCUUUUCACAAAUAUAAAGCAAAUAGUCUGUACACCUCUAGAAAAUUGAAUAAAACAGCUCAUCUUAACAUGUCAAUUGCUAAUUUUUCUACAGAUUUGGAGUAUGUUGCUGUACUGAUGCAUGCAAAUGUCAAAUGUGAUGUGGCAACGCUAAGCCCUGACCGGAAUGGGAGCAGACAAAAAAGAUCAUCUAAUGUUUGUGUUAAUUACCUUUUGUGAUCAGAUGUUUCUUCUCAUUAGGUUUAACUGUCUUCUUGAUUGGACUCUAAAUCUACCGAUAAAUAAACCUCCGAGCUUCAUAUUUAUGCAUCUUUAUCAUGCGAAUGAUGCUUCUCUAUGCCCCUCACAUCACCAAGUAUGUAAGGAAAUUUGUAUGACAUCCAUAAGGAUCAUUUCAUUCUUCCAUAAUUCAACUUUAAAAAGCACAAUGAUGAUACAUAAUGCAGAUUUAUACAGUGCUCUGACAAGUUGAUGCCCAAACCACCAUUCCUUAGAAUAUGUACAAUAAUGCCUAGAGUCUUAAAAACAUAGAUGACAAAUAUAAUUUGUCAUAUUAUGCAAUAAGAGUGUUUUAAUUCUUUCAAUAAAAGAAACUAUUAUAGGAACAUUCUAACACAUACAAUACUACCAAGAAUAUCAAGAGUCUUAAACAGAGACGACAUUGUCAUACUAUGCGACAAAAAAAGUGUUCCAGUUCUAUGUUCAAACAAAAUGAACUAAUAUUAGGCAACAUAAAAGCUUCACUUCUUUGUCAAUUAUUUUAUUCAUUAAUCAAAUAUGCGGCCACAGCUACAUUUUAGCGAAACAAGAUGACAACCCAAGAAGUCUCAUGAUAAUAUAUGAAUCUAAUACACGCAUAGCAACCAGCUGCAAGAUAAGUGCACAUAGUAAUUGUAGAAUUUAUCCAGUAAUAGUUUAAUAACACAAAAAUUCAUAUCUUGGAUUCUUGAGAUAUACUAAUUUUAAACAAUGACUACCCAAAAAAAUCCUAUAUAAAUGUAGUCACAAACCUUAUCUAUACAUUAUAUUUAUUAUCGCAAAGUUUAGUUGUAUAAAGUAAAUUAUCACAAAUAAAAUGACAUAGCAGUCAGUGGUCAAUUGUAAUUUUAGCUUAUUAGAGUCAGGUAUACUUACAAAUGAAUCAUACUAGCCCCAUGACUGCUGAAGUUAUUUAUAUACCAGCGAGGAGACCUAAGCUGCAUAAAAGAACUUGAUCAGUAUAUCAAUCUUUAUCAGAGGAAACUACAUGGGAAAUAUUAUCCUUAAAAUUUGUCAUAUGUGCCUGUUGCAAGACAACUAGGUGACUAAGCAUUCAUCUUAACAAGUGAUUUCCAUUCCGUUUCUUAAAUAUGCCAUCAUAUGAGUUGCUAUGCAACUAGGUGCAAAUUUUAGAGCGGCAAUAAGUAUGAUUUAUGCAGGAUACUUUCUUGAUGUGCAGACUGUAACCAGUCAAAUGGACUGAAACAACAAGGGAAAAGGAAGGGGAGAGGAUCAAAUAUGAGAAUAUGCAAGUUUACAACUUAGCAUACACAUGCUUUAUAUUGUUGUAUUAUAUUGACGUCAGCGUGAUUACUAACUACCUAAUUAUGAGGAUUUUUCUAUUAAAAUGCAACUCGAAAAUUGCUAAUGAGCAUUGAAACUAUUUUAAUGGUUGUGGCCUUAAAAAUAUUAAAAAAAUGGCAAUUUAUGGAAAUGAGAUGUAUCAAACAAAACUAUCAUUUAAAGUCCUACUCCUACCUGCAAUUAAUUGUCCAAUACAUUACCACACUAUAUAACAUUGAAACAUACCAACUGGUCUGCUACAUUGUGUUAAUACUAGUUAACACAGCUACUAACAUUUGAGCACGUCGAUUUCCCAUAAACUUUGCCAUUAGUUUUUUCAACCUAAUCUUAUCAAAGCAAUCUAUUUCAUGGUUAAUUUUAGGAAACAUUAGGAAAAAGCAAACCUAUGUCACCUGUCUACAAAAUGGAGACCAUACUGUUUCAGGUCUCUCCAUAAAAUAACUCCUCAAAUCAUCAAUCCUCCCAACCCCCUUUCCUGUGGCAUCCAACUUCUUCAUGGAAUCAGUCUCCUCUCACAGUUUCCAACUUGUCUCUCCUUCUACCUUUCUUAUUAUCAACAUCUCUAUGUCCUGAAGUCCACUGUGAUGCAACUCUCUCUACCCAAGUCUCUCUCUCUCUCUCUCUCUCUCUCUCUCUCUCUAAUUAUAGCAUUGAUCAGGAAAGCAGCAUCACUAAUCACAGUUAAGGCCACUACACUUGCUGUUUUAGUUUUAUACAAAUUUCUGUUUUCAUUUAUGAUUUUUUAAUUUCGCAUUAGCUGCAAACUUUCUGUUUAUACAUUUGGUAUUGUAUUCUUUAUUUUAUAAUUUUUUAUUUUUUUUCCGUAUUUGUAUUAUUCUUUCCCCGACAUGGCAUUUUCUAUUCUAUUAUUUUCAACAUUUUCCUGUUACUUUAUUUCUUUUAUUUUCUCUUCUAAUAUUUAUACAAUUUCAUGUAUUUUGUUUUCUUUUCUGUGUGGAAUUAAUAUCAACACGAUGUUCAUAUAUUCAUAAUAUCUAGAGAAGUAAAACAUUACAUGGUCAAGUUUUAAUUUGCUUGGGUGGCUUUUUUGGUAGGUCUUAUUUAUGCAUUUCUAUGUAAAAAUAUGAUCUCUAAAAUUUUAAUAAAAUUGAUAUGUAUUAUUUUGAACCAAUAAUUUGACAGCUAAAAUUAGAUUGAUUUUCAUGACUGAUUAGAUUUUUUAAUAACAAAUUUUCAUUCAUGACCUUUUUGGUGAGCUUUUUUCCCAACAUGCAUUGCAUGUGCCAGUUUACUUUGCAUGUGGAGAUGGAGACAGACAUGGAGAAUGAGAGAGGAAGUUGAGCUAACACUUUUGGGGCAGGCUUGAAAAUCAAUGCUACAGAUGCAAAUUCAAUGAUAAAACAUCUAAAAUUGAAUACACGCAAUGUUAAAUGUCUAAUAGUAUUUUUGUUCGCAAAAGGAAAAAAAGAAGCAUCUAGUAGUAUUUUAAUGCUUAGUAAUCAAAAACUUUUGGAGAUUUUCUACUACCACAUCAAGUAGUCCCAAUAUUACCUAUAUUUUACAGGCAAAUUACUUAGAAUUAGUAGCAUCACAAUCAAGUGUGUUGGCCCGUUUAUAUUAUAAGAUGUCAAGAUCAAUAUAAAUAGUCUGGAUUCUACUUGAUGAAUGGUAAGAGGCAUCCAUAAUAUAGGCCCCUCAGUCUAAAAGAUCCAGAGUUGAGGCUAUAAUUGUAUGGGAAAAAUACUAGCUCAACUCCACAUAUUUACAUGAGCACAUAUGCAUGCGUACGUACAUACAUAAUGUAGUCUAUAAUACAAACAUGUGUGUUUGUACCAAUCGUGAUUGAAAUUGUUAUCCGAUGAGAAACUCAGAUCUAGGCUACACCACACCCAAGGUAACAGAUAUCAGAUCUGGCACACAGGAUUCAGACCUAAUCUGUAAUAUGAGUCCAAAAGUGGAAGAAAAAAAGAUUAAAUUAAAACCAGAAUUCAUAUCAUCAUCAAGUUGUUUGGUAUUAUAUUAUUUCAUCACAAAAAUCCACAUCACAAGCUCCUCAAAGCAAGAAAAACGUUAAUAAGGGACACAAAUUAUAACUUAACAAGUUUCAAUUUUUUAACAUAUUCAAUUGUUAGGAAGAAAGGAAAGACAAGGAAUAUCACGAUCUCCAAGGGUGAAAAAGAAUGCAAAUAAACUUCAAAAUUAGCCCAAAAGGACAAAUGACAUGAAUGGGCAACCUGAAUAGCAAAAAACAACAAAAGCAGAAUUAGAGACUUUGGAGUUCAAAAAUUGCAACAAAGUGAUAGAUGUUCAAGAUAGCCAAAAGAAAGGUCCCAAUAUUGUUUAAGUUGAAAAUAACCAGAAAAGGACUUCUAAGCUGCACCAAAGUUGUUCGGGCAGGGUAAUUGACAUGGGGAGGCUCAAAACUCAAACAAACCAGAUGAAUGUCCGCAAAGACCCCGGAAGGAACCAUUCAAAUUAGUUUAUGAUGGAAGGAAAGCAACAUGUAUUGAUGCUUUUUGUUUGUAACUUGUCAUGUAUGAGAAUGAAACAAACAUGAAAAUGAAGCAGGUCAGUGAGUUGCAAUCUGUCCUUGAACCUCUAAAACAAAGUUCCAACAGAUGAUAAGCUCUAAAAUCAGAACACGUGCCUUUCACAUGUGGGAAGGGGAAUGAGCAAUGACAAAAAAUAAGGCAAGGAAAAAAUAGCAAAAGCAAAUGACCAAACACCAAUUACUGCAAUGGUAAUCUAAACCCUUAAGAUUUCACUGGGUUCGAACAAAAUUCUAACAACUGUUGGUGCACAGCUCAUCGGAUUACAUGGAACCACAAUAGCCAGCUUAUUUAUGACCUGUGGAAGACUUUAUUCCAGAAACAAAGAUGGAAAAUAGAAGAGUUUCCCUCCAGGAAAUAUUAAAUAAAGAUUUUACAAAGUGGUCCAAUCUGAGAACAAUUUGAACUAAAUAUGCAUGUGAUCUACCACAGAAUGAUAUACUAAAAAUAAGUGAAUCACAUAUGAAGGCCCAGUAAACAUAACAACAAUCCUCUCACUGUCCAAAAGAAACAAAAGUGAAAUAUAAGCAGCAGAUGUGCAAUGCAACUAGAUUUGAACGCUUAAACAGAUUUCUGAGUAUAACCAUGACUUAUUUUUCAUGGUGAUGCUAGUCUACUUUAAAGAAGUGGGUGAACAUCAAAUGAAUACCAUCAAUUGUAUAAGGUUGCUGAGAUCUUUGUUUUUCUGCAACAUAACUUAUAAAUCCAUGGGUUAUAGCUUCCAAAAAUCAAAAAAUGAUCUCCCCCACCCACCCUGCAUACCCCCCACCAACCAAAAAAAAGUACGUGGCUCUCCCCUCCUUCCUUCCACCAGUAAUGGUAAUAUGAACAAUACAAAGAGGAUGUAAAAUUUAAAGCAGUUUUCUUCCCGUAACUAUUGGUGUUGCUCAGAUUUUCAUCCGACAUUUUCCCACUUAUUGUUUGUUUCAAUUACAUUAGAUCUUUCUUAUUACUCUUCUUUUUAACACAAAACUAACAUUUACAGCUAAUCACAACACUUUUGGAGACACAUGAAGCUUUUUGAUGAAAACAAAAACAUAGACUAUUGGCAAAAAUAAACAGAUAGACCAUCUCGACACAUUGAAUUAAAGACUCCGAUCAAGUAUUAUAAAUAUUGCAUCAGCAAGAGAACAUGAUUGCAUGAAGGUAGCUAACAACUCUCUCAUGCAAAAAUCAAUUUUUACCCCAUGAUUAUAACAGAUUUAGACCUCAAAGGCUCAAAGAGUAUCAAUUAGAUCAAAGCAUGAGAAAUGUUUUGUUUUUAUUCCACAAUGACAUCAUUUGUAAAGUAUUACGAAGCACAAACAUGGAUAUAGGAUACGGAUACGACACAUAUGGCAAACCUUGAAAAGUAGGAUCUUGUACAGCUAGGAUAUGCAAUAAAUAAUAUGUAUGCAUAGCUACAUAGAUAAGUAUAUAUGCAUAUGCAUGUGUGUGUGUGUGUGUAUAUAUAUAUAUAAACAUCCAUAAGACGUAUUAGGUACGACAGACCUUGAAAAGUAGGAUAUAAUGCGGCUAGGAUAUGCAACGAAUAAUAUUUACACAUUCAUGCAUGCAUCUAUACGUAGAUAAGUAUCUAUACAUAGAUAAGUAUAUAUACAUAUGGAUGUGUAUAUAUAUAUAUAUAUGGAUGGANNNNNNNNNNNNNNNNNNNNNNNNNNNNNNNNNNNNNNNNNNNNNNNNNNNNNNNNNNNNNNNNNNNNNNNNNNNNNNNNNNNNNNNNNNNNNNNNNNNNNNNNNNNNNNNNNNNNNNNNNNNNNNNNNNNNNNNNNNNNNNNNNNNNNNNNNNNNNNNNNNNNNUAUAUAUAUAUAUAUAUAUAUAUAUAUGGAUGUGUGUGUAUAUAUAUAUUAUCCAUAAAAUGUAGUAGGCUAUGAGAAUACUCCGUACUUUACACGAUAGUAUCAACUUUACAAGCUUAUCAUUUAGUCAUCAUUCAAAUCUUGAACCCAAUCCAUACUUCAUAUUUAAAUAUUAACAUCAUCAACUACAAAAGAUUGAUCAUUCAUUGCUACAAGAUUAACAUCAAAAGAAAGAAACACCCUCCCCCUCGUUUUUGGAGGUAAAGUAUCUCAAGUGUUUUCAAAAAGUAUCCAGAGUAUUUUUCUUUUUUAUAUUUUGAAAAAGAGGAUAUCUUACACAGGUAUCGGACAUGUAUCUGAAUAUCCAAUGAGUAUCAGUAUUCGAUCCAUAUUUGAUACUGACAUGAGUAUCCGUGCUUCUUAGGUAAAGAAUGAAAGGACCAGCAAAUUGUUCAUUUAAAAACACAAAAGAAAUUAAGUUGCUUGAAAAGUUAUGAAGAACUUGCUCGAUGAAUACAGAUAUUUCUUCUAGUAACAAGAGAAGCUGCUUGUAGUUCCAUAUGGCCUGCCCAUGUACCAUCCUUUUCCAUGGACUGACAAUAUUCAUCAAAUGGAACAUCAUCCUCAAUAAAUGGUUCAAAGUCCUCACGGUGAUUCUGUGCAAUACAAUAACAAAAUAAGAUUAUGUUAGUUGAUCAUUUAAAGAAAUCAAGCAAUAUAUCUUACAGAAUAGCAAAGUUGCCUCAUAUCAAAAUUCAUCAGAUAUGUCUAACCAAUCACUAGAUGUUCAAUAACAAGCUAUUGACAAUAAAGAGCAAAUGUUAUGGACAGACAGUAACUUUUACAGUUUUACCUCUUAACUUGCACUUAAAAGUUUGAUUAAACAUGAAAAUGAUCGGGAACAAUACAUGUAUUAAUAAAGGUAUAAGAUCUGCUCAUUGUAAAUCAUGUCUCAUUUGUUUUAGGUGAAAAGGUAUAUACCAAAAUAUAUUGUACCACCAUAUCACGAUACUUUUUGUGUUCCUCUUCAUUGCCCUCCAGCUGAUCAGCCAGAGCCCUGCAAAUUAUUUCAAUAACUCAGCAUAAUCUAUGGACACGCGAAACUUAACAUGACAUCUAUCGCAUACAAUGUGAAUUAUAAUUUUAGUUAGUGCAAAGUAAGACUUCUUUAGUAUUGGAUAAUGAGUAUUGACGAAAAAGAAAAGAAAUCUUCUACAAACCUAAAGAAACAAUUGCCAUCUGCUGUCACUUGAAUUAUUUUUAAGCCCAAGACAUCAAGCUGAGAACGAAAUUCUGCUACAGCAUCCAGUUUUCCGUGCUGCUUCACCUGUGUAAGGAGACACUAACGUAAUACAAAAUAAUCAUGUAUGAAAUAGCAAAAGAUCAGAAUCACUGUGCAGGGAAAUGUAUGUGCUGAUUUCAAGUGAAAAGAAAAGAAGGAUUUGUUAAAUGUAAACUUAAUCAUAUAAAACUGAACAUAAAGCUUGAAGUUCUGGUCUGAUUGGCAUGCAUGCCUGGUGCUCGUAGUGACGCUCCUUGCUCCUGUUUGAAAUUGUUACCUAGUUACAUUUAAGUGCAUCCUAACUCCUAACAUUGACAAGAAGACAUGAGUAACAUAAAGAUAUUUAAAUGAUAUGAUUAAAAACCAAAGCAUUCUGGAGUCUCCCAAGAUCUAAUGGUACAAAAUUUCUUUAAAAUUAUAUGUUUCUCACUCUGCAAGUAAUCUUAACAGCAAAGGCAAUGGUGAUAUUGACAAAAAACAACUGAAAUUUUACUUGAACAUGGAAAGUUUUUGAAUCACUUCUAUACUCCCAGUUAAUUCAUAUCAUUUUAGCCUAUUCUAAUGGUGUCUUUGCAUACAUAAAACUCUGCCCAAAUCAAUUCAUAUCUCAUGUAGAGGUGAUACCGGUGGUGCAAACGGAUAGGCAUUACAUGACUUCCUAACUCUUAAUGGAAACUUACCUUAGGCACAUGAGCUCAGCUAGGUAAGGAGAGGCGAAUUGCAUGUCAGCCUGGCAUUGGCAUGGUAUGUAUUGUGUCAAGAUAUGUGAUACCAGUGCUUGAAACACACUGCCAUCAGGGCAUGUUAAGUACAUGGCACGCAGCCAGUUACGCACUGUUAUGGUACAUCUGUGCUGCAUCAGCAAUGCUGAUCAGAACUUUAAUUGCUCAUCUUUUCUUUGUCUAUGACAAAGUCAAAAGCAUAAAUUUAAAUUCCCACUUGCAACAACUAUAAUACAAGGGCAUAUUUUCUUUCUAUGCACCAAUUUUUCAAAUUAGUAUCCUAACCCUGAUGCGCUCCCUAAACCUCCAUCAAACCUGAUAUGGUGUAGCAAAAUUUACCAAAGCCACACUAGUGGCCAGUAAAAAGAUGAUUACAAAAGCAUGACUAUGUCAAUCUAUGUAAAAACAAUUCUAUGAUUUUGAGUCAGUCUACACCCAUGGAAGUUCAUGUUUUCCUUGUUGAGCAUGUGUGAGGUAAGCACUUUUGUUUAACAUGGUGUGCAUUGUCACAUAGCAGCUCAUGGAUAUCUCGCACCAAAACCAAAGAAUAUUGUCAGAUGAUAUACAGAUAUUGAUCUACAGUUCUUUUUCUUAUUGAAACAUGGUCCAACAAAGAUUGUGAAUUGGGCAAGAAAGGUUCCCAUUGUUCUCUUUAACCAAACUUCUAGUUUGAAUAUAUUAGAUACCAAUAUUUUUCUAAAACAAUCCUUGUUGGAGCUGAAACAGUCAUAUGACAAGCAACAAUUCAGAACCUACAUUCUUGGUGGACAACCAAAUUAUAUUUUAAUACCGUCGGCAUUUGAAGAGGGUACCUUGAAAUCAAACGAAGUAGUAACAAUCUUUUCAACAAUAAAUAAUUGCGACGACCCUAUGGACACCCAGCAAGUAAAUGAUCCAGAUAUGUCUACAGGAAAAAUAAGAGUUGGAAAAAAAUCCAAAUAUUCAUAUUAUCCAAAAUGGAGGGAAAUAACCAAUACAUACAUGCAACUAAACUGACAAUGUGAUAGAGCCAUAGCUAAUAUUUUGGCAAAACAAACACCCAAAGAGAAGGGUUUUGGGUUCACGUCUUCCCAAGAACAAGGUGAUAUGCCAAGCAAAAAGGAAAAUAGUGAUGUAGUCAUCAUGGUGUUCAGCACACCACAGAAUCUACACAAAACAGCUGAAUGUAUACAAUUGACAACCCCUACCACCUAGCAGACAUGUUGGAUCAUUUACAUCAUUUUUGUUUUUGUUUAAGCAGUUACAUAGAGAGUUUGACACAAACCAAAGAAAAUGGUUGGUGCACAUGAUGUGACAUCGUAGAGCCAAUGGUCUGCCGUACCGAUCCGUAUAGGUCGAUAUGGGCCGGUAGUACCGGUACCAGACGAAACCGGUACGGUACAGCUAUAUUUUUCGAUUCCGACUAUUCGCAAUUCGUACCGGUCGGUACCAGCCGGUACCAACCCGUACCGAACCGGUACCGGCCCGUACCGACCGGCUUGUACCGACCUCAAAUUUUUUUUGGCUUUUGGCCCGAACCAGCCGAACCGGUACAAUACCGGUUCGGUUCGGUAUGGUACCGGUACCGAUGCCCACCGGUAUGUCGGUAUGGUCGGUACAGUGGACCUUGGCCAGCAUGUUAUAAUAAAGUGAAUGGUGAGGAAAAGCUUCUUAGGAAAAUAAUAAUGUUGAACAAAAAGUGAAAACCAAACUCAAGUAUGCUCAUUACAUUCUUGAAACACCAUAUUUGUGAUCAAGCAUUGAGGUAUCACGACAGUGUAGCACUAGCAUGGUAUCUACCAUGUUGUGCCAUGCUAGUGCUUAGCACAAACUAGCACGUUGGCAUGCCAAGAAUGGGUACGACCGAUGCCAUGACAAAGCUAACACUUGCAAGGUACAUAUCAUGCUAUAAAACUGGCAUUUUGAUCCAUGCUCAUGGCCUGAAAAACAUUAUUCUCAUACCAGCAUAAUGUAGGGAGAUAGGUGAGAUCUGAUCACACAAACAUACUUUCUAUGUAGAACAUUCUAAGCAGCUUUCACUCUCAUAGCAAAACAAAAGGCAUUGUUUAUCAUAAGUCAAAUUUCCUUCAAGAUGUCUGACUGGAUUUCUAAAAUAAAGAGUUAAUGACAUGUUUAGACCCUAGAUGAUACAGGAAAAACCAAAAUAGUAAAAAGCAGCGGUGUUAUUCGUGCAGAAAGCAUACUGCAUUCCACCUAAGCAAGGGCCUAAGUAGAAGAUUAAGAAGUGAGGAGGAGAAAAAGGUGUUCGAGGAAAAAGUGGGGAAGGACGAGAAGGCAAAAGACAAGGAUAAGCAAAGAGGCAGAGGGAAGGGAAGAAUGAGAGGGACGGUGGAGGGGAAAAGAAUGAGAAGAAUAGGCAGAGAGAGAAAGGAAGUGGAGUAGGAGAGAUGAGGAGAGGAGGCGGUGUACCAUAUAGCACUCAACUGCAGUUUCCAUGCAACCUGCAAAUGGAAAGGUGCAUACACAUACGCCUGUGCAACUGCAUAGACCUCCUUUUGAAACAGUGGUAAAGAUAGGACAUAUACCUUGAUCUUACUAAAAUAGACAUAAGGAUGUUGAUCAUAAUCACAAAAUCUCUACGAAGACAGACAGUCCAUGCAAAGCUAAUAUAAUGAUCAUUGGCAAACCAUAAAUAUAGCAAUAUACAUAUGGCCUGCUACCUAAACUAAUGUUAUUUCAAAACCACGAAACUUCAAUCAAGCUCUAUAAUGCUUAACUAAACAAUUUACAUAAUUAUUGAUCUUAGAGAUUAAUACUCAUGAAAUAAAGAACAUUACUAGCUAGAGAACAAUAAAAUCGUACGAUAAGCAAUAAAAAACUCAAAGAUUGGGCUUAAGAAUAUUGUGCUCUAUGUCAAGUCAAGCAAAAUUUUUAGGCUGGUAACUAAUUUGGGUCACCUAAAGCCCAAAAGUACUCAUAACAAAUAAACAAUAUGUGAAAAAUUUAAUUGUACGACAUACAUAUAUGAAAAAUUAUAUAUACAAAUAUGAAAUGAAGAACCUUACUAGCUAGAUAAGAAUAGAAUCACAAGAUAAUCACUAAAGGACAAAUAGUUAGAGAUUCUAAAUUUUGUGCUCUGGGUCAAGUCAUGCCAACUUUUUAGGCCAGUAACUAAUUCAGACCACCCAAAGCCCAAAUGUAUUGAUAGCAUACUGAAAUUAUACAAACAUAUGUGAAAAAUUUAGGGAUACAUUUCGUAAUAGAUGAAUAGGCUAGACACAAUAAUUACUGAACCCUAAAUCCUAAAACACAUUCAAUUGCUCCUAUAUCUAAUCCAGCCACUUCCUUUUCUGUAUUCACCUCCUUCCCAUACGUGAACCUAUUAUGAGACCAAUAUACAGUCUCCAUAUUUAAUCAUCUUAGCCAUCCAAUAUUUCUCUAAAUCUUUCUCUCA